rnacentral:lncRNA from 1 species
AAUUCCCAGAUGGGUUUUAUGAAUGUUCUCAAGUUCUCAGCUGCAUGCUUUGAUAUUCUUGCCUGGUAUGUUGUCCACGCAUUUUCUCGCCAUUGGAAAUUUUUGGAAAAUGAAGUGGAAUUCUCUGUUUGAGGACAAACAUGGGAUUUUCUUUGAUUUCUCCCUGUUGGUUUUAUCUAUUUUCUUUGGAUUACCCACAUUCUUGUCAUUGAUUGUUAGUCAUUUGUUUGGAUUUCUACUUGCAGGCCUCUAUUUGCACUGGGUUAUCCUCUGUAAGUCUUGGUCUUACACCUCAAGAUAUGAUGAUUCAUUUACUCUUUUCUUGUUCUACGAAUAGUUCAGUUACAUUUAUUGUGUUGGGAAACUGAAAAGGGAAAGGAUUAUUCUUUAUUGUCGUAAUAAUCAUCAACAUCAUCUCGGUUCUUCACAGAUGUUCUUCAAUUCGGGCAAUUGAGACUAACUCAAUCUCAGACUUUCGGAAGUUGGUGGCGUAUUGGGUUCUAUUUUCCUUGAUUUCACUCUAUGAUCAUGCUUUUUCCAAGCUCCUUGAAUGGUAAUUUUGCUCAACUGCAUUCCACUAUACGUGACUCUGUUUGUUUCAUUUCUUUGCCCUUAAGGAAUUUGGAGUUGCUUUUUUCAGUUUUCUUUCCUAUGAAAAUAAUCGAGAUGUUUAAUGUUCCAGGCCUCCAUGUAUUUUAUAUUCCUUCAUUUCUCUGCUUUGACAAAUGCUCACAAUCUGAUCAGCAGAAAGGUUAUAACAUUUGAAAAAGAAGUGGUUUAUUUUUGUUUUUUUUAAGUACAAUAAUUUUCGUUUGGAUAAAUGGUCUGAAGGGUGUUUGUGUUUGGCUGAGUUCAUGGAAUUUUCAAGCUAAUUUGGGAUUUAUUCUCAAUUUCAAGAUCAUUGUGGAUACGUCAGAAAUUAAUGAAAUAUAAAUGGUGGAAUGUGAUUUUCUUGUUUAAGAAAAGUUUUUCUUUGAAAAUGCGGGUGCACCCGACCUACCUUAUUGUGCUAUUUGGAACACAAAACAUAAGUACAGGUAAUUUAUUAACUAAAUUGUACACUUUUUGAUAGUUCAAGGAGGUGGUUUUCUUCUUUUAGGGUGUCAGCUUUGGAAAUAAGAUGGAUCUACAAGUUUUUAUGUCUCAUCCUUAUAGGGAACUUGAAAGCAUGGAUGCACUUAUCUCCAUGGAAUUUGGCUGCCUUGAAAUCAAAUUAAGCUUUAUGCAUCAUUUGGAUGCUGAGAAACAAAUGGAAAUAGAAAAUUCGGAAUCUGACAAGUUUUUGUAGGGCAACUGGAUCUAAUCUCUCACUUGAAGCUUAAUUGGGGCAAAUGCUGAUCAUCUUUGAACCCAUUGAAAGUUCUAAUCUGUGCACAAUUCUAAUGUUUUUGUUUUCUUCAUUUCUUUUUCAACUCUUCAUAAUAGAUGUUGAAAGUUAAAACCGAGCUUACGUAGUCCAUCCAAGUGGAUGCAUAUAAAUUUAACAGAAACUGAAAUUCGAAGAAACUUAUUUUCCCUUUUGUAAAUGGUGUUUAAAAAGUCUGUGUAGUUUGGUUUUUUUCCGGGAAGAUCAGAUGAUUUUGUGAUCAUUUUUCUAUUUGCCUUGUCAUCAUGAGAUUUAAAUAUUUUAUUUUCUUAUAUAAUGCAUGUCAGGGUACCAUUCUGGCCUUACAUAAAGCUGAUGGUCAUCUGCUGGCUGGUGAUACCGCAGUUUGAUGGUUCAUAUUAUGUCUAUCAACACCUAGUUCAUCCAUGCUUGUCCAUGGAUCCACAAGUUGUCAUGAAUUGGCUCUUCAAUGAAUCAAAAAAGAAGUUUCAUAGUAGAGAAACCUUUCUUGUUUCAGCAGACCAAUAUACUAAGGAGAAUGGACCUGAAGCUUUGGAGAAACUACUUGCUAGGAAGGUAUGCCAUUAUAAGUAGGAUUAUCAACAAGUCAAACAGAGUUUUAUUUGAAAUGUUCAGGUAAAAAAUGACUAUAGCAGGUCAUCUAAAAUCAUUUGGUCUAAAUUCAUGUAUAUAUCUAUAUAUAAUUGUGUUCUCAUUUUUUCACAUAUGCAUGUGCAUUUAGAUUUACAUAAUUAUAUAUGCAUAAUCAGAUUCAACUGUGAUAGCCCGGAAUUUAAUUCAGUAUUCGACUCUUCUGGGAACAUGUUGGUUAUGGUUUCUCUCUCACUGUCCUCUUCUUUACACAUGACUUUUCAGUUGAGGAGCACAAAGCCUAAUGUUGAAGUGAAAGAGAUCAAAGCACCUGCAGCACCGGAGAAAAAAGGGGAACAGGUAAGUACUCUAAUGUGGCUAUUUAAUUUCUAUGGAGGCAGAUCCCCAGAGAAAUGCUGUUCAUGUAAAUUACUGAUGCAUUUGAUUCAAUGGCCACGGUUUUAAAAGAAAAACCACUUUAUGUAUGUUUCUGUGAAUGAGAGAACAAGUUUAUGGAUUAAAUGAUAUUUUUUAUGGUGAAAUAAUCAAUAAUUUUCAAAAUAAUAAUACAUUCCUGCAUGUUUUUGCAAUUCAUGAAUUCCUUUUAUGAUUGAUUCUUCUCACCUUUUUUCUCACCUCAGUGGAAGUGUGAAGAGCCUAAUGUUGCUGAAAAGGAGAUCCAAGUAGUCAAAGUAACAGAGAUAAAAAAUGGGGGGGAUGAAGCAAAGAGGGUAAGUUUUGCUUUUUAUUUAUAAAGUAGGCUGUCUUCACACAAGGAUUAUUAUUAUUAUUUUAAGACAUGAAUGUUGAAUGAUUUUGGAAUUGUCCUUGAAUCAUGUGAAGUAUGAAUGGCCUAAUGCUGCUAAGGAGGAGGUCAAAGUGACAGAAGUAACACAGAGAACAUUUGGUGGUACAGCACAGUGGGUAAGGUUUCUUCUCAUAUUUAAAUGGCUCCUUAUAUUUCACUAGGAUUAAUUUUGCCCCUACAAACUAUUUGGCUACAAGUUAAGAGAGAGUUCCAGAUGCUGAUAAAUCUGAGACAUAAGUAAUGAACGAAUUUAGACACAUGCACAACUCUUGUGUGAAACACAAUGAGAGUGGAAAAUAGCUAAGUUCAAAAAUGGCCAAAUACUAUUUUGUAGUUCCCCCUACUGCUUAAGUAAUUUUUGUCAUCCUUUGUGAAUGGAAAAUGCAGUCCCUUCAGUAAUUCCAUUAUAUUCAUGACUUGGUGAAGCAUAUAACCAUUAGUGUCUUACCCUAAGUCGACCUUUAAUGAUGAUCCAUUGAGAUGGGUCUGACUUUUGUCAACCCUCUUAUUCCCUUGAUCAUAGAGGUGAAACUUAGGGGGCUUAACCCACUUUUCAAUCUUAUUGGAUAUAUGGCACGUGGUAUCCUCUUCAUCUUGAAAGAGUGAAGUGGUCAUACUCUUUCCUCUGAGUCCAUUGUAGCCAUGCACUUCUGGCUUAUUGGGCUGAGUGAAAGGAUUCCCUUCUGCUUCAAAUCAUAGAGAGAUAUGCCAUGGUCAGCCUCUUUAAUUCAAGGGAUUGAAGUACUCAAAUCCAUUUCUCUGUAUCCAUCUUAGUUCUGCAUUCAUGUCUCAUGGUUAACCAAGAAGAUCCAGCCUCCAUCCAUGAGAUCAGCAUCUGCAGGUUUAUGACACCACCCUUCCUUGGCAUAGGAAAGGGAUCAUUAAGCCGUGUGUCGGAUGACAGAAGUCAUCAUUCAGGUUAUCUUGAGAACUAAGGAAGUUGGAAUUCUAAUUAUUGCAUAUGGUUCUUGAUGUUUAGCCAAUAUACUAUAGGAUUUUAAGCAUCAUGCUCACGUGCAUUGUGGUUGUUUAUCAGCUAUAUGGUUUAUCAAAAUGAGGGACUGAUUAUGGUCAUAAGUACCUUUUUCCCAUUAAUUUCUUGCAUGUGCUCUGCUGAGAUUAUGUUUUUGACAGUCCAAAUCAGGGCAAACCAACAAACAGCUUUAUGUUAACUUUUACAAACUGCCACAUUUUCAGGUUAAACAAACAGAGAUAAAUCUUGGUGAAACUAGAAGUAAUACAACCUGUUCUGUGGAGAUAAAAGAAAGGGCAGCAGUACUGGUGGCUGCAGAAAUUGAGGCAUGUAGAGACGAUAGAACCCCCAAGAUACCUCUUCAUGAGAAAGUCCAGAAAGAGUGGGCUUGUGCUGUAUGCCAGUUCACAACCCAAACUGAAGCGACCUUCAAUUCCCACCUUCAAGGGAAGAGACAUCAGGCCAUUUCUGAGCAGCUGAGAGCCAAAAACCAGGCAACCAAAACCAAUUGUUCCCCAUCUGCUUCAAUGGCCAAGAAAUCUGAUCAGUCCACCAAAGAGGAGCAACCAAAGUGUACUUCCAACAAUCUGAAUUCCAAAAACAAUGGAAUCUCAGCUGCUUCAACAGUGAAGAAACUUGAUGAGACCAAAGAUGAUGAGCAACAAAAGUCUGCAUCUAGCAAUGGACCAAACCAGAAGAAUAACAAAAAGCAAGAGGUACAGACCAAUGAGCAAGGCCAUCAGAAGAACUCAAGGCAAACUGGUGAUGGAAUGAAAGAGUUGAGAUCAUGGUGCAAUAUCUGUAAUGUAAGCUGCACAAGGGAGCUUGACCUGGCCUCUCAUCUCAAUGGAAGGAGGCACUUUGAUAGGAUAAAGCAGCUGUCUGAAUUAUGGUGCAGUAACUGCAAUGUAAGGUGCAACAGUGAGGUUGAUAUGGCCUCUCACCGAAAUGGGAGGAGGCACUUGGAGCAGCUGAAGGAACAGUUAGGAUUAUGGUGCAGUAUCUGUAGUGUGAGUUGCAACAGCAAGGUGGACAUGGAUUCUCACCUAAAUGGGAAGAGUCACUCGGAUCAGAUCAAGGACCAGUUAAGAUUAUGGUGUGGGGCAUGUAAUGUAACCUGCAAGAGUGAGCGCAACAUGGCCUUUCAUCUGAAUGGGAGGAAGCACUUAGAGAAGAAGGGGAAUACCUGAUUUGCUCUUCAGAUUAUUGAUACUUACAAAUGGUUUUAGUUAGAAGCAUACAGACCAGUGGGUGGUGCUCACAGAUGCCUCUAUUUUGUUGUAUGAAGUAAAAACAGUAUUUCCAUGUCCAGAAAUCAACCACUUGUUUAGUGCAUGCAUGGCUGGUUCAAAAUUAAACCUAAUUGUGAAUGACUAGGAGCAGGGAGGGAAAAAUUGAAGUGAAGAAUGUAAGAUUAUGGCUUCAUUUUUAUUUUUUCCUCUUCUGAAAAUUGUAAGAUUGUGUUAGGAGGAGCUGGAAUGGGUUCAAAUCAGGAAUUAAGACCCAGUUCCAAGACAUGGAAAGUGUCUUUAGAUUAUGUUAAGUUAUUUCCAUUUUUUUUUCUUUAUUUACGGUAAGAGGGAGCAUAAGGAACGAAAAUGAAUAUUUUUUUUUUUUCGAAUAAAAAUGAAUUUGAUAAUUUCAAUUAUUGUGUUUGGAUGUAUUUCGGAAUGUAAGAUUAAAAUAAUUAUUUGUUUUCAUUUUAGUGUUUGAUAAUAAUGAAAGUAUGAAUUAAAAAAUAAAUUGAUAAUAAUAUUCUUAUAUUUAAUUUAAAAUAUAUAUAUAUUUUUUAUUUUAGAAGAAUAUGGGUUAAAAGUUUUUUUUUUUUUUUAAAUAAUAAGCUUAAGAAAAAUAAUUUUUACUCAAUAAAUAAAAUUAAUCAUACAAAGUCAUAAAAACCAAACCAAAAUAUAAGGGUAAAAUAAUAAUUUUAAACUAUUCAUUUAAGUUAUCCAAAUGCAUUCCGACUCUUCAUUCUCUUAUACCAAAUACCGUCUUUAAGUAUUUGUCAAACUUAUUUUUUUGCAAAAUAUCAAUAUUUUACUAAUAUUUUUAUCGAUUAUUUGCCGAUAUUUAUCGCCACGUCACCAAUUCUUUGAGUUUGACUUUCAAAAUUUUGAAAUGAUCUUUGAAGUCCAGUUCAGCCCAAAUCACUACACCCAUGAACUCAUCUACAAAAGGGAACGGCUGGGCCACCACACUAAUAUGGCCCAUACAUGGGACCUCGUAAAAGAAUACCCAUCUUCAAAAAUAGGGACCAUAUUAAAUUAUUAAUGUAGCUAUAGGAAGCAUUUGAGGACAAGGGUUAUGAUUUUUCCCUUUUCUUUUUCUCCUUAAUUUUCACAUCACCCAACAACACCACUCUUAAUUCACACAAAUUUGAAGGUUUGGAAUGAGACUUCUUCAUAAUUAUAUUGUAAUUAUGUUAUAAUAACCAUGUCGUUUUUGGAUUUAUUUAUUCAGUCCAUCUAAAUCUUUUGUUUAUUCGCGUCAAAACAAUAUAUUUAUAAUCGAAUCCAUUUAUGACAUGUUCAUCUUUUAUAAAUUCAUUAAUUUUAUAUAUUUAAAAUUUAUAAAAGUUAAAUAUAUUUUUUCAAUUAUGAAUAUCAUAUUACUAAAAUAUUAAAUAACUAAUUAACUUGAAAUGUUUUAUAUUUCAUUAAUUAUUUUAUAAUUACAAAAUUAAGUGAAAUAAUAAAUAGGUUAAAAUAUAUAUUUUAUUUUAGUUAAAAAUUAUAAAUUGUUAUUGAGACACAUAACUACUAAAAUUCUACCCAUUUGACUAUCAAACAAACAACUUAAGUUUUUAGUCAUAAUUUAAGCUUAUGAUAAACUCUAUUUACAAAAAUUAGAAACCAAAAUCAAAUUCUUCCUAGACUCAAAAAUAUAAAGACAAUCUUUUAACUUUAGAAGAGAACUAUCAUCUAAGAUAAGGGUAACACAUCCCAUUGCCUGUACAACAAUUCUUGCUUCAAAAGCUAAUGUUAGGUACAUAUCCCUAUCAUUCAACCUUUCCCUUAGCUAAAACCCCUAUAAAGAAUUAUAAACAUGAUCAAUGGCUCCAAAAUUUAUCCACCAAGAGUUAGUGGAAUCUAAUACUAAACAUGAUUCAACUAAAAGAGAAUGAUGCAUACCUGACUGUCUCUUUAAGAACUAAGGGCAUUCCUUUUUCUAAUGGCCUUUUUUACCACAAAGGAAACAUUUGUCAUGACCCUUACUCUUCUUCUUCUUCUCUUGCCCUUGAACUUUCCCUUCUGUUUGGUGAAUUCUAUAAUGUUCUUAUUUUGGUUAGAAGAACCUAAAGAACACUUAACUGCCAUAUAAAUACCUCUCUGAUCCUUGAGAAUUCCCUCAAUCAUUUUGUGUUCUCUCAUCAGUUCGGUUAUAGUUUAAGAAAAAAAUUGUUUUUUUUAUGUGACUAAACUUGGAAUGAAUGUCCAAGUUGCAUACAUACUCGGGUUGAGAUCAAGUCAUAAUGUAGUUUAAGAAAAAUAUUUUUUAUUUUUUAUUUUUAUUUUUUAUCUGAUUGAACUUGGAAUGAAUUUCUAAGCUACUUACGUAUCCAGGAUGGGAUCAAGUUCUAACAUAGUCACAAUGCAGUUCAAGAAUUAUUUUUUUUUCUUUUUUUGUGCUCCAACUUUUGCCAAGACUAAAGAUCUUAAUUUUGCGAGCAUGUCCUAACUUUUGCCUAGGUCGCCUUUCCAAGUUUUCAAUUUAGCAAACUAGGUUUUUUUUUUUCUUUUUAGUUCUCUAACUUUUGCCAAGACUAAAGAUUUUAAUCUUGUAAGCAUGUCAUAACUUUUACAUAAGUCGAAUUUUUAGGUUUUCAUAGUGCUGGAUUUUUUUUUUGUUUUUUGUUUUUUUUUUGUGUCGUAGUCAAUUUAAGCUCAUAUGGGUUGGAAGCGAUGUGUAGUUUGUUGGGAUUGAGCCCUUAAAAGCAAGACAUGAUGUAAUAAAGUUAAACUUAACUAUCCCCUUACUAUCCUUUUGGUGUAUCAACAUUGAUUUAAACAUUCAACCCAUAUCUCUUACAUUGUAUAUGAUUUAGAAGCAUUAGGAGUUGUACAGAAGAUACAAGUUAUGUGUUCUUUGUAAGUAGGUGAGUUAUCCAUAGUCAUUUCAUGGAUUUGGGCAAUCUAGUAGAGACUAUAGUGCACCACCUCCUAAUUGAAGGGAUGACUUGUCUUGGCCGUUGGGAUGAGUUUCCUAUGGUGAGCGUACUAGUGUAUAUGAUGCACAUUGGAUAGGACCUAUGACAAAUCAUGAUGCAAGGCUAUCAAUUGUCAUGAUUCACCAAGUUACUAUACUACAUGGACUCUCAACCUUGAGAGGACAUUGAACCUGUGUCAAAAUCAAUAGAAAGUUUUGACCUAUGGGCGAGACCCUAAAGUAGUCAUAUAUCCUUAUGAAUUAGGUCAUUGUUGAUGGAGGCUAGUGAUAAUAGGCAUUCUCAAUAGAGGCACCAUGAUAUGUCAUGCGAUUGAGAUGGUGUGUCCCUUUGGGUGAUCCAAGGAACAUGUGAUCAUGAAAUUUGUGGCCACAGUAAUUCCUUUAGUGGAAUUUGACAUAUGCUCAAGGAUUUGAGAGAUAAUAUUGAUAGGUGAUAACACUAUCUUGUUAGAUUAUAGACACCAGUUUCAUGGGGAAUCUGCAUGUAGUGGAUAGUAGGUCAUGAAUGCGAGCUUUGUCUCGUUGUUAUUUACAUAAGGUACUGGAGUGUAGUUGAUUCUCUUUAGUAGAAUGUUAAAUCAACUUCAAAAUUGGAUUAUGAGGGAGCCAGUACUCCUAUGGGUCUCAAUGGUCCCCACUCUAAGCUUAUAUACCAUGAUGACAUAAUUUAUGAGGGUUGGAUUGGCUUUAGGUUCAUUCUUAUGCAUAAGGGCAUUUUGGUAAUUACUCAAGGUUGCAUAGGGGAUAAUAAAUAAGGUCUCUAGAUUGGACUAAUUGAUUAAUUAGAUGGCCUUAUGUGGUUAAUUAAUCAAUUAAGACAUGUUAGGGCUAGAUUAAGUGACUCAAGCCUUGAUGGGUUCAAGUCACUUAAGCCUAGUGGGUAACCGUAUAAAUACCCCCUUAUGGGUUAGGGUUUUCUAAUGACUUUUAGUUAGUCAUCUUCCACUUUUAGAAAAAUAGAGAGAGUCAAAGCUUCCUCCUUUCCACUGCCCACACUUUGGAAUGCCAAGAUCGUGGAUCGAGUCAUCGAACGAAAGAUCUUGGGUGUAUGAGACCUUCGAACUCUUUAGGCUUCUUCUUCGUUGGAUGGAUUUUGAUCUAGGAACAUCUAGAUCACAUGUAUGUGUUAUAAAAUUUGGUUAAUUCAACCUAAGGUAAUCAUCCUAGAGAAGGGGCGAAUAGGGUGAUGAUCUUUUUUUGAAAAUUUAAAUUAUGUGAAUGCAAGAGACAAUUAUAUGCAAAAUAUAUAGCAAAACCAUAUAAAAACAAUUGCAUAUAAAGUAAAAGGGUAAGGAAGAGAGAAAAUAAACACAAGAUUUUUAUAGCGAUUCAGUGCAACCCGACCUUCAUCCAUUCUCCUCUAGCUUCAAUCCCAAACUUGAGGUUCCACUAAUUUAAGGCUUCCAACCCAAGCCUUCAAGCAAUACAAUCGGAUUAUGGUUCCAAUCAAACCUCUUGAAAUUUUAGUUCUAAGCACAUUUUACAAUCUUCAAGAGAUACCUCACUCUUAAACAACUCCUUAAGUGAUACCCCACACUUGAGAAUCCCUAAGUGAUACCUCACACUUAGAUUUUUCAUCUCAAAGAUUUAUAAAUGAAGAUAGGAAAUUGUUAGCCCAAGGGCUCUCCUAAUCGGGUUUUGAUGAUAAAAAAUCAUGGUUAAAUGACUAAUUGGUUUAAUGGUUAAGAAUCUCAGGCAUAAACUUGAAAAUUCAUCAAAAGACCAAAUGGAUACAAGAUCGAGACGUUUGGAAGACUUGUGAUCAUAGGAAACUAAUGUAAGAUGAAUGCAUGAGUACACUUAGGAUUUUCAUACCGUUUCAUGCAAUUUAGAAAACUCGGUUUAUUCUUUAAAACUUCAAUUUCAUUAAAACUUGAGUUUUAACAAAUGUACCUUAGGCAAAAUGUUUUAAAAUUGGCAUAAUAAUUCACCUAAAAACCUUGCUUAAGUGUUAGAAAAGAAAGGAAUUGAAAAAUAUAGGUUUUCGGGGCCAAAAGGCUCAACCGAUCGAGGCUAUGACCAACCUGCUCAACCGGUUGGGGAAUCGGUCGACCGGUUGCCCCUGUCCGGUCGAGGUUCGAUAGAGGGAUGCACAAAAUUUUCUUUCUCUCCCAGUAGCCUUCUCUUCUCGGUCGAGGUCUGGUUGAGGACCGAUCAAGGUUCGAUCGAGGCAACGGUAACCUGUCAAGCAUUAAAUGUUCCAACGGCUAGUGAACCGGUCAACCCCUAGCUCGACCAGUUGAGGUUACCUUUUGCUGUUUUUGGCUCCCGAGCUUAGAAACCUAUAAAUUGAGAGCUCCACUUUAUUUAUUGACGAGAGAACACUUGCAAUCAAUUGUCUACCUACCUGUUCUUGAUCAAAAAACUCUCAUUUCUUUCUUUGUGCAUUAAAUCAUCACUUGCAUAUCCUUUAGUGCACUCUUAUGUGUCAUCCUAGCUUUGUCUUAUAUUUGAGCUAUCCUUAAGCUAGGUUGAGGGAUUCAUUCUUGUAAAAACUGAGUGUCAAAGCCUUCAAGAGGUUUAAAUCUUGAAGAGAUUGUGUAAGAGCCCAUUGGAGCCAGAAUCCAAGUGUAAGAAGAUUGGAAGCUUGGUUGAAGCUUCAAGUUAGUGGAACCCUCACUCGGUUAAAAGAUUGAGGAGAGUGGAUGUAGGGAAGGAAGUGUCGAACCACUAUAAAACCCAAGUUUGAAUUCUCUAACUCUAUCUCUUUAUUUUGCUUAUAUUGUGCUUGAACUCGUUGUGAUUGAAAAGAAUUUAAAAAACCCAAUUCAUCUCCCUCCCCCCUUUUAGGUGUUUUUCUUAAUUAAGCAUAGCAUUUAUUUUCUCAAUUGGUAUCAGAACUAGACCUCUUGUUUUUUUUUUUUUUUUAAAAAAAAAAAUUAAUCGUCUAAGAGGAUAUGACUAUUGCAUCAAGCUCAUCUCAAGCUAAAAUUUUUUCAAAACAUAGAGCUUCAUUCUUUACGGGAUCCGACUAUCCCUAUUGGAAAACUAGAAUGACUUGGUACUUACAAUCUACUGAUUUAGAUGUAUGAGACGUCAUUGAAGAUGGCCUAACUUUUCCCACUAAACUAGUUGAUGGAGUUUUGGUUCCAAAACCCAAGCAAGAAUGGAAUGAGCUUGAUAGAAAAAACUUUCAAUUAAAUGCUAAAGUCGUUUUUACUUUGCAAUGUGCUAUGGAUAGAAAUGAAUAUAAUAGAAUAUGUCAAUGCAAAUCGGCUAAAGAAAUUUAGAGGUUGCUUGAAAUAACUCAUGAAGGAACUAAUCAAGUGAAAGAGUCAAAAAUUAAUUUACUUGUUCAUAACUAUGAAUUGUUUUCAAUGAAAAAAAAUGAUACUAUUGUUGAGAUGAUUACUAGGUUCACCGACAUUGUCAAUGGUCUUGAAGCUUUGGGAAAAACCUACAAGGAAUCCGAGAAGGUGAUGAAGAUAUUGAGGUCUUUCCCAUCAAAGUGGCAUACCAAGGUCACUGCAAUUCAAGGAGCAAAAGACUUGACUAAGCUACCUAUGGAAGAGCUCAUAGGGUCAUUAAUGACAUAUGAGAUCAAUUUGACAAAGAAGCUACAAGAGGGUAAAGACAAAAAGAAGAAGAACAUAACCCUCAAAGCUAUAACCAAGGAAGAAGAAGAUGUUGAAGAAGAAAAACCAAGUGAUGAAGAUGAUGAUUUAGCCCUCAUCACAAGAAAGCUCAACAAAUACAUGAGAGGUGAAAGGUUUAGAGGAAGAAAGUUCACCUCUAGAAGAGAUCCUUCUAAAAAGGAAUCUUCAUCCCAUGGUGACAAGGAGAAAUGAGAAGAUAAAAGAGAUUUGAUAUGCUUCAAAUGCAAAAAACUGGGACACAUUAAAUAUGAUUGUCCACUCUACAAGAGUGAAGCCAAGAGAAGAAUGAAGAAGGCAAUGAUGGCCACUUGGAGCGAAAGUGAAGAAUCCUCCGAAGAAAAAAAGGAGAAGGAAGUAACAAACAUGUGCUUCAUGGCAAUAGAUGAUCUUGAUGAGGUAAACUCUAACUUUAGUGAUGAAGAUAUGUAUGAUGUUUUUGAAGAAUUAUAUGAGGAUUUUGAAAAACUUAGUUUGAAAAAUAAUUCUCUUAAAAAUAAAAUUCAAGAACUUGAAAAAGAACUUGAAGAAGUAAAAGAAAAAGUUUCAAUUGUUGAAAUAUCUAAAACUCAUCUUGAAAAAGAAAAUAAGAUUUUGAGAAGUGAAAAUGAGAUUUUGAAAAAGAAAAAUGAAUGGUUGACCUCCUCUCUUUCAAUUUUCUCUUGUGGAAAAAAAUAUUUUGAAAUGAUCUUAGUUAGCCAAAAAUGUAUUUUUGACAAACAAGGGUUAGGAUUCAAAUCUUCAAAAAAUCAAAAGUAUUUUAAAAACUACUUUGUAAAAGAAUCCGCAAGUGUAAGUCAUUCUACCACUUGCAACUUUUGUAGAAGAGGAGGAGACAUUAGUAGUACAUGUCUCUUAAGAAAUGGUUCUCAAAAGAAUUCAAAUGCUAAAGCUAAAAAGGUUUGGGUUGAGAAAUCCAAAGUCACUAACCCUCAAGGACCCAAAAAGAUAUUGGUACCUAAAUCAACUUAAAUUUUAUUUUGUAGGGUUCAAAGAAGGAUAAGUGGUUCUUGGAUAGUGGAUGCUCAAGACACAUGACCGGGGAUGAAUCCAAGUUUGUUUUCCUUACAAAGAGAAAGGGAGGAUAGGUUACCUUUGGAGACAAUGCAAAAGGAAGGAUCAUUGGUCAAGGCAACAUUGGUAAUGACACAUCCUCUCUUAUUGAAAGUGUUUUAUUAGUGGAUGGUUUAAAACAUAAUCUUUUGAACAUAAUUUAACUUUGUGACAAAGGUUUUAAAGUGAUUUUUGAAGCAUUUCAUUGCAUUAUCAAAGAUAUUCAAAAUGAUAAAACCAUCUUCAUGGGCCAUAGAUGUGAUAAUUUUUAUGCUAUAAAUAUUUCAAAUAUGAUGGCCAUGGUAAAUGUUUUUCAAGCAUGCAUGAUCAAAGUUGGUUGUAGCAUAGGAGGUUGGGACAUGCUAACAUGGACCUCAUUUCCCAACUCAACAAAGAAGCACUUGUUAGAGGCCUUCCCAAAAGAAAUUUUCAAAAAGACAAAGUUUGUGAAGCUUGUCAAAUGAGAAAGCAAAUCAAAAACUCUUUUAAAAACAAAAAUUUCAUUUCAAUAACUAGGCCUGCAUAUGGAUUUAUUUGGUCCCUCUAGGACACCAAACCUUGGAGGAAAAUCUUAUGCAUUUGUUAUUGUGGAUGACUUCUCUAGAUACACUUGGGUCUUAUUUUUAAGUCAAAAGAAUGAAGUCUUUUUUGAGUUUUCAAAGUUUUGCAACAAGGUUCAAAAUGAAAAAGGUUUUACAAUUUCUUGUAUAAGAAGUGAUCAUGGAGGAGAGUUUGAAAAUAUUGAUUUUGAAGACUAUUGCAAUGAGCAUGGUAUUAACCACAAAUUUUUGGCUCCUAGAACUCCUCAACAAAAUGGGGUAGUUGAAAGGAAAAAUAGAACUCUUCAAGAAAUGGCUAGAACCAUGCUAAAUGAAAACAAUUUACCAAAAUACUUUUGGGCCGAAGCAAUUAACACUUCUUGUUAUGUUUUAAAUAGAAUUUUAUUGAGGCCUAUUCUUAAAAAAACUCCCUAUAAGCUUCGGAAAAACAAGAAACCCAACAUUAGCUAUUUCAAAGUCUUUGGGUGCAAAUGCUUUAUAUUAAAAACCAAAGACAAUCUUGAAAAUUUUGAUGCAAAAUCGGAUGUUGGAAUUUUUCUUGGUUACUCAACUUUAAGUAAAGCCUUUAGAGUUUUUAACAAAAGAACCAUGGUUGUUGAGGAGUCCAUCCAUGUUAUUUUUUAUGAAUCUGACAAUUCUCUCCAAGAAAGAGAGAGCUUUGAUGAUGAUUUAGGCUUGGAGACCUCCAUGGGAAAAUUACAAAUUGAAGAUAGAAGGCAACAAGAAGAAGUUGUAGAGGAUCCCAAGAAAGAAGAAUCACCUUUGGCACUACCUCCUCCUCAACAAGUGCAAAGUGAAUCAAGCUAAAACCUUCCUAAAGAUUAGAAGUUUGUCAUCAACCACCCACAAAAUCAAAUUAUAGGUAAUCCAUCUAGUGGGGUAAGAACUAGAUCAUCUCUUAGAAACAUUUGCAAUAAUCUUGCUUUUAUCUCUCAAAUUGAACCUAAAAAUAUAAAUGAUACUCUAGUUGACGAAAAUUGGAUGAUUGCUAUGCAAGAAGAGUUAAAUCAAUUUGAAAGAAGUGAAGUAUGGGAAUUAGUGCCAAGACCUCAAAAUCAAAGUGUUAUUGGAACUAGAUGGGUCUUUAGAAAUAAAAUGGAUGAAAAUGGCAUAAUUAUAAGGAAUAAAGUAAGAUUGGUAGCCCAAGGUUUUAAUCAAGAAGAAGGGAUAGAUUAUGAAGAAACCUUUGCUCUCGUAGCUAGAUUGGAAGCCAUUAGGAUGCUACUUGCCUUUGCACGUUUUAAAGACUUUCUUUUAUAUCAAAUGGAUGUGAAAAGUGCUUUCUUAAAUGGCUUUAUAAAUGAAGAGGUAUAUGUUGAACAACCACCCGGUUUUCAAAGUUUUAACUUUCCUAAUCAUGUUUUUAAACUUAAAAAUGCACUUUAUGGUUUGAAACAAGCACUUAGAGCAUGGUAUGAAAGAUUGAGUAAAUUUCUUUUGAAAAAGGGUUUUAAAAUGGGAAAAAUUGACACAACUCUUUUCAUAAAAAUAAAGAAAAUGACAUGCUCUUAGUGCAAAUAUAUGUUGAUGAUAUCAUUUUUGGAGCUACUAAUGUCUCUCUUUGUGAAGAAUUUUCUAAAUGCAUGCAUAGUGAGUUCGAAAUGAGCAUGAUGAGAAAACUUAACUUCUUCCUUGGACUUCAAAUCAAGCAACUAAAGGAAGGAACCUUCAUCAAUCAAGCAAAGUAUAUAAGAGAUCUCCUCAAAAGGUUCAAUAUGGAGGAAGCGAAAACAAUGAAGACUCCAAUGAGUUCAUCCAUCAAGCUUGACAAGGAUGAGAAAGGUAAGUCCGUUAACUCAACUAUGUAUAAAGGCAUGAUAGGUUUUUUGCUAUAUUUGACCGCUAGUAGACCUGACAUCAUGUAUAGUGUAUGCUCGUGCGCUAGAUUUCAAUCUUGUCCUAAAGAAUCUCACUUAAGUGCCGUAAAAUGAAUUCUUAGAUAUUUAAAAGAGACAAUGGACAUAGGCCUAUGGUAUCCUAAGAGUGAUAACUUUGAAUUAAUUGGAUUCUUAGAUGCCAACUUUGCCAAUUGUAAAGUUGAAAGGAAAAGCACUAGUGGCACUUGUCAUUUCCUAGGACACUCACUUGUUUCAUGGCAUAGUAAUAAGCAAAAUUCGGUAGCCUUGUCAAAGGCGGAAGCAGAAUACAUAGCAGCUGGUUUAUGUUGUGCACAAAUCCUUUGGAUGAAACAAACACUUAGUGAUUUCAAUUUGAUUUUUGAGCAUGUUCCUAUUAAACGUGAUAACAUUAGUGCCAUAAAUAUUUCAAAAAAUUUGAUGCAACACUCUAGGACUAAGCAUAUAGAGAUUAGACACCAUUUUCUUAGAAAUCAUUUACAAAAAGGUGACAUUACACUUGAAUUUGUAAGCACAAAAGAUCAACUUGCCGAUAUUUUUACAAAACCUCUAAGUGAAGAGCAAUUUUUUUAUAUUAGAAGACAACUAGGGGUGAUUUCUUUAUAAUCAAAUGAUUACUUGAUGAAUUCUUGAUUGAAUAUACCUUAUGAUUGCGUGAAUUUCACAUCAUAUGCAUCAUAUAGAAAUAAUCUUAGGAAAAAGGUCAAAUUUUGACCAAAAAUCAAAAUUCCCUUGGCAUUGGAUAUCAAAAAUUGGGGAUUUCAACUGAAAAGGGCAAGGGAAGGAUCACGAGACAAGCAAAAGCCAAAAAAUUAGAGCGUUGACCAUUGACCAUUGACCAUUGACCAAGCGGUUCGUCGGGGCUGGGAAUUUAAAGAGACCCCCGCGCUUUAUUUUUUUCACUAUUCCCCUCAAUUCCUUGAAAACUCUUCACAUACCUGCUUCCAGAGACCACUUUGGGUUGAAUCUUGGACCAUUUGAAGGGCUUGGAGUUGUUUUUGGGACGUUUUUAAGACUAGGGUUUCAAUCUGAAACCUAAGGUUUCCAUUUUUAGGAGCAAUUCCUCUCAGACCACGUGCAUCAGCCAGGCUCAACUCCUUCUCCUUGCGCUUAGGGCUUCCGGUUGGAUUUCAUUCUCUCUUGUUUGGUUUCAUUCUCUCUUCAAACUUCUUUUUCUUCAUUUUCCGUUCUUUGGAUGGCGCCUAGGAGAGAGACAACUACCUCUAGGGCUCAGGGCAAGCGCCCUGCUGAGCCAUCUCAACCUGAGCAGAUGGAGGCUCACCGAAAGGCGAGGUAUGACACGACCCUCUGUGGACCCGCAUUUUUCACGUGCGUCCCCACUCGAUCGGCGAGACUCGCUUUUUAUUUGUGAAAAAUUGAUCUUUAAAAAAAAAAAAGUUGGAGUCGCCACCUAUUUUAUUUUUAUUUUGAAGGGAAAAUAAAACAAGAAAGAAAAACCCUAAAAAGUGACUCCAUGGUUUUGGAAAAAGCAUGUCUUUGAGAAACCCGAGUCUAAGUCCGGGGAUCAGGUUACUUAUUGGGAAGGUACCUCUAGGAGGUAGCACCCCUCUAAGCCCUAAAAAGGUCUCUACUGACUAAGUUAAGGGAAGCGUGGCAAUUAAAUGGUUGAUCAUGGAUACCUAAGUAGGCUAGGUGAUUCCAAAAACAUAACAUAUCAAACAAGAUCAAAUCACAAUUAAGGAGAGUUAAAAAUGCGUACCUGGACGGCUUCCCAAACGCUAUCAUAAAACAUAAGAGAUUAGUUUGGAGAUACAUCACACAACAUUUGUUUUACUCAAGCAAAUCAGGCAUAUAUCAAGACAUUCAAGAAUCACGUCAAAUAUGGAUAUGGUCAUCAAUGACAUACAAGUCCAUAGAAUUCUCGAAAAAAGGAUGAAAAUGAGCGUACCUGGAUAGCAAGCUAGAGCGCCUUUAUGGGAAACAAGGUUAACCCAAUAACAAAUUCAAGCAUAUCUCCAAGAAGAAUCAAAAUCAAUUGAAUACCAAAAAAUCAUCUUUAAAAUCAAUAUUAGUGAAGAUAUUAGGAAUGUAGGACCCCCCACCAAAGUCCAUAUUACUUUUGCACGAAUUGAUUCAAUGAAUUCCAUUAUUUGGAAUCGUGAAGCUUAUUCAUGCUUGUCAAAAAUCGAGAAAAUCAUAAAAUAGUUGAAGAUGAUGAAAAUGCAUGCCGGAAGGGAAAAUGGCAGCAAAUAGUAUGUUAAAAUUUGGAUUUUAUGCCUAGAGACUUCUCAGGAAUUUUAAAUAAAACUAGAAUUAUUUUUUACGGGAAAAGAUUUUGAAAUCCAGAUUUAAAAUGUGUAAGAUAACAAAAAGAAUAAGGAGAAACAUUAGGAGUAUGGUGUGUGGCAAGGUGACCACUAUAUGAGUGAGGUCUGGAGGUGCACUUGAGACUAAAUGGUUGAAACAGAUUGCAUAGGGAGCAUUCUGUACACCACUAGUUGUCUAGAAAGAAACUGAAUGUGUUCGUUUCCGAGCCCAUGUUCACCGGAGUUUAGGGUGCCACCUCAUUUAAAAAAAAGGGCUUCAAUACAACUCUAGUUUCUCAAGAUCACAAUCUGAAUUAUCAACAGAAGCUUCUGGUGAAGACAUAAUGCUCAAUUUCAGAUUAAAUUUCCUGUUCUAUAACUCGUUUUCUCUGAAUUUUCCUUUAAUGUCUGUGCUUUCUGAUCAUAUAAGUUGCCCGUCUGGUUCCUUGUUUGAGACUCUGCCGAACCUGGAAUAAUGCUUCUAGGUCUAGCUGAGGGGACCUACACCCCUUUUCAUGGAACCUGAGGCAUGCGUUAAUUCGAAACUCUAUUACUUUGCCUUCCAUUGCUUUAAGUCUUUUAGCCAUCUCAGCCACAAAUCUGGAGAUUCAUUUAUCUUUCUUUAAUAUUCAAGCCAAAUGUCAAUCCAGUCCGCUUAAACCCCGAUUUGAAUGAUUUUGAACCCUCUUUUUGCGCUCUUGAUGUUUUUCAUUUCAACUACAAUGACAAACCACCCUUCGAAAAAAGAAGAAAUCUGGACCAAAUCCUAAACUUUUAAUUCACAACUUCUUGAGCCUGACUCUGAGUCGACACAAUUGAAUCACCUUGGAUAAGAGUGCUUCUAAAAAUCCUCCAGAAUGUAGGCACAAGUGCAGCGUUCGUUAAUAAUGUCCAUGGCAUGUCACAAAGGAAAGCUUCUUUUUUUAUAAUCAUCAACGCAAAUUGACUCUUAAUGGACCCCAUUGCCAGCGUCACAUCAAAGACUGGACAGAUAGGGAGAUUCACAAUUUCGAUAGCUAUCUUUGCAUUAUUUGGGCAGGGCAACCAUGUUAUGGAUAUAUAGCUCGAAGGUGACUUGCGUUUUGUUCUGUAUCAUCAGUAGCAGCCUCAAACCCGCCAUAGGUUUGAGUGGUAUUAAAAGACUCAACAUGAUCAGCUGUAGGUGAUCGAGCAGCCAAUUCAUCAUUGAGCAAAUCAAUAAAAGCUUGGAUAUCGUUGCCGAGUGGCCUAAAAUCAUUAGAUAAAUCAUUAAAGUCAUUAAGUAUAUUACUGAUCUCCAUGAAAACCCUCCUCCUUGCUUCUGUAGAGCGAACACAAGCUGCCACUAAAAUUGGUUAGCCCGGAUUGCUAAUUUAUGCAUCCAAUCACCAUCGAUUUCUCUUGUCCUUUUUGGAACUUCUGGAAUAUGGAUGAAACCUGUGAAGAAUGUGGUGGAAUUGCGGUCUGCAAGCACGAAGUUUCCAGUUACUUGAAAUGCUUCGAAAUCAUGGUUCCAGUUUACAUCUACAGGCAUUGGCUCAAGUAAGUUCGUAUCAGCUUGGGUGGCUUUCGAUUCCAAAAGCUCUAACAACAACAUGAUUCUCAAAUAUCCGAACAGCAAUGUCCAAAAUUGAAUCAAGAAAAUUCUUUAGCAGCAGUAUGUGUUGUCCCUGCUGGAGCCAUCACAGGAGCAACUAAGCUAACUGCCAAAAAGGUUCUAGCCAGUGAGAUCCCAUUCUGACGUUUCGGUUUUGGUGACUGAUAGCUUUCUAAUUGUCCCUGCAAAUAAUGUAAACCAAUAGUUCCAUUGAAUGGAUUGUCAUCCAGAGCAAGGAUCCGAAUACUUGUAAGGCCAUCAACGAAAUCAGCGAGGGUGGUGUCGACUUCGUUGUAAUCGAAGAAGGCGAGUUGCAAUUCAGACAAUCUGCGAGAAGAAGGCAAUUUUCCAUUGAAGUGGUUCAUCUGAAACCCCAAAUUGCAGAGCAUUGAAAGCUGGUUGAAGUUUUGAGGGAGAGGUCCCUUUAAUCCCAAUCCCUUAACUUGAAUCUGUGUAACUCUGUCACCACUAUAAAAUACACGAGGCCACAAAUUUGACUCCACCCGUUGGCUCCUUUCCUUCAUUCAUUCGCUUUAACAAGUCACAUUUAAUUCCAAAGAAUAUUAUAUAAUCUUCAAGUAUGUUCAAAUCAGAGGGCUCUAGUCCGUUAACCUUUACACUCUCUAGCAGGUUCUGUUCUUGUCUCUUCCUAUUAUACAGAAGUUCAAGCAAGUUUCAUAAAGCCUGAAUUUCUACACGUAGCCACUACUGGGGUCAGGUUUAUCCAAGUGUGCUGCUCCAACAGAAUUAUCGAUGUGUCAGUUUCUCUAAAAAUCACCUUGUGAAUCAAUCCACAAUACCGAGGCAUCCCAUCAUCAGAACUUCCUAAGCUUUCAGCAAGUAGGCAAGCAUUUAUGCUUGAGUCAACUCUACCGAUGACAACAAACCCAUCCAAAUCAAACUUCAUAGCUGUUUCUUCUUUUCCAUUAAUAUCAACUGGUAUCCUUUCUAAAAGAAUGCUUUUCUUAUGACGACAUGACAGUAAAACCCUUUUGCGAGAAUGGCUCAGAGUUUUGAUCAUCAUCUGAUUCUAUUGUAUUACUGGAAUGAUUGCUUUGGUAAAUGGAAUUCAACAGAAUCCACACAUUCAUGACUCUAAAAUUCAGCUUACUAGCAACCAGAUGGAACACACAUUUUCUGGUUCAGGCAUUCGUUUCUGGUCAGAUUCAUGGUAUCUUAGCGGUGCAACAGACGAUGCAGCAACCUCUUCUAGAGUGCCUUUUAUGAGCCUCAAGAGCAAAGGCCAAUGAUAGAUGAAGCGGUCCCUCUGCACUACUUGGGCUUCUGAUUCAGAAGUUAUCAUGAAGCCAACGAACAAGCAGAGUGAACGCAUUUGCAGUCAACCUUAAAAUUUCUAAUAUUGUCAGCAGGCCUGAUGGUAAAAAAACGAAAGUAGGGGAGCCUUAUUCAAGAGGAUCAUUGCGAACACUGUCACGUGUUAUUGGUGAGCUUGUUGGCAUCUUGUUUUGGGCAGAAUAAUGAGAUCCUUCAGUUAAUUAGAGAUCCAUAUCAACUAAACACCAGAAUCAUGGAUUUCCCAUGCUUUCUACUGGACAACGAUUGUCAGUUCUUUCUCUUGUUCACUUCUACUGGCAGUGGCUUGACUCUCCAACAAAACCCCUGAUGCACCCUGUAGCUCCUCAUUUAAUUCUGGAUUCUUAUCAGCAUCGCUUUCUUCUCCCUUUUGAGACUCUUGGAGUAUGAAAAAGAAAACUUGUGAAGAAUAAGGUGGAAUAUCCCAGCAAUGCAGUAUGGUAGGACCCAUUUGAGGGGGAACCCUGCAUUCAUCACUCUCACCUCCAGUAGCAUUAGAUGCUUGCUGGACCCAAUUCAGCCAGUCUCUGCAUAUUGACUCUCAAUAUAAACGUUUAGAAAUAACAAUGACUUCAUUUCUACUGCCUUGUUUAGACCUUCCUUGAUCAAUGUCUACCUUCAUUUCUCACAAAUUCUGGUUCUACUAUUAAAGUUCUGCCCCCAGUCCGUUUUGCAAAGCAUAAGCUAAUUUUAUAUUUGUAUAAUUCCAUCUUAACACACAAGUCCGUCGUAGCCUUUCCUGAGAAGUUAGAGAAGUUGCUUUUCUGAUAUAAAAAAGCCUUUCAGAACCAUGCUGAAGCUCUGAAUGUUGAUAGUUUUCCAUUGCAACUGAUAUGAGCUCCUCAUCGGUAGUGUCACAAGAAUGAUUCCAUGAGAAGUUUCUUGUUGCAUCACCUUUUUUAUGUAUUCCAACCCCAACUGUUGAGUUUCUUGAAAUUGAAACUACGGAACUUAGUUAUUUUGAAUUGUUUGCAUCUGUAGUGAUAAAUCACUGGAAGAGACAAUCAUAAUUUAGGCACUUGAUUUCCGUUUCGGUCGAACUAACAGCUUCGUAACUGUUAAUCUCAAGGUCAGAUUCAUGCUCUUGUUUCUCAAUUUCCUCUUCCCAUGAGAAUUUUUUUCAUAACAAUCGAAUGAAUUCUUAUAACUCCCAAAAGUUUCUAGCUUUUGCUGAUCAUGGAGGUGCCUCACAAUACUUGUCAUUAUACUCACUUUGGAAUUUUUCUGGUCCAUGUUCACUUUGAAUGAAUGUAUCCCUAAAGGGGGUAUUCAAUGACUGCCCAUAAUGAGUUACAAGUUCCCCAAAAUAGAAUAUAAUGAUCGUCGGCCUUACAGUACUGCUGUUUUAAAAUUUUCUGCUCGCUGAACAGUCAUAGUUCAAACCAUCAAUAUCAAAAGGCUUUCCCAGGCACUCAUCUUCAGAACCAUAAGGCCAGCAAGUCUGCAACCGUUUGAGUUGGGUAAAAAAGAAAGUCCUAAGCAGUGGAAGUGCACAGCAUGAUGCUGUCAAGUUUCAAUAACUUAAAUAUUGGCCAACUUAAGCCAGACCAUAUUCCUCAAAAAUCCAUUCUUCCUCUGCUCAUGUAAACUUGUAAUGCUGUCAGAAAUCCUGUCUUCAGAAUAGCAACCCUGACAAUUGAGUAUGGAAAGCAGAAUACCCAUGUGCUUCCAACUAAGCUUUUUACAACCAUCCUCAUAAACUGAGGCGUGCCAUUCUAAAGAAAAGGCAGAGUCUUUUAGAAAUCACAAUACUUCUGAAGCAGCUUGAAUUAGCAUAUUGCAGUAAUUGGAAGUCGGAUUGACUGAAACAGGGGCUCGAACGCAUCCAUCUGUAAAUCUUACAGACCGACCACCCUCAGAGAAAAGGUCUCCAAAAAAAAGGCUUCAGCUUCAUGACAAACAGCAUUCUCUGUUUCAGAGUUGCAACUGCCCCUGUUAUACUACUCCUGUGCACUUCAGCAUUUAUUCUUUAGUUAUACCGUCCCUUUAGAUAGCAUCUAUCCCACACCGUGAAGCAAGCAAGGUUCACUAUAAUAGGAUCUAGUAGCAGCAACAAACGGGUGAUCCUGGAGAUAUUUUAAACUCAACUUCAUCAACAUCUUCAGCGUGCACUUCUGUUGGAACACAAGCGAUAGUAGCAGUGAAAAAAAAAGUGUUGUACUGAUCCCGUUAGGAUUGCAGCCCAGAAUACCACGAACAGAGAGCCCCAAAAAUUGAAGCAACUCUGCAUCCAACUAAAUCACAUCUAGAACCCGGUUUAACGACUUUCUUGUCUUGAAGAGGAAAUACCCAAUCUGACUCAACAAUCUGUUAUCAUGUGCCAAACCCCACAAACAGCCCACAUUCUACGCAGCCUUUAUAAAGUCUCUACCUUUCAUGAAAUACUCAUGCCAUCAUUGUCUCCAUAGCCCAGAACACCAAAGUAAAGAAGAGGAAGAAGCGUAGAUAUAGAAGCACAAAAAAAGAAACCGAACAAAGAAAGAAAAAAAAAAAAAAAAAACGAAAACAGGGGAAUGGAAGGCAAUGGGUGGGAAAUCUGAAUAAGUCACAUUUCAUUAUUUUCAAAAGGGCUUUGAAGAAUCUGAACACAUUAGGACAAGCUUAGUUAAAAUUAUAUCAGGAUUCCACAAACAUUAAAAUUCAAACAUAAGUCUCUGUUUCAGCUAUUUAUAAAAAGAAUCAAAGAAAUCAAGAACACAAUCAUAAUAGAGCAAGUUUGAAGGAAAUUUCGAUUCAACAACGCAAAUAAAUGGCCCUCAAUGUCCACUCCAAUCAGCAAGAACAACUUCCCGAAAACAGCCAGAGAAUCUCAAGUGAAUGUAAACGGGAAUACCAAAAUAAUAAAAAAAAUAACAGGAAGCGUACCUGGCAGAACCUUGGCUGCAAUCUCCCUCUCUUUCUGCUCUUCUCUCCGCACUUUUUCUUCAAGAUCUCUCUUUUUCUCCUUUUUCUCCUUUCUUUCUUUUCUUUCCUUCUUCCUUUUCUUUCCUUCUCCCUCUCAAGCCCAAAAAUCCUAUCUCUCCCUCCGGAUCUCUCCAAAAAAAAAUCCCCAUGCGUGCUGCCAGUCCCACUUUUCAAAAAGAAAACAUCUUGCUGAAAAGGAAAAUCCUACUUCCUUUUCUCCUUUCUUUCCUUUCUUUCUUUUCUUUCCUUCUUCCUUUUCUUUCCUUCUUGUAGCCGAUCCCCACAUGGAAGAAGUAUAUGUGCUGUCCCUCUAAAAAUCAAAAUCUCCUCUUUUCAAAAUUCCGUUGAUUUUCCUUCCAAAUAAAUGGCGGUUCGUUUCCUCAUGCCCAAAAAAUAAAUAAAAUAAAAAAAUAAAAAUAAAAAAAAUAAAAAAUAAAAAAUUAAAAAAAUUAAAAACAAAAAUAAAAAAAAAUCAAUCACAUGCAAGCCAUACGAGCUAUGUAACCACCAAAGGAAUAUGAGUUAUGCAACCAUGCAAAAACACGAGCCAUGCAACCAUGCAAACCAUGCAAAAACAUCUAAAGGUGACCUAGGGUGUGUCCUAGUGCGCUAGGGCAAACGAAAUGGACUAAGUGUGCUUAAAAGCUAUCCUAAAAAAAAGAAAAGCCUACGACUAAGUUAGGGCUGCCAAGGGUCACAAUAAGGGAUCAAAUAAUCCCUCAACCAAAAUCUCCGAGGUGACUCAGAAAAAGGUUAGUGGUAUGAGUAGCCAUGGGCCACCAAGGAACUAUGGGGCACUGAAAACGAAUUUAAAGACAUGUGCUAAAGGGACAAAAUUGAGGGUCUACACCCUCUUCAGUUCUGUUGAAGAUUAUCAAAGAUACAAGCAAAAAUUCUCCCAGAGGAAACUAGGGAGAAAUAUCAAUUUCUCCCAACUUUAGUACUUCGGGUUUGAGGGACUCUUUAGUCGGAUGGGAUAACUGCCAGUUGUGAUGAUUUUCGAGCCGAUCUUCCUGACUCUGGUGCGGGCAUUUUAUUCAUAGGUGACUUAUGGACUUGGAGGACCAGUCAUGUCCACUAUUAGAGGUGUUGAGAUCAGACUGAGCCCGGAGAGCAUUUUCCGCAUUCUCGACAUUCCUUUAGUUGGACUCCGGGUGUAUGAGUCCAAGGUUUGGCCCACUGUGCCGGGAUUCGAGCCUAGAGAGGCUAUUCAGAGGCUGUGCGGACUUGUAGAUGCUGAGGGGAUGGACAAACCAUCGGCACAUAGCCUGACCGUGACCAGCCAAGUCCUUCAUCACAUGAUUUGCUCCUAUUGCCACAAGGCGGGUAUCGAGAUGAGAUUUCCUACCUGGAUGCUUUCAUAGUGGACACCAUUCUAAUGGGGAGAUGGAUUCAUGUAGGGUAUUUGAUGAUGAUGCAUAUGAUAUCCUACUAUGAGAGCACGACCCGAGUACUCCCCUACAGACGCUUCCUCACUCGAGUAUUCAAGGAUGUCGGGGUCGAUUUGAGUAGAGAGACGAACUUCGAGGCCCUUACUAGCUAUGAUACUUACGAUGAGCAGUCCUUGGAGCGGAUAAAGUUUGAGAAGGCCCUCGAUGGCUCCUGGAUUAGGAGAGUUGAGCGAGCUCCAGCAUAGGCCCGGGGACAAGGAUAGAUGCAUCCCGGAGUAGAGGAGGAGGCUGAGAUCAAAGAGAUGGAGGAUGGGUUAGACCCAAGGAUUGAAAUAUCGAUAAAUAUGGAUAUAUCGGUACUUGGAUUUUACGGAUAUAUCGGAAAUAUCGGAGAAAUAUCAAUGGAUAUUUUUCAUCAAAUAUCGGUGAGACAAAAAUUAUCCAAAAUUGAUGGGAAUGCUUAGAAAAAUCCAAAGAAUGAUAAAAUAAGCAAGAAUAUACAUGUUAAAGUUAUUUUAUGAGUGUAAUUGACAUAAAUAUGGUAUAAAAAAAAUAUAUAUCGGUAAACAGUUUACGAUACUUGGAUUUUAAGAAAAGAAAAUAUGAAAUUUGGAAUUGUACACUUAAAAAGUUAGAAUUGAGUUAAGAAAUAUUUGAUUUUAUUAAAUGAAAAAAAUUUACACAUAAACAUAAUACAUAUGACAUUGCAAUGGUCCUUAAUACCAAAAUGAAGAUCGAUGUGGUUCCAUCAUAUUGUUAUUGUUAGAUGAAGGGAGCCCAUCUUGUUGAAGACAAUAUUCAUACCAGGACAUGGAGUUUCGAUAGUAUUGAUUGUAUGUACUAACAUGCCAUGCAUAAAUUUCUUGAGUCCUACCGACAACCUGUCCAUGGAUGGGAAAUCCAGGGUUUUCCCAUGUGCUCGUUUGAAAUCCUUGUUGUUGCAGCUGAUGUAGAAGGUAGUAUGGAAUUUGUGUGGAAGAAUGAUAGUUAUACCUUUCAUACUCUUCAUCAGUGGAACUUGAAAGAUUUUGAGGAGGCUGACCAUAACUCAUUGCAUAAGGGGCAUAAAUGUUGGCUUCAUUUGAUGAAUCACUUAAUUGAGUCUCUACACUCAUCGACUCAAAACUGGCCGACAAUGAGUCCUCGUUGUAUGGCAUCAUCCUUCGUUGUCUUCCUCUAUAUGGCUUUCCAAUGGCUCCAACACCUGGACCGGCUCUUCUAGAGCCGUGGUCUUCAUCUUGAGUACAAUGUGUGAAAUCAUCUUCACUAAUAAAUGCCAAUGGUUGUCCACUUUGUUGAUGUUGUCUAACAUCCCCUUCAUCAUUUUCAGGGUCGCUACCAUCAUUGGUCCCCUCUCCUCUUGAAUCAUCAUAACCGGAAGCGGAAGUACCAGUAGCACUAGGUCUACUACUAUGUUCAACACUCGUGGGGUCAAAAGAAGGUCGAGAAGUGACUACCAGCUGAGAAAUUCCUUGUCGAAAUGAAUCUUUCGUGUCUUGGUUGAAACUAUCAAUAUGAACUUCUUCGGAUAACACUUGAUCAACAUCAACACCUGCUUCUCGGACAUGUGCGGCAAUUCGUGGGUCGAGAUUUCCAUCUUCAUCAUCUAAAUGAAGAGGUCUAACCCAUUGAAACAAUUGGUUAUCUUCUUCUUCACCAGCCUCAGUUGCAAUAUCAAGUAAAUCAAGGUAAUCUUUCUCUGAAACUUUGUCAUGUUCUGCUUCCAUGUCACGUAUCUUUAGUUUCAUGUUAUAAUAAUAGAAAACUAAUUGUUAGAGCAUCGGGUAAGCAAGCUGAUUUCUUUGUUUUGUAUGAAUUAUGGAAAACAUGCUCCAAUUUCUCUCACAAGCUGAAGAUGAUGCAGUUUGCGAUAAAACCUUGAUGACCAACCUUCUUAAUGUAGGAGUGUGAUUUCCAUACAUGAACCACCAUUCAACUACAACCAAAUAAAUGAUAUCAAUACUUAUAUUGGAAAGCUAUAAUAAUAUGCUAAUGAAAUGAAUUAUUAAUUCACAAAUAAUACUCACCGAGAACCAUUUCUAACCUCGAAGCAAUCACUGUUUGAUCACCGAAUCCUCUUUUUGCAUCUCGGAAUAGUAUAAUCUACAUAUUAAAUAAUUGAAAGUGAAAAAGUUGAGUAAAUGAAAUUAAAUUAUUUAAUUUAUAUUAUAACUCUAAUAAUUUACCUCAUUUCCAAAUUGACUAAAACCUUCUGAUGUAGGAUCUAAUUUCGCAAAGACUUCAUGGACAACUUGAAGUAGAUCAGGAUCAGUACCAACUCCAUGUUUAUAUUGAAAUCUUGGAUUAAGAAAGAAUGCUACAAUAGUAAAAUAGAAAUGUAAAAUUAGAAUGUUAUGAAAGAAACAUAUUAAAUACCAAUAAAUUUCAAAGAUGAAUAAUACUUACCUGCUGCAUGAAAAGGAUGUUUAAAAGUUCUAUCCCAACGAUAUGCAAUUAUUUCUAACACCCAUUCUUUAGCAUUAAGUCGAAUAAGGUUCUCUUUCAUAACUCGAAUCAAUUCGUACACAAAUGGCAUUGUAGGAACAACUUCUGAAUCGACAAUGCGAAGAACUGUGUAUAGCGCCUCAUAUAUUGACACUAGCUUUCCCACUCUUUCCUAGUAUGCAUGGUCAAACAUAAGUGAUUCAACUUCUUUGCCGAUUAAUGUGCAACUUAAGUUGUGUUGUGCCCAUUCAUCACUGAUAAAUAUUUUCUUCAAGUUUAUUUUCUUUUUCAAAAGACUGUCGAAGGCUAUAUAAUUGGUUGCAAAUCUUGUUGCUCCAGGACGAACUAUGUCUCCACCACACACCUUCCGCAUCUGGGUAAGCAACCAACCAUGGUUAUAAAUGAAGUUGGUUAUCUUUCGAGCCUUUGUAAUCACAUCUGCAACACUCGUCCUUUUACCGAUAUCUUCGAACAUUAAGUCGAUGCAAUGUGCUGCACAUGGAGUCCAAUAAAGAUUGUAUUUCUUCAUUAACAACUUCCCCGCCUUCAUGAAUGCCGACCCAUUAUCUGUAACUAUUUGGACCACAUUUUGUUUGCCAAAUUCCUUGAUCACAUCCUUCAACAAACCAUAUAUGUAUUUGUUGUCCUUUAUAUUAUUUGAUACAUCAACAUAUUUGAGGAAGAUUGUGCUACCUUUUGAAUAUACCAUGAAAUUAAUUAUGCUUAAUUUCGUGGGCCCAGUCCAUCCGUCAGACAUAAUCGUGCAUCCAUAAGUCUUCCACUUUUCUCUUUGAAUAUUGACAUAAGCUUCUAUGUCUUUGUACUCCAUAUCCAAAUACUCGUGUUUGAUUUCAUAAGGAGACGGUGGUUUUAUACCCAUACCUACCAUCCAUAUAUAAUUAAAGCAUAUAAGAACAUUUGUGGCAAUCAUACUAUAUAAAUAGUAAUGAUAUUGUUAAAAUGAAUACAACUUUUAAAAUUAUAGUAAUUACCUGCUUGUUGUGCACCAACAAUCAUGUUCUUGAAGUGGUGAGAGUCUGUUUUACUGGGCGGAACACUCUCAUAUAUGAAGAACUUACUGAUCAAACGUCCCAUGGUUUCCUUGAUGGCACCACCUUUGAAAAUAUUUUUCAUAUUUUUAUGUCUUGCUACUGAAGAUUUGUACAAUGAGGGUGCAUCAGGCAGUGAUGGAUCUAAAUAUCGAACACUUUGCGAUUUUCGCAUUUGCCUUGUUGUUGGAUUGGUUGGAUGUGAAGACUUGCCUAUUAUAAUUAUUAAAAUUAAACAUAUAUGCUAAUUUAAUAUUAUUGAUAAAGUUGAUAAGAAAUAGUAAUAAUUCAAAUUAAUAUUAUACCUGUUUUUAUUUUGUCUUUUAUAAAAUGUUCUUCUUAUUGUCGAUUCCAUUCAGCAGCUUUUGAUGCUCGAACCGCCUCUCUAUAAGCAUGUCGCUCACCAAGGUGCAUGUCAGCCAGAUACAUAUACACAUCAUCAUCUCCAUCAUCAUCAUCACCACCAAGGUUCUCCUCAUCGUCCUCAUCAGUUACAUGCUUAUGUCUUAUUCCCAUUGUGUCUCGCAGUUCAGAUCGAAUCUCUUCUAUAUCUGUAGCUUUCUUCGCUUUUGCCUUAUUUUUUUGCUCUAGAAGUCGUCUUAUUUAUUGUUUCACUUCUGGAGGCAUGUUAGGACACUUUUUUGUAUUUGAAUUAGGGUCUGUAUGUGAUAGGUGAAAUUUAAAACGAGUAAUCCCACCACUCUUUAUUGCCAACCCACAGUAAUUGCAUACUGUUCCAUUUUUGUCCCCUUCCAUAGGUGUACAAUAUUUCCAACAAGGAUCUCGACCCAUGAUACCGCUUUCACUAGCCAUUUUCUAAAAUUGAAUUAUGAAACUAAUAUCAAAUUUAAAAUUAUUAAAGAUAAAACAUGUAAGAAAUUUAAUAUUCAUGAAAUUGAUAAGAACUAAUAAAAAUUGAAAUUAAAAUUAAAUUAUGCAUAUAUGAAAUAGAUAAACAUUACAAUAAAAUUUCAAUAUGAAUUAAAUUUAAAUUAAAUUAAAUUAAAUUUGUAUAUUCAUGAAAUUGAUAAGAAUCAUUACUAAUAAAAAUUAAAAUUAAAAUUGAAUUAUGCAUAUAUGAAAUAGAUAAACAUUACAAUAAAAUUUCAAUAUGAAUUAAAUUAAAUUAAAUUUGCAUAUUCAUGAAAUUGAUAAGAAUCAUUACUAAUAAAAAUUAAAAUUAAAAUUGAAUUAUGCAUAUAUUAAAUAGAUAAACAUUACAAUAAAAUUUCAAUAUGAAUUAAAUUUAAAUUAAAUUAAAUUAAAUUAAAUUUGCAUAUUCAUGAAAUUGAUAAGAAUCAUUACUAAUAAAAAUUAAAAUUAAAAUUGAAUUAUGCAUAUAUGAAAUAGAUAGACAUUACAAUAAAAUUUUGAUAAGAAUUAAAUUAAAUUAAAUUUGCAUAUUCAUGAAAUUGAUAAGAAUCAUUACUAAUAAAAAUUAAAAUUGAAUUAUGCAUAUAUGAAAUAGAUAAACAUUACAAUUACAUUUCCAUAUGAAUUAGAUAAUAUCAAUUAAACUAUUGUAGACCCCCCUCUUUUGGUCUCGUUUCUUUUUUUUUCCUCUACAUAUAUUAUGUUUGUUUUAGCCAUUGCGGAAGCACCUGGAAGAGGUGUUAGUGCCUUGAACAAGUGGGGGGACCUGGCUGUUUGGAGAGAUGAGCUGCGUGGAACACGUGGUGGAGCAGUUGGCCACAGCCAUGGUGGUGGUUGGGGCUCCAGUUUGCUGAGCAGAGGAACAGUAUAGUAGCUGAUGGCUUGCAGGAAAAGCUUUGACGGAGAAGGAGGACAGAGGAUUUUUAAGAGGAUCCUUUUGAGAGUGCUGGCAGGGGGGGAUCUUGGAGGGAAAGGGAAGAGGAGAAGUAAGUUUUGAGGAGAAAGGGGCUUUCAGGUAUGGCCAUUUAUGAUUUUUCCCGAAUAUUCUGAUCUUUCAUAUCUUUCCCAUCUUACUCUCCAUGAUUCCAGUUUUGCUUGAUGAGUUGUUUUGUUUUGAUGAUUGUUGGUUUAACAUUAAAAAAGAUGGCUGUUUUUUUUGUGUUUUACCCGUGCAAACCUCUUCCAACUUAACCCUUUGAUCGUUAAGCUCAUGGAUGAAAGAAUGAAACGAAGUUAGCACAUUCAUCAAAAGGUUCCCUGCUAUGUUUCUCCAUUUGUUCCCUUUGCUUGAGUAUGUGAGUAUUGAUGCUAAUAGUAGCAAGGUCCCAGCCAACUUUGUACAAUAGAGCUCAGAUGUUGCUCUAGGGGUUCAUGAUCAUCCUGUCAAGUGCCUAGGAGCAAAUGAUGCCCUUGAGCUUACGUUUCUAAGUCGUGUUCUCCCUACCAAGCUGGAUACCCUCCUUGCUAAGGACGGGGGGACGAAACCUAUUAACAGCCGAAACCCAAUGAUAAGAUCCAAGUCACUGUCGAGUAUCUCAAUGAGAAGGAUGCCAUGGUUCUUUCUUCGUGUACAUGUUGUUCCCAUCUCCACCCAAGUUGACUAAACUGUCAUCAGUGAUGAGAUUGCUGCCUACACUAAAUAAUACAUCAUCCAGCCGGUUAUUCAUGAGAAACAUUAAGAUGAGAAGUCCACCUUCCAACACCCAUUAAGCCACUCUUCACACCCAUCUUCUCUCAUUAACAUCCUCAUACCCCUCCCACCACUUCGUGAUUCAUAUCCCCAUCAUCCCCAGCCGUCCAUGCUAUCAAUAAUAUCCCCACUUAUCUUCAUACCCAUUUGUUCCACUAUUCGGAAUCCCCAUGCAUGCGAAACUGGACGCGGAAGCCAUGAUAGCAGAGAUUGUGAUGAAGAACGUGGAAUGCGGUACCCUGUUGCAUGAAGUGAGCAUGGUGGAGCGGCGGUUUGAGGAGUCGACGAGGAAGAUAGAGCUGUAGAAGAGCUUGCUGGAGGUGUUGGAGUUGGAGAGGACGAUAUUGCUGAAUGAUAACGUGCGGCUGGGGCGCGAGAUGAGUGCGCUGAUUGAGGAGAACAAGGGGCUGUGGAGGUCCCGGCUCCUGCUCCGACGCUGGAGGCGCUGAGUCCUCCAGCACCGCCGGCCGAAGCUCCUAGGCCACAGCUAGAUGCGAUCCCAUCCAUCUCCAUCUCUGCCAGGUGAGAGUAGGGCAGAGAAGAUCACGUGCGUGAGGUAGAGGGUAGAAAUGGAUAAAGGGCAUAGAAAAUGGGCUACAGCAAUGCAUGGAAUUGUUUGAUAAAAGAAAAGAGAAAUGGGUUUGUUGACACGUGAAAGAACUAUGCACUUUAAAAAAACUCUCCCUGUUUGUUUUACAUAUUCUCAAACAAUGCUUAAAAAUCCCUUAAAAUUUUAAAGUUAAAAAUUUAUUCACUUAUUCAUGUUUUUCUAUUCACUUCAAAUUCUCGAAACUCAAUCCUAAAAUUUAAUUUCUUCAAAGUUCAAUCUCCAAAAUAACUUUUUUUUUAGGUUCUAAUUUUAACUUUAAUUCUCCAAAGAUCCAAAAUUUUAAAUUUAACUUUCCAAAAAUCCCACAAUUCCGAAUUUAAUUUUAGGUCUUGUAAAUUAGUAUUAUUAUCCCAUAUUUAUUUAUUUAAAGUCCAAUCCUUCAAAAAUCUCAUUAUUAUUAUUAUUAUUACUUCAACUUUCGAAAUCAAUUUAUUCUUAUUAUUAUUAUCAUUAAUCCAAACUUUCAAAAUCCUAUUAUUAUUAUUAUUAACCCAACUCUCAAAAUAUUAUUAUUAUUAUUAUUAUUAUUAUCAUUAAUUCAGACUUUCGAAAUCUUAUUAUCAUUAUUAUUAAUUCAACUUGCAAAACCUUAUUAUUAUUAUUAUCAUUUCAAAACCUUAUCAUUAUUAUUAUUAUUAUGAUUAUCAUUAUUAUUAAUUUAACUUUUAAAAUAUUAUUAUUACUGUUUUUAUUAAUUCAACUUUUAAAAUCUUAUUAUUAUUAUUAUUACUAAUUCAAUUUUCAAAAUCUUAUUAUUGUUAUUAUUAUUAUUAUUGUUAAUUCAACUUUCAAAAUCUUAUUAUUAUUAUUAUUAUUAUCAUUAUUAACCUAUUAUCAUUAUUAUUAUUAUUAUUACUAUUACUAUUAUUAUUAUUAUUAUCAUUAUUAUUAAUUCAAUUCCCCAAAUCUUAUUAUUAUUAUUAUUAUUAAUUCAACUGUCAAAAUCUAUAUUCCCGUAGUUUAAUUUCUCAAAGUUCAUUUCUUAUCAUUACUGUUAUUAUUAAUUCAAUUUUCAAAAUCUAUAUUCUCGCAGUUUAAUUUCUCAAAGUUCAUUUCUUAUCAUUACUAUUAUUAUUAAUUCAGCUUUCAAAAUCCAUAUUCUCGCAGAUCAAUUUCCUAAAGUUCAUCUCUCAUUUUCUUUGACGAAUUUCAAUUUAAUUACCGAAGCUCUAAUCUUUCAAAGUUAAUUCCAAAUACUUCAAUUUUCAAAUAAAGUCUAAUAAUCCAGUUUUCACUCGAAUGGUUUUAAUCCCAUUUCAGUCCCUAAAUAAUCUUCUGGUAUUCUUGAUUUUAUAUAAGCAAUAGUGAAUUCUUCAUAAUUCUAAAACACGGAAUUUGUGAGACUGGUUCAUGAAUAAUAAAUUGGGUUUUGGUGGGAGGCACUAUGUUUGAUCCCUAUUGAUUGUCAACUGUUGUGCUUAAUGUAUUUUUGCUUGAUCUUCAUUUUGCACCCUGAUAUGCAUGAGUUAUAAUUUGUAUUCAUUAAUUAUGCACUAAUCCUGUUUCUUGAUAGCAAAUUGCUGUUUGCUACCCAGGUACGCAUUCACUCAUUCUGAUCAUUCACUAUACGUAUUCUGAUUCUCAUAUAUGCAUGAUUAAUGUGAGUAUCCAUUGACUUUCUUAUUCGAUUGCCACGUCAGUUUCACUUUAUUAGUAGAGACCCGACUUUAGGGACUUUGAGGGGUGCUAUGGUCUCUACCGUACCUUCCCGAUAAGUAACCUGACCCUCGAACCCGAUCCGGUUUUUCACAGACCACCUUUUCCAAAACAAGGAGUCGCACUUAGGGUUUUUCUUUCUUAUUUUGUUUACCCUUUAAAAAUAAAACAAAAAUAAGUGGCGACUCCAAGUCAUUUUCAAAUAAUCAAUAAAAAUCAAGUUUUCAAAUAAAAAUCGAGUUCGUCAUCGAGUGGGAAACGCAUUGAGCCGAAAUGCGGGGUCCACAACUAUAUAUAACAAAUAAAAUUGAAUUAUGCAUAAUAAAAUAAAUUUUAUGAAAGGUAAGACAUACCUUAAUUAGCUUUGACUUGGAGUUAAUCCCUUUCACCAACAAAUUUUCAAAAUAAAAAAAUUUUGCUAGAUCAUAUAAGAAUUUUGAUGUAUGAAAUGGAAUGGAAUGUGGGUAUUUAUAGGAAUUUUUUGGUCAAACUACUCGUUGGAUGGUCAAAUAGCCGUUAUAAAUUAAUUUUAACCGUUGGAUCAAAAUUUGGUUCAAAUUUCACCAUUAGAUCUUCAUAUAACCGUUGGAAACACUCCAUAGCCCUUGGAUAAAGUGAAGAUUGAUUUUCCACCAUUGGAUCACAAAUCUGACCAUUGGAGGCCUUUAUAAACACACGGGUGAAAUUUGGGCCAUCAGAUCCUCAAAAAUUCAAAUUUGGCCGUCAGAUCAAAAUCCUUGAAGCUGUAAAAAAAUCACCGAUUAAUCGCGAUUUUCUCGGCAAAAAAUCGUUGAUAUAUCGGUAAAAUAGCUGAUUUUUUGGGCUCCUCCUCCGGCUUCUUCGUGCGUGCCUCUACUCGCGAUUUUUCGUCGAUUUAUCGGUGAAGCACCGAUAUUUGGCCGAUAUAUCGGCGAUUUUGCCGAUUUUUCCGUCGAUUGAUAAUCGGUGACGAUUAUUAUUUCGGUGCCGCCCAAUAUCCGAUAUUUCUCCGAAAUAUCGAUGAUAUAUCCCGAUUUUUCAAUCCCUAGUUAGACCCUUAGAGGGAUUUUAAGUAGAGAGGGCCCGAGCUUGACAUUUCUCCUCCACCUCAUUCAGAUGGUAUUCAUGUUGAGACCACUUUCUUAGAGCCUAUGAUGAUUGAGUCGUCUUACACUACAGGAGCAUCAUCUCAGCCAUCAUUCACCGAGCUUCCUCACACAGAGAUACCAUCUCAGGCACCUCACGCUUCUGAUCAUGCCCCUUGGAUGGAUGUAUCAGCUCAUAUCAGCUUCCUUGGGACUCCUAUGGAGGAGCUUGCUUUAGUCAAUGAUACUCGAUUCUACUCUAUGGAGGAUCACAUAGAUCAGUAUCAGACUGGCUUCACUUCUCGUUUUGAGCACUUCCAGCAGAGAUUUGAGCGUAUAGAGGAGCGUAUGGAUCAACAGCAGGCUACAGUUGAGCAUCUCCAGCAAAGUAUUGAGCGCAUUGAGAGUCGCCAGGCGAGUUAGCAUGAGGAGAUGAUGGCUUACCUCCGCUCCGUGUUUCCAUCUUCACCCCCUCAGCCUUGAGUUUAUCUAGAGUUCCCCCUCAAUUUCUUUUUUAUGUUGCUAAAGGGGGAAAAAUAUCUAGGAUCUAGGAAACCCUCAUGCAUAUCAUUGUCAUAUCUAUCUUGAUUAGCAUAUAUGUUAUGUUUUCGUGUACAUGUGAGGUUACCAUAUAUAUGAUAUGCUAUUUUCAUGAUCCAUUGUUUCCUAUUCAAUUUUUCAUGCUUUACAUUGUUUCCUAUUGAAAAUUGAUUGAUUGAUCCAUGAUUGGUUUGAGGGGGAGAUUUUUUUUCUCUCCUAGAUAACCAAGGUUGGUCAUCAUAAAAAAUGGGGAGAUUGUUAGCCUAAGGGCUCUCCUAAUCGGGUUUUGAUGAUAACAAACCAUGGUUAAAUGACUAAUUGGUUUAAUGGUUAAGAAUCUCAGGCAUAAACUCGAAAAUUCAUCAAAUGACCAAAUGGAUACAAGAUCGAGACAUUUGGAAGACUUGUGAUCAUAGGAAACUAAUGUAAGAUAAAUACAUGAGUGCACUUAGGAUUUUCAUACCGUUUCAUGCAAUUUAGAAAACUCGGUUUAUUUUUUAAAACUUCGAUUUCAUUAAAACCCGAGUUUUAACAAAUGUACCUUAGGCAAAAUGUUUUAAAAUUGGCAUAAUAAUUCACCUAAAAACCUUGCCUAAGUGUUAGAAAAAAAAUGAAUUCAAAAAGAUAGGUUUUUAGGGCCAAAAGGCUCAACCGGUUGGAGAACCAGUCGACCAAUUGCCCUUCUCCGGUCGAGGAAUGCACAAAAUUUUCUCUCUCACAGUAGCCUUCUCUUCCCAGUCGAGGUUAUUCUCUUCCCGAUUGAGAACUGGUCAAGGUCCGGUCGAUGACCGGUCGAGGCAACGGUAUCCUGUCAAGCAUUAAAUGCUCCAACGGCUAGUGAACCGGUUGACCCCUAGUUCGAUCGGUCGAGGUUACCUUUUGCUGUUUUUGGCUCCCGAGCUUAGAAACCUAUAAAUUGAGAGCUCCACUUCAUUUAUUGACGAGAGAACACUUGCAACUAAUUGUCUACCUACCUGUUCUUGAUCAAAAAGCUUUCAUUUCUUUCUUAGUGCAUUAAAUCUUCAAUUGCAUAUCCUUUAGUGCACUCUUGUGUGUCAUCCUAGCUUUGUCUUAUAUUUGAGCUAUCCUUAAGCUAGGUUGAGGGAUUCAUUCUUGUAAAAAUCGAGUGUUAAAGCCUUCAAGAGGUUUAAAUCUUGAAGAGAUUGUGUAAGAGCCCAUUGGAGCCGGAAUCCAAGUGUAAGAAGAUUGGAAGCUUGGUUGAAACUUUAAGUUAGUGGAACCCUCACUCAGUUAGGAGAUUGAGGAGAGUGGACGUAGGCAAGAAAGUGCCGAACCACUAUAAAAUCCGAGUUUGAAUUCUUUAACUCUAUUUCUUUAUUUUGCUUAUAUUUUGCUUGAACUCGUUGUGAUCGAAAAGAAUUUAAAAAAUCCAAUUCACCCCCUUCCCCUCCUUUUGGGUGUUUUUCUUAAUUAAGCAUAGCCUAUAUUUUCUCAUAAAUAAUCUCACAAAAUCCUAGUACAAACUUUAGCCUCAAAUUAUACAAGAUAAACUAGGAUUGAAUGGUGCACUAAUGAUAUGUAAGUUUUAAAACAAUGUGUACUAAAAAACACUCCCCUAAGGCUCAAUUAUAUUCAAGAAAGGUUUAAGAAGGUUAAACUCUUGAAACUAUAAAGAUUGAAGCGUUUUUAUAGAAGAGAAAAGCCAAACUACCUAUUGGGGGUUCGUCUGGUCGAGCUCUGGUUCGACCAGUUCACUAGCCAUUAGCAUUUAAUGUAUGAUAGGUGACCAUUGGGCCUUGACUGGUACUCAAUUGGAUGAAGUUCAACCUUGAUUGAUCGAAUAAGCAUUAUGGAAAAGAGAUAAGGUUUUUGCACCCUUCAACUGAGUAAGUUGAAUAAGUCGACUAAUUCCUCAUUCAAUUCAACCAAUUAAGUCAUUUUUUGCUAAAAAAACCAUCAUUUUCAACUUAAAACCUUUUAAACAAGUUUGGAAAGCAUUUGACAUAAGGUUUUAGUUGAAAACAUGAAAUCAUCCAAUUUUUAAAAGAUUUAAAACAAAAUAACUCUUGAAUGAUUUUAGUGUAUAAGUAAAGAAUGUAAUGCAUGAAAAACCCCAUGCACUAACAACCUUACAAAGAGAUCCUAUGAGGCUUAGGUCUUGAAAAAACACUUAUCUUUAAGGUUUUCUUCUUCUUAUUGAUUUUAUCUUUGUGAUUGCCACUUUGGAAAUCAUCUUGCCUAGUCACACUUAAAAUAUAAUCAUUAGUUCUAAACCUUGUUUUGUUAUCAUCAAAACUAAGAUUAACCAAACCUUGGUUUCACAGUAUGAAUAUUGUAUCUUUAGAUCUAUAGUUAAUAGUGGUUUUUAUAGUCAUAUGUUUCUAUUGUGAUAAAUUUAGAGAUGCCUAGGGAUAGAUGAAUGCACCCUAUGAGAUCUAGUGCAUAUGAAUGGAGUAAUCUGGGGUUCCUAACAUAGUUUAGGCUUGUGCUUCAUAGAGCGAUAACAAUUCUUCAAGCAUAGUUAUGCUUUAGAAAUUUGUUAUUGAUUGGUCCAAUUUUUAGACCAUCUUUAGCAACAAUCUUGUGGGCACCAUUGAUAUAAACUUGUUAUACAAAAUAUGAUCUAUCACAUUUUUGGCAAGAACUUUCCACUAGUUUUGUGCAUGGUAAUGAUCAUGCAUGCAAACUUAACUAAGUUAUACACUAGAUGCCAAACUACUACAAUUCUUAUACACCUUCCCAUUUUGUGCAACCGAACAAUUCAACAUCAUAACACCAAAGUUCUUGCUUAGAUUUCCUACAGUGCUAAAAUUUUGAAAUGAUUAAUUUUUUUAUUUUCCUUUCAAUACCAAGACCCACAUACAUCAUGUCAUGCCCUAAGACCCACUCUAAGGGCAUGACAAUCAUUUCACAUCUCAAGGUAGAAAGCUCAAAGUGUAAAUUGACCUUAACAUUCAUUUUGUAACUGGAAAAUUAUCAAUUACCAAAUUCAUAUUCAAAGUAGUAGAAUAAAAUUCUAUAAGUUUCAAAUCUCAACUUUAAAGCUAACACAUCAACUAAAGUGUUAUUGUCCAAACAACUUCAAACUUAACAAUUCAAGCAAUCAUUAAAUUCUAGCUUUCAAAAAAAUAAAGUUUUAACCAAAAGUCUUAAUAUUGCCAAAAUAUCAUCCUAACGAUCACUCCUAGCCCGAAUUAAGGUGCCUAAAAAAUUGUCAAUGAAAGGAAAUGAGAUCAACGCUCAAUAAGGAAUAUUAACAAAGUUUCAUGGAUCAAACAUUUUUAAUUAUAAUUCCAAAUAGGAGAUAUAAUAUAUAAUCAUUUUCAUAAAAACUUUUGAGUUUAAAUAUAAUAAUACAUUCAAAAAUUUUUAGCUAAACAUUUUCAUAUCUAUGUCAAAACAAUUUCAUAUCAAAUUCAAAUCAAAUAUAUACAAAAUAUUUUUAUUUUGGUUAUCAAAUAUCACAUGGUGUCAAGUUAGGUGGGACUUUACAAAUUGGUGUCUAGCCUCAAAUUUUUUCAUUUCAAGGUGGAUGAAACCAAACACUACUAGUAUUAUUAACAUCUAACCAAAUGCCUAAAGGGUGGAAUCUAAAGCAAUUACAUGCCCCGCCAAGAAAUAUAAGGUCAACAAUUAUAACUAGUUAACUAAGGACAAAAAUAAACUAGAGUCAAACACCUUAUUUCAUUAAUUCAAACUUACAAAACAAAAACAUCAUAUCUCCAUAAUUUUCAUUUUUUAUAAACAAAAGAAAUGUUCUAACAUAUUUUUUUCAUGAAAAAUAUAUAUUUGAUCCAUGCAUAAAAAUAAAAAUAAUUUUUUUUAUUAUUCAAAAUAACAUAUAAAAGUAAAUAUGUUCUUUUGGCCAAAACAUGUAUUAAUUUUUCUUACCUCAAAGAAACACUCAAAGACCUUGAAGCAAUUAAUCCUGAAGAAUUUCACCCCAAAAAACAUAUUUCAUACCUUACAAAAAAAAAACAAAAAAACAAAAUUACUAUUGAUUAUUUAUCUAAUAAUAGUUUCGUAUCUCAUAUCACCUAUAUUAUUUUUAACUUCCUAAUAAAUAACAAUUUAAUAAGUGAUUUUCCAAAUUUUAAAAAGUUAUGUUCUUUCCAAAAUUUAUUCAUAAUAUUCUAUUAUUAUUAAUUAAAUCUCUCAAAAAUAUGUUUUUUCUAUUUAUUGCAUUAAACUAUUAUUAUUAUUAUUCAAUUUCAAUUUGAUUAAUUGGUUUUUUCUUUUAAAUUUUUAAUUUAUAUAAGAUUCUUGUUUUGAAAAUCUUCCAUAUUUACUUAUUUGUUUAAAGUAAAUUUCUCCAAAACUUGUUCCUUUUUGUUAAACAAAUAUCUUUUCCUAUUAUUAUUAUUAUUAUUAUCCCUAAUAUUAUAUUCAAAUAACUAAACAAUAAUAAUUUAAAUUAGUGAGUUUCCAAAUUUUUAUAAAACUCAUAUUCAUUCUAAAUCUUAUCAUAUAUAUCUAUUUCUUUUAUAUAAUUAAAUUAAAUUAAAAAUUUUACUUAAAUAUAUAUAUAUAUAUAUAUAUAUAUAUAUAUAUAUAUAUAUAUUAUAUUAUAUUAUUACUUUCAACAUCCUUCUACCACCGAAACAAUUACCUCAAGUAAAAGUCAUCUAUCCUUAUUCUACUAACUACCCUCUCUCUUGCAAUAGCACACUUAGGGAUGGCAAUGGGGCGGGUUCAGGAUAGGUCACCCCCAUCCCAACUCCACCUUGUUUAUUCAAAAUAAUUAUCAUCCUCGUCCCAUUUAAAAAAUUAAAUGAGACGGGGCGAGUAUGAUAAAUUCUCAUACUCGCCUCGUCCUGCCCCGUUUAACUUUUUUUUGAAUUUAUUUAUUUAUUUAUUUUUAAAAUUACUUUUAAAAUUUUUAAUUACAUUAAAAUAAAUAUAUUUUAUAAAUAAUUAAAUAAUUAUAUUUUUUAUUACUUAUUUUAUUAAAAAUAUUUUAUUAUUAUCUAUAUAUUAAAAAUAGUAAAAUAAAAAUUAAAUUAAAUUAAUUUUAAAAAUUAAUUUUAUAUAUAAUUGGGGCGGGGUGGGACGGGGCAAUACCCAAACCUGCUUCGGGUUUUAAAAAAAAUUCUCAAACUUGUCCCAAACCCGUUUAUUAAAAUUGAACUCCGUCCCAUUAGGGACGAGGCGAGUACCUCGAAAAAACCUGCCUUAUUGUCAUUCCUAAGCACACUUUCAUUUUUUUUUUUUCAUUUUUAUUGCUUUUAUCUUUUUCCUCCCUAAGAUCAAUCAUAUUGUAAGCACCCCUUUUUUUUUUCUACCACAUCUUGUUGCAAUCAACCUUGUAAGUUUUUUUAAUUUAAAUUUUUUUUCCACUAUGGAGGCACGUACAACCAUAAAACCCCAUCUUUUUUUAUUUUAUUUUUACAACUCUCAAAUCUCUCAACCUCCAUACUAUUAGGUUUUAUUCAUUCAUUUAUUUAUUUAUUAUUCCAUAUCCAAAACUAUAAUUAAUUUUCUUUUAUAUUUUUUUAUUUUAGAUCUAUUAAUUUGAAUAUUCAAAAUUUCUAAUCUUUACUAAUAACUCUAAAGCAUUCAAAACUAAUUAAUAAAUAUAAAAUAUUAAUCUAAGGAUUAAAAUCUUAUAUAGAAAAUUGAUCUUCAAAUCUUAAACCCCCAAAUUUUCAACCUUACAUUGCGUUGUCUAAUAUCUCAAAUCUCCAUGUAAAAGGGCUUUUGAAUAGAGUAAAUAAGAAAAAUUUAAUUUAUACCUAAAAUUUUUAAAAUAGAGAAAAAUCUUUCUACCCUUAUUAAUUUAAUUUAAUUAAUUUUUUAAAAUUAUGUUUUUACCCUUUAAUUGGGUUUGGGCAUCACACAUCAUACUAAAAAGUUAUCAAUAACCGUCCUUUGAGGCAUAUUAGCAUAAAUUUGCAACUUUAGUUGUGUUCUAGGUGCAAUUCUAUUAUGUUUAAUUGAAAAAUAACACACAUAGCACAACCAAGCCUAAUUGAAAGCAUUUGGGCAAAUAAAUGGUAAAUUUCUAAAAGUUCACCAAAACAAAAAAAAAGAUCAUAGAGGGCAUAUUUUUCAAGUCAACCUAGUUUUGGGAUAGCCACUUUCAAGCCUAAUGAUGUUAAGAUGUCUUAUUGCAAUCCAAUCUAAGAAUGCAAUAAUAGCUCUUUAAUUCAUAAUUUUAAAUUCACAAAAGAUAUCACCAAAAAUUACCAUAGGUUACCAAAGCAUCAACAACAUACAGAAAGCUUAGAAAUGCUUGGAACCUAUCGGAUUUUCACUUUUUAGGAAUAAAAAAAAAAAUCAACUUUAAGGAUUUUAGGGUAAUACUUGCUUGAACCAUCUUUCAAUCCUUUUGUUGGUGGUGGGCCUUUUACCUAUAGGAACAGGAAUAAGAGGUGAAAAUGAGGGAGCCUUAUGAAAACAGAUCCCUAGGGCUUAAGAAGGGGUUUUCAAUUUUAGGGUUUGCCUUUUCACCAAGGAUGUGAAUGGGAAGAUCAAGUGAAGUUAAGAGAUUGGUGAAGCAAAGUGAGGGCAUGGUAGGGUUUGAAUAAGGGAAAUUCUACACUAUUAAUGAAGAUGAUAAUCUCGAGAAAGCAAAGCUAAGGUAAACUAGGGUUUUAAUAACAUUUUUCAAUCUACACUAGUGAAGACGAUAUCUUCGAAAACCAAAGCUAGGGUAAGCUAGGGCUUUAAUAAUGAAUUUCAAUCUACAAUGGUGAAGAUGAGAAUCUUCGAAAACCAAAUCUAUAAUGGUGAAGAUGAUUGAAAACUAAAUCUAUACUGGUGAAGACGAUUGUAAAGCAAAUCUACACUAGUGAAGAUGAUAAUCUUCGAAAACCAAAUCUAUAAUGGUGAAGAUGAUUGAAAACUAAAUCUAUACUGAUGAAGAUGAUUAGAAAGCAAAUAUUCACUGGUGAAGACAACGAAACCAAAGGUAGGUCUUCUAAACUAAACCCUUUUAGGGAUUUUCCAUUUUUUUUCCUUUGUUUUCAAGAAAGGUAAACUCUCUUGAAAACCAAAAAACUAAUGCAUUCUUAAAUCCAGAUCACCAUUUUCAACAUAGUAUUUGGAUUUCCACCUUGCAUUUUUUAUUUUUUAUUUUUUUUAAUAGUCAAGGGCAUUUUAGGGAUUAUUGAAGGAUAAUAUCAAUAAGCUCAAUUUCCUACAUUAGUUAGGUCUUAGGCUCAAAUGUGAAACUUAUAGGGAUGUUAGGCCAAUUAUCAAACUUACUUGCCUAAAGCAUAAUUUCCCCUUUUCAAAAUAGUUGUUAAACAUCAAUCCCAAACAUGUGUAACCCUUUGAAGUACUUGUAUGUCAACCUUGUUUCCUUUCCCUCAUGCAACAUGACUUAUUGAUGGUUGCAUUGAAUCAUUAUCAUUCACCAAAUCCAUGCAACUAUGGACUACCUUUCAAAUCCCUUGAACAUAAAUGGUAAUUCCAAAACAACUCAAGUAUAAUCUUUCCGGCCUUUCAAAUGAUUUAAUUAAUUGAUGUUUGAAUAUACUUCAUAUAUUUUUUUAGAGCAAUUUUUAGGCAUAUGACAUAAAUCUCUAAUUUUUUUUAUUUUUAUAAAAGGUUUUAUAUUUUAUAUUACAAUUUCCUCUCUUUUUUUUCAUCUAAAAAACAAAAUAUAAAACCUUAAUAAACGAGUUUUGUCACAAUCCCUUAAAAGGUAAUCUAUUUUUAAAAAUUACUUUAACCAUUUUAGAUAUAUUGAUUCAGUCUAAUUUAAUUUUAAUAUUUUUUAUAAAAUAUUUUUAUUUUAUAUGAUUAUAAAUUAAUUACCAUUGAUUGCAUAUUAUAGAAUAUAUAUUCUAAAAUAUAUCCUAUUGACAAUAAUAUCAUAAGAUAUUAUAUCCAUAUCCUAAUAUAUUAUAUACUUUUAUUUUGUGCAAUUAGCAACAGGGUGGAAGACGGCUUAGGCGGGAGACGGCUUAACGGAAAUGUCGUCUGCCAUGCGUGUCCCUUCCCUUAGUGAGUCUGAACAGCUCCAACAUUUCUGACACGCCCUUCUUCGGUUAGCUCUUAAGUAUUUUCGUUAACCCCAUCACAUUUCGCCAUGUGGAUCUAAGCCUCAUGGUCCUUUCGUUCGUACUAUGAAUAUAUUCCUUAUCUAGAGUCUGGAUCCUUUAUCUCUGCACGUGUCUAUGGCUCUUCACCCCAGCAAGUAUGGCAUUACAAGGGCAAUAUCGUCAUUAAAGACCCAAAAGGCAAACGAAUGGCAUUAUCUUCCUUUUGGGUCUAUUCUAUUUAUAUUUAUAUUGCAAGUUAUUCGUGAUGACUUCUCUCAUAACAGCUAAAAACCACUCCAACAGAGCACACUUCACUUCUUCGUUUUUGUCUUUCCUCUUUUUUUUCCAGAGAAGCUGAGAAAGCCCAGCUUGCCCUCAACUCCCCGAUGGGUUUGAUGAAUGUUCUCAAAUUCUCAGCUGCAUGCUUUGAUCUUCUUGGCUGGUAUGUUGUCCACGGAUUUUCUCGUCAUUGGAAAAUGAAGUGGAAUUCUAUGUUUGAGGACAAAACUGGGAUUUGCUUUGAUUUCUCCAUGUUGGUUUUAUCCCUUUCCUUUGAAUUGUCCACAUUCUUGUCAUUGGUUGUUAGUUAUUUGUUUGGAUUUCUACUUGCAGGCCUCUGUUUGCACUGGGUUAUCCUCUGUAAGUCUUGGUCUUACACCCCAAGAUAUGAUCAUUCAUUUACUCUUUUCUUGUUCUAUGAAUUCUUAGUUCUGUUACAUUUAUUGGGUUGGAUUAUUAGUUAUUAUAUUAAUAAUCAUCAACGUCAUCUCGGUUCUUCACAGAUGUGCUUCAAUUCGGGUAAUUGAGACUAACUCAAUCUCAGACGUUCGGAAGUUGGUGGCGUAUUGGGUUCUAUUUUCCUUGGUUUCACUCUUUGAUCAUACUUUUGCCAAGCUCCUUGAAUGGUAAUUUUGCUCAACUGCAUUCCACUAUAUGUGGCUCUAUUUCUUUCAUUUCUCUGCCCUUAAGGAAUUUGGAGUUGCUUUUUUCAGUUUUCUUCCCUGUGAAAAUAAUCGAGAUGUUUAAUGUUCCAGGCCUGCAUGCUCAAGGAAGUGGUGUCAGCUUUGGAAAUAAGAUGGAUCUACUAGUUUUUAUUUCUCAUCUUUAUAGGGAACUUUCCAUAAUCACAGUGAUGAAUAAUUGUCUUGUUUGAAAGCAUGGUUGCACUUAUUUCCAUGGAAUUUGUCUGCUGAGAAACAAAUGGAAAUAGAAAAUUCAGAAUCUGACAAGUUUGUGUAGGGCAACUGGAUCUAAUCUCUUAGUCGAAGCUUAAUUGGGGCAAAUGCUGAUCAUCUUUGGACCAUUGAAGGCUCUAAUCUGUGCACAAUUCUAAUGUUUUUGUUUUCUUCAUUUCUUUUUCAACUGUUCAUAAUAGAUGUCAAAAGAUAAAACCGAACUUAUGUAGUCCAUCCAAGUGGAUGCAUAUAAAUUUAACAGAAACUGAAAUUCGAAGAAAUUUAUUUAUUUUUUUAAAUAUUUUAUUUUCUUAUAUAAUGCAUGUCAGGAUACCAUUCUGGCCUUACAUAAAGCUGAUGGUCAUCUGCUGGAUGGUGAUACCGCAUUUUGAUGGUUCAUAUUAUGUCUAUCAACACCUAGUUCAUCCAUGCUUGUCCAUUGAUCCACAAGUUGUCAUGAAUUGGCUUUUCAAUGAAUCAAAAAAGAAGUUUCAUAGCAGAGAAAACUUUCUUGUUUCAGCAGACCAAUAUAUUAAGGAGAAUGGACCUGAAGCUUUGAAGAAACUACUUGCUAGGAAGGUAUGCCAUUAUAAGUAGGAUUAUCAACAAGUCAAACAGAGUUUUAUUUGAGAUGUUCAAGUAAAAAAUGACUAUAGCAGGUCAUCUAGAAUUAUGUGGUCUAAAUUCAUGUAUAUAUCUAUAUAUAAUUGUGUUCUCUUUUUUUCACAUAUGCAUGUGCAUUUAGAUUUACAUAAUUAUAUAUGCAUAAUCAGAUUCAACUGUGAUAGCCCGGGAUUUAAUUCAGUAAUCAACUCUUCUGGGAACAUGUUGGUUAUGGUUUCUCUCUCACUGUCCUCUUAUUUAUACAUGACUUUGGCUUCAGUUGAGGAGCACAAAGCCUAAUGUUGAAGUGAAAGAGAUCAAAGCACCUGCAGCACCGGAGAAAAAAGGGGAAGCGGUAUGCACUCUAAUGUGGCUAUUUUAUUUCUAUGGAGGCAGAUCCCCAGAAAAAUGUUGCUCAUGUAAAUUAGUGAUGCAUUUAAAAGAAAAACCACUUUAUGUAUGUUUCUGUGAAAAAGAGAACAAGUUUAUGGAUUAAGUGAUAUUUUUUAUGGUGAAAUAAUCAAUAAUUUUCAAAAUAAUAAUAUAUUCGUGCAUGUUUUUGCAAUUCAUGAAUUCCUUUUACGAUUGAUUCUUCUCACCUCAGUGGAAGUGUGAAGAGCCUAAUGUUGCAGAAAAGGAGAUCCAAGUAGUCAAAGUAACAGACAUAAAAAAUGGGGGGAUGGAGCAAAGAGGGUAAGUUUUCCUUUUUAUUUAUAAGGAAGGCUGUCUUCACACAAGGAUUAUUGUUAUUAUUUUUAAGACAUGAAUGUUGAAUGCAUUUGGAAUUGUCGUUGAAUCAUGUGAAGUGUGAAGGUGCAAAUGGUGCUAAGAAGGAGAUCAAAGUGAUGGAAGUAACACAGAUAACAUUUGGUGAUACAGAACAGUGGGUAAGGUUUCUUGUCAUACUUAAACGGCACCUCAUAUUUCACUAGGAUUAAUUUUGGCCUACAAACAUAUUUGGCUACAAGUUGAAGACAGAUUUCCAGAUACUGGUAGAAGUUGAGACAUAAGUAAUGAAUGAGUUUAGAAACAUGCACAACUCUUGUGUGAAACACAAUGAGAGUGGAAAAUAGCUAAGUUGAAAAAUGGCCAAAUACUAUUUUGUAGUUCCCCCCACCACUUAAGUAAUUUUUGUCAUCCUUUGUGAAUGGACAAUGCAGUCCCUUCAGUAAUUCCGCUAUAUUCAUGACUUGGUGAAGCAUAUAACCAUUAGUGUCUUGUCCUAAGUUGACCUUUAAUGAUGAUCCAUUGAGAGGGAUCUGACUUUUGUCAACCCUCUUAGAGGUUAAACAUACGGGGCUUAACCCACUUUUCAAUCUCAUUGGAUAUAUGGCACGUGGUAUCCUCUUCAUCUUGAAAGAGUGAAGUGGUCAUACUCUUUCCUCCGAGUCCAUCGUGGCCAUGCACUUCUGGCUCAUUGGGCUGAGUGAAAGGAUUCCCUUCUGCUUCAAAUCAUAGAGAGAUAUGCCAUGGUCAGCCUCUUUAAUUUGAAGGAUUGAAGUACUCAAAUCCAUUUCUUUGCAUCCAUCUUAGUCCUGCUUCCAUGUCUCAUGGUUAACCAGGAAGAUCAAGCUUCCAUCCAUGAGAUCAGCAUCUGCAGGGUUAUGACUCCACCCUUCCUUGGCAUAGGAAAGCGAUCAUUAAGCCACAUGUCGGAUGACAGAAGUCGUCAUUCAGGUUAUCUUGAGAACUAGGGAAGUUGGAAUUCUAAUUAUUGCAUAUGGUUCUUGAUGUUUAGCCAAUAUACUAUAGGAUUUUAAGCAUCAUGCCCAUGUGCAUUGUGGUUUUUUAUCAGCUAUAUGGUUUACCAAACUGAGGGAUUGAUUAUAGUCAUAAGUACCCUUUUCCCAUUAAUUUCUUGCAUGUGCUUUGCUGAGAUUAUGUUUUUGACAGUGCUAAUCAGGGCAAACCAACAAACAGCUUUAUGUUAACUUUUACAAACUGCCACAUUUUCAGGUUGAACGAUCAGACAUAAAUCUUGGUGAAACUAGAAGUAAUACAACCUGUGCUGUGGAGAUAAAAGAAAGGGCAGCAGCACUGGUGGCUGCAGAAAUUGAGGCAUGUAGAGACAAUAGAACCCCCGAGAUACCUCUGCAUAAGAAAGUCCAGAAAGAGUGGGCUUGUGCUGUAUGCCAGUUCACAACCCAAAGUGAAGUGACCUUCAAUUCCCACCUUCAAGGGAAGAGACAUCAGGCCACUUCUGAGCAGUUGAGAGCCAAAAACCAGGCAACCAAAACCAAUUGUUCCCCAUCUGCUUCAAAGGCCAAGAAAUCUGAUCAGUCCACCAAAGAGGAGCAACCAAAGUGUCCUUCCAACAAUCUGAAUUCCAAAAACAAUGGAAUCUCAGCUGCUUCAACAGUGAAGAAACCUGACGAGACCAAAGAUGAUGAGCAACAAAAGUGUGCAUCCAGCAAUGGACCAAACCAGAAGAAUAACAAAAAGCAAGAGGAGAAGGUGCUAGUUCUUGAGACCAAUGAGCAAGGCCAUCAGAAUAAUUUUGAUCCACGAUCCCACAUUUAUUUUGGGUCUCACAAGUUUCAAAUUUGCAGAAAAAUGAAAGAUGUUUGAGAGAAAAUUAAAUCAUAUUGCACUACUGUUAGGAAAAAUAUGGCUGAAUCCAAUUGCUUUUCUUCUCCAAGUCUAUUAAAAAUAUAAUUUUUUCUCCAUUCCUGACAAAAUUUAAAUUUUUUCCUUAAAAAAAAAAAAAUUAAGUUUGAUCACCUAACACAUCUUUCUAAACUCAAUCUCAACUUGAAAAAUCAAACCUUAAUGGAUGGACUAUAGAAAUAGUGAGAAAACACUUCUGGGGUUUUUUUUUUCUUCCAACAUCAAAUUUUUCUAUAUAUGGGAUUUCACAUGCAAAAGCAGGAGUAGAUUUGCUUGUGUUUGAUGUAUGUAUUAGAAAAAUUUGUCCCUUCUGGGAUGUUUAAUACUUUUCUAUUCUUUUAUAUGCAUGUUUAGCUAGAAGAUAUAGAAUCGAUACCAUUCCUUAAAAGUGAUAGCCACAACUGUGAUAAUUAAACACCAAAGAAUGUGAAGAUCUAUAUAUUCUUUUUUUUUUCCUCUCUCUUUCAAUAAUGAAGCUAAGAUGUGUUGUAAGCAUCAAAUGCAUUGUCUCUGCUUGAAUAUAUACAAAGCCAAGGACCACAAGAUGGAUAGAUAUGGGGACGCACAAAACUUCUCAAACAUGAUUAUAUUAAUCAAGAAUUCAACUAAGCUUAAAUUCAAGAUGUUGAUUUCUAGCAUCUCUGGUGCUAUAGGAUGACUAUUGAUCCUGUACUGUUAUGUGCCCUACUGAUAUAUUCUUCGGGUUGUUAUGUAUAAAUAAAAUUUUUGGGAAAGUUUGCUUGGUGGUUACACUAUCACUAUUUAGGCCAGUAAAAAUUGGAAGCCUUUGUAAAAAACUGAUGGUCCAAGAGCUAUUCUACUUCAUCAUCCAUGUAAUAUGACGAUACAAAUUUGACUAAAUGCAGCUAUAGAAGGCUUAGGACCAUAAACCAAGCCUAGUCGAUGUCACUCACCUAAAUUUAUGCAUAAAGCUUUUGGAUGGCUCAGAGUUAUAUUUAAUUACUGUUAUGUUCGCAACUAUAUUUUCAUUGGAUUUAUAGUCCAGCUUGAGAACUAGUCCUCCAUUGCACAUAAUGUCCACACAAGGCCACAGUGCCCGCUCAAAGGCCAUAGCGCUACUCAAGGAUAUAGUGCUUACUCAAGGCCAUAGAGCCCACCUAAGGCUAACGACCCAAAAGGAGAAAAAGGUUGGUUCCACGUACUCUAAUAUUUACUAGAAAAGGUUCUUCCUAUUAAAGAACAAAAAAUUGCAUUCCCUUGUGACCAAUCCAAACAGUAGACCACUGACUUGUAUAAGGCAUUAUUCACCAUGCAAGCACUUUUUCAGCAACCUACCAUCUGGCAUGAACCAUUUUGGAUUGAUUCACAAAGCAAUGGUGUUAUAUUAAGCAUAUUCAAUAUAGAACCAAAUUGUGCCUCCUUAGAUUAACUAAAAUAUUUCCAUUGCAAGAUGUGCAGAUAGGCAUAUGAUCAUGAAGUAAUUUCCUGAUGAUAAUACCCCACAAAAUAUUUCUUUUUCUCACUGAUCUCUCCUAGAUUUUCAGUUCACCCAUCCAUGGCGCCUGACUAAAAAUGGGGGCAUUUUGGAUACCCCGAGCAGUAAGUUAGCCUGGUAGGCAUCCCGUUGCAAGCAAAGUCAACCCGAGCGGUCCAUUUGACCAAAGCUUAUCCAGGCAGUAAGCGUCCAUAUACAGCUAACUGUUAUGCACCAUCAACAGGUUGAGGUUACAAGAUUAAAGAGUCAUAAUGGCCAAAUGGAAGUUACACGACUCGGCCUAUAUAAUAACAGUAUGACAAAAAAUGCAGGUAUGAAGAACUAUCACUGAAAAAAUUUAUUCCUAAAAAUCCUUUAAGCUCCUUUAAGCUAACUUGGGCAUUGGAGAGGUCUCUCCGAAGCACACUCGAGCUUACCUUUUUGUAAGACAUCGAGAACAAGAGGCAUUGAAGUGAUUGUCCGGAGGGUUGAACUUGGUCGGGAACCAACAAUACACACUAUUCAAAAAUAGGGAUCAUAUUAAAUUAUUAAUGCAACCAUAGGAAGCAAUUGAGGACAAGGGUGUUAUUUGAUUAAAAGGGUAAUUGAAAACCUAAAUUUUGAAAUUUAACCCUCCAUUCUAUUUGGCCUUAUGUGAACAAAAAUGCCUUCAUUAUUUUCUUGUAAAAAUAACUCACCCAUUUAAACCUUACAUGAAAAUACUUAAAAUGGUAAAUGAUAUGUUAAAAAUUGAUUAUUUUUCAAAUAAAACAUAAGAAGGGUCAAAUUCAUGAAAGGAUUAUUUCAUCCCUUUUAAUCAAUUAAUUCGAUUUAUUUCUUUUUAUUUUUUUUCUCUCCAUGUUAAUUUUCACAUCACCCAACAACACCACUCUUAAUUCACACAAGUUUGAAGUUUUUGAAUGAGAUAUAUUCGUAAUUAUAUUGUAAUUGUGUUAUAAUAACCAUUUCGUACUUGGAUUUGUUCUUUCAGUCCAUUUAACCUUUUUGUUUAUUCAUGUCAAAACAAUGUACUUAUAAUCGAAUCCAUUUAUGACAUGUUGAUCUUAUAUAAAUUUAUUAAUUUUAUAUAUUUAAAAAUUAUAAAAAUUAAAUAUACUUUUUCAAUUAUGAAUAUCAUAUUACUAAAAUAUUAAAUAACAAAUUAACUUGAAAUGCUAUAUAUUUCAUUAAUUAUUUUAUAAUUAAAACAUUAAAUGAAAUAAUAAACAAGUAUAAAAUAGAAAAUUCUAUCUUAGUUAGAAAUUAUAAACUGUUAUUGAGACAUAUAAGUAUUAAAAUUCUACCCAUUUCACUACCAAACAACUUAUGUUUUUAGUCAUAAUUUAACCUUAUGAUGAACACUUAAAUAAAAUUUGUCAUCUUUUUCUAUUGAUUUAUAUUUAUUUAUUUAAAAAUUUUGUCUGGCAUAAACUAUCAUCUCACAAAAUCAUCAUUGAUGAGUAGGCUAUGCCCCAGUGUAAGCAUCUCCAAAUCAAACAUCAAUGAGAGGAGUACAACCAAUCAUACAUCAUCUUAUCAAAAUGAAUCUCCGCUUUUCAAAGUCAUCGUGGUAACGUGAAGAGAGUAUUUGACCUCCUCUAAAGAAAAAACAUGUCUUGAUGUGAAAAAGAUCAAGCAAAGUGGUAUGCCUCAACAAAAAUGUGCUCAAACAUGAUCAUGCCCCGAUGUAAGUUAGUAUCUCUAAGAUCAAUCGCCAAUGAAAAGGUUAUUCCCCAGUAUAGGGCAAACUCUGAAAUGACUAAACUCCGUUGCAAGCUCUCAUAAGUGUCUGUGUCAUGAUCCAAUCAUCGCAAAAAUUUGUCAACAAUGAUGAGAAGGCUAUGCUCCUAUAAUCACAUCAAAGAAAUCACUCGGUCAUAUUACUCCAAUGUGAAAGAAAUCUAAUCACCUCCAAGGAACAGCUAUGCCUCAAAACCAUCAUCGACUGAGAGGGGGAUGCCCCUGAUCCAAUCACCACCCUAACUAACGUACCCAUCAUGAGGAACACUUGUUUGAGCUCCAUAAUGGGGAUCAACCAUUAGAUGAACAAGAUUCGAAUAUUACUUGCUCCCCAUUUCAACCAAUGAAUGAUGUACCUGGAAACCUUGUAGACAACCAUAGUUUUCAGCCUUCUUCCUCGCGAUCAUCUAGAACAGAGUCGGUAAGCUUCACUCAUUUCUUAUAAUGGACCUUGACCCACAACGUCGAACUACCUGUAUGCAAAAUUAUCCGUCCAGAAAACCCAUCCAUACAAUUCAGGUUCAAAACCCACAAGAACCACCCUAUGAAUAAACUAAUUAUAGCUGGCUUCGUUGCAAUAGGCAUUAACUUUCUUAUGCUGACAGUCCUAGCAUCAUUUACCAAAGGAUCAACAACUUUUCCAUGUCAGAGAACAUUAUCAAUCACAAUGACACCCCUGGUCCUCACUAGUUGCGAUAGCAAUUUAAAGUAUUCUUGAUUCAAAGGGUAAACAAAACAAAAAAGAAAACCCUAAGUGUGACUCCUUAUUUGAAAAAUGUGGUUUAUGAAAAACCGGAUCGAGCUUAGGGGUCAGGUUACUUAUCGGGAAGGUACAAAAAAAACCGUAGCACCCCUCUAAGUCCCUAAAAUGGGUCUCUAUUGAUAAAAUGAAGCAAUCAUGGCAAUUGGUAAGGAAAUCAUUGAGUAUCAACAUGAUCACACAUUGAGAGUUAAAGCAUGCAUGAGGAAUGGUCAAAGUGAGAAAGGAUGCGUACCUUAGCAACGAGUCCCAAUGCGCUAUCAAGAAAUUGGGUUAGUGCACAAUCAAUAAAUAUAAAAUAUAACACACAUGCAUCACUAAAUAGGGUAAUAAAUCCCCGAUGACAAACCUUGCACUUCACUCAGGUUUAUUUCUACUUCUCUGAUGUUGGGCCCCACCAAAGCUCAUUUUAUUUUGCAUGAAUCAACUCCAAUAACUCCAUUAUUCGGAAUUACGAAAUUUAAUUCUUGCUUAUUUUAAAGCAUUUUAAAAAUAGAGGAGAUAUGAGAAUUGCUCGCCAGAAAAGAAGAUGGCGGCAAAAUUUUAAUGAAAAACGAGUUUUUGGAACCUAAGAAAAAUGUUAAGGAUGGAAAAUUUUGGAGGUUUGAAAUUAAUUAAAAAUUAGAAUUGAGGAAUUUAUUUACAAAAUGGGGUUUAGGAAAAUUAUUUUCAAAAAAAAAAAAUGAUGAAAUGAGAGAUGGCACGUGACACAAGGGUGGCCAUGCUGAAGGCGUUCUCUUCUGGCCCAAGCUGGAAAUGCACUCCAAUUAUCCUUCUUUUCUGGUAUAACACCUUCAUCAAAAUAAAUAGCUUUUGCACCAUACUCUGAUAGACAAGGACCAAUAACAAUGCCUAUAUUUGCCUUAAGUAGACAAAGUAAGUCACCCAUUGAACCUCCAAUAUAAAUUGUCAAGUGCUCUGUGUCAUUACUGCAUCCCUCCUUCAAGAUGUCCUUAGAAACCUAAAGCUUUUCCACGACAUACUCCAUCUUCUUAAUGAUUUCACCCGUGGAAAUGGAUUCUUCACAAGCCAACUCAUUUGAAUAUACUCUCAAAACACCCAUAUCACCUGAUGAAAAUGCUGAUCUAACGAAAUCGCCACACCAACAGUAUGAAAGUCCAUGAACAUCUGCUUUCAGAUUAUUAUUUUUAAGAAUCUUUUGGAAGAAACCUGUGCAACCAUCUUGAAGAAUUAGACCUUGACCAACCUGUUUUAUAUCAUCUGAAUUUAAACCCUUCAAUACUCCAGACUGAGUCACUCUUGAAUCUGCCUUUUCCUCAAAAUCAGAAAGUUGCUCAAGUGCUUUACAUAAGCCUUCAUAAUUGAAUUUUUCCACUGUUUCACUGGGGACGAUGCUUCCCAUGCAUUUUUCAAGCUCUUCAGUAUGCUGGGUAGAUAGAACACCCCAUGUGUGUGUCCAGAUCACCAUGAGUGACCAUUUGAACCUUGACGAAUGAGAGAGUACAUAACAUUUAAGCACACAGGACAUAUAUUAACAUUCUCCAUUAGCUUCUCUUUGCCUUUGUCCACCUCUUGACCUCCCAUGCAGCCAACUGUGAAGACCACGUCCAGGUGCAGUCACGUGGUGACACAUCUCAUGGUCUUCCUCAUCCAAUAAAUCACAUGCUCUGUUAAAUCUGCUACCCGAAUGGAUACCUCCUAUCCAUCAACCUGAAUAUACUCCGAGCUUUCUUCAUAAAACCCAAGAAACUCCAGAAGGCAUCAUGGUUCUCCUCCAUCAUUGAAAUGAUUAGGGAUAGUAAAUCACUCAUCCCUUAGCAAUAUCCCAUUUUUAAACCAUAGGGUGCGUAGGCUUCUAGAAUAGUAGCAAAGUGAGCAACACGGAAAAUCUUGCGUGGAUCCAAGUUCCAUGAUGGUGAUCGUAGCCUCACCUUUGAAAUCACAAGACCCAGAACCCAUUCGUUCUUCCUGGUAAUAACUAUCAGAUGCAUAGGAGGCAGGGUUCUUCAGAUUGUUGAUUUGGUAAAAGCCUCUUCUGGUUGAACCCCUGAAUGAUUCACUUUUCUCAGUCCGCAAACCUAGUUCAGAACAGCCCGCAAGAUCAGAACCUUAACCUAGGCGUGGAGAUCCAGUGUUGUAUAACGCCUCAAUUGUCGGAAGCAGCCAUGGCCCAAACAAUGAUAUAAUGGUCAGCAAGUUGUCCCCAAGGACCAUGACAGUGAUGAGCAUUUCCGGGCAGCGCGUCACCACGUUCCACGUCGCGACGGUAAUGGCUAUGGACUGAGUGUCAUGGUCAGGGAGCUUGAUGAAGCAGGUGAAAAUCUGGUGUUUUAGAUUCUGAGGCAAUGACUGCUUGAUCGGUCGGAUUCUAGUACCGGCGUUACAUUGGGGAGGCAAUCUUAAAGUUCCAACGGAGGUAGUAGUGGACUAAUAUUCCUCAAUAACCAAACUUGAGUUUCUCACUUUCCGCUUCUCAAGGCAUUCACCUGAAACGCUUCAGGCGCCCAAACCCUUUCUGCUCAUCAGUAUAAUCACGCGCAUGAAAGUCUUAACUGCCUUCUAAACUUCACAACUUCAUCUUGCAUCUGGGUCAUCGUCGGCACGAACUUAUCACCUGAUUCAGUUAAUAUCCCCAUAUAACAAGUUCCAAUGAAGUCGCAACUUUGCAUCUUCUUUUCUGCGAUUACUUUGAUUCUCAAAGCCGAUUACUUGUUGCAGUCCAUAGGAGAUUCAAUAAUCAAACAUCAUGCACAAGCAAAAAGGCAACAAAAUACAUCGGCAUGUGGCCCAUACACCCUCCAAAAUCUUCACUCAUUUAGUAAGUUUUAGAUUCAAAAGAGUUAGCCUUCUGGUGAGCAACCCGAUACCCAUAACGAAUGAUGUAUCUGAAACACCUUUCCCACGUGGCCCUUGAAGGAUUCACUAGAAGGUGACCAUGCAUAGUAGGUCUUCACUCGCAGGAGAAUGAGAAGGAAAUAAACCUAAAGGGGGGUUGACAGCGUAGUCUAGAAGGUGAUGAGCUGAGCGGGUGGGGGUAUUAGGGUGGUCAAGUUCAGUGGGUAUGAAGGGUGGAAAGAUGGCAUGAUAGAGGAAUAAGCAGCUGAUAGUGGGUGCGAUGAUAUAAGGUAGGUUGACUAUGGAGAGUAUGGCAUUAAAGGAUGAAGACUUAGAGAGAGAGAGGUGGGUUUAAGGGUAUGGUGAGAUGGAGGGUUGAGGGUGAUAGGCUUGGAUAGUUGCAUGAGGAGGAUGAAAGGUGGGUAUGGAAAAUGUGCAUGGGUAGGAAAUGGGUAUAACAAUGGGUGUGAAUAUUGAGAGGUAGUGAAAUGAAGGCAGCCUUGCUCGUAUGGAUCAGUGUCGGAUUGAGUUAAGAAUGGUGAGAGAAAGGGAUUCGAUGAAUAUUGAAUGAUGGAAAAUGGUGAUUGGUUAGAUAGGGAUUUGUGGUCGAAUGGAAAUAGGAGACAUGAACAUAGAGAUGAGUGUGAUGGAUGAUAGUGGGCAUGAAGGGUAUUGGAUUUGUUCAUGGGUAUAGUGGUUAAAAGAGUGGUGAGAAGAAAAAAAAAUGGCCAUGUAAAUAGCAAUUAUACAUGUGGGCCCGUGAUUGCAAACGGGACUGCAUUGUUGCAUCUCAUGCUGAACCCUCACCUCCUUCUAGGAUCAUUUUCUGCAUCAAAGCUAGAUAAACUUAGAUGGUAUUUCCUGCCAAUUUUGGAUGCCCCCCACUUUGGAAAUAUUUCCUUUUCACCCAUCAGAAUAUGCUUAUCAGGUGUACUUGACUCAGGUUCAUUCCCAUAUUGCCUCUCUGAUUUAUGAUCUUCAAAGGUUUUGCAUGAAGGAAGCCUUUCACUGCAUUCCCCUUCAUCCACCAGACCUUCAGAGCAUCGUUUCCAACAAAAGCAACCUUGACUCUUCUAGUCCCAUCAGAAAAAAGUCUGAAUAUCCUCAGUUUAUGUCAUCCCUUGAUGCCCAACUCAGAAAUGAUCCAAAAAACAGUCAUCUCCCAUAUUUGGCUUCCCAGAAACACCUCGACUCAGAUGGCCAGUCCAAAUGUGAUACCCAACAUUCUAAAAAUGCUAAAAACAGAGGAGAUGAUGAAGAAAAACAGAGCAUGUAUAAAAGAAAAAAAAAAGGACUGUUAAAUCUCACUCCAUUCCAUAAAUGCUAAUGGGGUGGAUAUGGUGGAAUCAAAAGGAAGCAAGAGCGUGAUCUUCAAAAUCAAAAGCAAUGAUGGAUCCAUAUUCAAAACGUUCCAGAAUAGAGAAAGACACAAAUAAGGAGCAGGGUUUUUUUUUGUUACUGGCAGGAAGAUAUUUUUUCUAGAGAGUAACUAGAGAGAAAAAUAGGAAGAAAAGGGAAGAGCAUAGAAGACAUCUACAUAGGAGAGUAUUCAUUGUUGUGAGGAGUAGUAGAGAGCUUAGGAGGAGUUACAAAGAGAGUGAGUUUGGUUAGAGGAGGAAGUUUUGUUGGUUUUUCAGAAAGGAUUCUAGCUUGAGUGAGAGCCAUUCUAGAGAGGGUUAGAGAGGAGAAAGGUGUGUUUUGAGCAGCAAAGACACGAAGCAAAAUAGAGCAGCCAGGAAAGAGAAGCAGAAAAUCAAAAUUACUAAAAAAUUAGUGAAAGCUGUGAAAUUUCAUAUUGUUACUAAUUAUUAUAAUUUUUUUUUGUAUUUUCAAUAUUUCAACCAAUAUUUUAUAUAAUUAAAUUUAAAUUAUAAGAAUUAUAUUAUUAAUACACAUAACUAUCUUAAUGUUUUAACAAUGUAUACUUAUUUAAAUUUAUUUCAAUUUUUUUAUUUUUUUAUAAAUAUCUAAUUAGACUUAUAAUUCAUUGAAAUUAUUCAUUUUUUUUUUACUUCAUAAACCAAUUAUAUUACUUUUUGUAUUUUCAAUAUUCAUUUGGAAAAAAUAAUUUCAAUUUAAAAUAAAAUAAAUUAAUUAACUCUCAAUUUAUAAAUUGUGUCAUUGAAUUAUUUUUUAUUUAUAAUAUUUAGUUUAUUUUAAAUUUAAUUUUUUUUCUUCACCUUUUGGUUUAUCACUUUAUAUUAAAAAAUAAAAUAAAAUUGAAUUUCUUUUAAUUUAUAUUUUCACAAAUUAUUCAAUAUUUUUUUAAUUUUUAUAAAAUAAAUCCUCAGAUUAUAUAAUUGGAUGUUGUAAAGAGUUAAAAUUUUUGUGUUGCAUUGAAUUAUUUUUUCUAACAAAAGUAUAUUUGGGUACCGUAGACAUUAUAUCCAUAUCUUAACGUAUUAUAUACUUUUAUUUUGUGCAAUUAGCAAUUGAGCGGAAGACGCGGAGCCGGCUAACGGAAAUACCGCGUGUCACGCGUGUCCCUUCCCGUACCAAGUCUCAACUGCUUCAAGAUUUCCGACGCGCCCUUCUUCGCUUAACUCUUAAGUCUUUUCUUCCACUCUUCCUUAAACCCAUCACAUUUCGCCGCGUGGACCUAAGUCUCAAUGUCCUUGUGUUCAUACGAUGUAUGUUCCCCCAAUUCCUCAUCUACACUGAAACUCCAUACUCGCCUACUCAAUCACUUCUCUACUCUAGAGUCUGGAUGCUUAUCUCUGCGCGUGUCGAUGGCUCUUCACCCCAGCGAGUAUGGCAUUACAAGGGCAAUAUCGUCAUUAAAGACACAACAGAGUGUCUAUUUUAUUUAAGCUGUACGUAAUCGUGAUUGACUUCUUAGUAUCCUUUUGCUCCUAGUCUUCUCCCGCGUCUCUUAUAAAAACUAAAGAAAACCACUCCAAGAGAGCACACUACAAGAAUCUUCUUCCUUUUUUUCUUUCCUCUUUCUCUUUACAGAUAAACUGAGAAAGCCCAGCUCAUCCCUCAAUUCCCAGAUGGGUUUCAUGAAUGUUCUCAAGUUCUCAGCUGCAUGCUUUGAUCUUCUUGGCUGGUAUGUUGUCCACGCGUUUUCUUGCCAUUGGAAAUUUUUGGGAAAUGAAGUGGAAUUCUCUGUUUGAGGACAAACAUGGGAUUUUCUUUGAUUUCUCCCUGUUGGUUUUAUCUAUAUUCUUUGAAUUACCCACAUUCUUGUCAUUGAUUGUUAGUCAUUUGUUUGGAUUUCUACUUGCAGGCCUCUAUGUGCACUGGGUUAUCCUCUGUAAGUCUUGGUCUUACACCUCAAGAUAUGAUGAUUCAUUUACUCUUUUCUUGUUCUACGAAUGGUUCAGUUACAUUUAUUGUGUUGGGAAACUGAAAAGGAAAAGGAUUAUUAGUUAUUAUCGUAAUAAUCAUCAACAUCAUCUCGGUUCUUCACAGAUGUGCUUCAAUUCGGGCAAUUGAGACUAACUCAAUCUCAGACUUUCGGAAGUUGGUGGCGUAUUGGGUUCUAUUUUCCUUGAUUUCACUCUUUGAUCAUGCUUUUUCCAAGCUCCUUGAAUGGUAAUUUUGCUCAACUGCAUUCCACUAUAUGUGACUCUGUUUGUUUCAUUUCUUUGCCCUUAAGGAAUUUGGAGUUGCUUUUUUCAGUUUUCUUUCCUAUGAAAAUAAUCGAGAGGUCUCCAUGUAUUUUAUAUUCCUUCAUUUCUCUGCUUUGACAAAGGCCCACAUUCUGAUCAGCAGAAAGGUUAUAACAUUUGAAAAAGAAGUGCUUUAUUUUUGUUUUUUGUUAGUACAAUAAUUUUCGUUUGGAUAAAUGGUCUGAAGGGUGUUUGUGUUUGGCUGAGUUCAUGGAAUUUUCUAGCUAAUUUGGGAUUUAUUCUCAAUUUCAAGAUCAUUGUGGAUAUGUCAGAAAUUAAUGAAAUAUAAACGGUGGAAUGUGAUUUUCUUGUUUAAGAAAAGUUUUUCUUUGAAAAUACGGGUGCACCUGACCUACCUUAUUGUGCUACUUGGAACACAAAACAUUAGUACAGGUAAUUUAUUAACUAAAUUGUACACUUUUUGAUAGUUCAAGGAGGUGGUUUUCUUCUUUUAGGGUGUCAGCUUUGGAAAUAGGAUGGAUCUAAAAGUUUUUAUGUCUCAUCUUUAUAGGGAACUUGAAAGCAUGGAUGCACUUAUUUCCAUGGAAUUUGGCUUCCUUGAAAUCAAAUUAAGCUUUAUGCAUCAUUUGGAUGCUGAGAAACAAAUGGAAAUAGAAAAUUCAGAAUCUGACAAGUUUUUGUAGGGCAACUGGAUCUAAUCUCUUAGUCGAAGCCUAAUUGGGGCAAAUGCUGAUCAUCUUUGGACCCCAUUGAAAGCUCUAAUCUGUGCACAAUUCUAAUGUUUUUGUUUUCUUCAUUUCUUUUUCAACUUUUCACAAUAGAUGUCAAAGGUUAAAACCAAAUUUACGCAGUCCAUCCAAGUGGAUGCAUAUAAAUUUAACAGAAACUGAAAUUCGAAGAAAUUUAUUUUCCCUUUUGUAAAUGGUGUUUAAAUAUUUUAUUUUCUUAUAUAAUGCAUGUCAGGGUACCAUUCUGGCCUUACAUAAAGCUGAUGGUCAUCUGCUGGCUGGUGAUACAGCAGUUUGAUGGUUCAUAUUAUGUCUAUCAACACCUAGUUCAGCCAUGCUUGUCCAUGGAUCCACAAGCUGUCAUGAACUGGCUCUUCAAUGAAUCAAAAAAGAAGUUUCAUAGCAGAGAAAACUUUCUUGUUUCAGCAGACCGAUAUAUUAAGGAGAAUGGACCUGAAGCUUUGGAGAAACUACUUUCUAGGAAGGUAUGCCAUUAUAAGUAGGAUUAUCAACAAGUCAAACAGAGUUUUAUUUGAGAUGUUCAGGUAAAAAAUGACUAUAGUAGGUCAUCUAGAAUCAUUUGGUCUAAAUUCAUGUAUAUAUCUAUAUAUAAUUGUGUUCUCUUUUUUUCACAUAUGCAUGUGCAUUUAGAUUUACAUAAUUAUAUAUGCAUAAUCAGAUUCAACUGUGAUAGCCCGGAAUUAUUUCAGUAAUCAACUCUUCUGGGAACAUGUUGGUUAUGGUUUCUCUCUCACUGUCCUCUUCUUUAUACAUGACUUUGGCUUCAGUUGAGGAGCGCAAAGCCUAAUGUUGAAGUGAAAAAGAUCAAAGCACCUGCAGCACCGGAGAAAAAAGGGGAACAGGUAAGUUCUCUAAUGUGACUAUUUAAUUUCUAUGAGGCAGAUCCCCAGAGAAAUGUUGCUCAUGUAAAUUACUGAUGCAUUUGAUUCAAUGGCAUGGUUUUAAAAGAAAAACCACUUUAUGUAUGUUUCUGUGAAUAAGAGAACAAGUUUAUGGAUUAAAUGAUAUUUUUUAUGGUGGAUUAAUCAAUAAUUUUCAAAAUAAUAAUAUAUUCGUGCAUGUUUUUGCAAUUCAUGAAUUCCUUUUAUGAUUGAUUCUUCUUGCCUUUUUUCUCACCUCAGUGGAAGUGUGAAGAGCCUAAUGUUGCUCAAAAGGAGAUCCAAGUUGUCAAAGUAACAGAGAUAAAAAAUGGGGGGGAUGGAGCAAAGAGGGUAAGUUUUGCUUUUUAUUUAUAAAGUAGGCUGUCUUCACACAAGGAUUAUUAUCUUUAAGACAUGAAUGUUGAAUGCUUUUGGAAUUGUCCAUGAAUCAUGUGUAGUGUGAAUGGCCUAAUGCUGCUAAGAAGGAGGUCAAAGUGACAGAAGUAACACACAGAACAUUCGGUGGUACAGCACAGUGGGUAAGGUUUCAUGUCAUAUUUAAAUGGCUCCUCAUAUUUCACUAGGAUUAAUUUUGCCCCUACAAACAUAUUUGGCUACAAGUUAAGACAGAGUUCCAGAUGCUGAUAAAGUUGAGACAUAAGUAAUGAAUGAGUUUAGAAACAUGCACAACUCUUGUGUGAAACACAAUGAGAGUGGAAAAUAGCUAAGUUGAAAAAUGGCCAAAUACUAUUUUGUAGUUCCCCCUACCACUUAAGUAAUUUUUGUCAUCCUUUGUGAAUGGAAAAUCCAGUCCCUUCAGUAAUUCCGUUAUAUUCAUGACUUGGUGAAGCAUAUAACCAUUAGUGUCUUGCCUUAAGUCGACCUUUAAUGAUGAUCCAUUGAGAUGGGUCUGACUUUUGUCAACCCUCUUAUUCCCUUGAUCAUAGAGGUUAAACUUAGGGGGCUUAACCCACUUUUGAACCUUAUUGGAUAUAUGGCACAUGGUAUCCUCUUCAUCUUGAAAGAGUGAAGUGGUCAUACUCUUUCCUCUGAGUCCAUUGUGGCCAUGCACUUCUGGCCCAUUGGGCUGAGUGAAAGGAUUCCCUUCUGCUUCAAAUCAUAGAGAGAUAUGCCAUGGUCAGCCUCUUUAAUUCAAGGGAUCGAAGUACUCAAAUCCAUUUCUCUGCAUCCAUCUUAAUUCUGCAUUCAUGUCUCAUGGUUAACCAAGAAGAUCCAGCUUCCAUCCAUGAGAUCAGCAUCUGCAGGUUUAUGACACCACCCUUCCUUGGCAUAGGAAAGGGAUCAUUAAGCCAUGUGUUGGAUGACAGAAGUCAUCAUUCAGGUUAUCUUGAGAACUAAGGAAGUUGGAAUUCUAAUUAUUGCAUAUGGUUCUUGAUGUUUAGCCAAUAUACCGUAGGAUUUUAAGGAUCAUGCUCAUGUGCAUUGUGGUUGUUUAUCAGCUAUAUGGUUUACCAAAAUGAGGGACUGAUUAUGGUCAUAAGUACCUUUUUCCUAUUAAUUUCUUGCAUGUGCUCUGCUGAGAUUAUGUUUUUGACAGUCCAAAUCAGGGCAAACCAACAAACAGCUUUAUGUUAACUUUUACAAACUGCCACAUUUUCAGGUUAAACGAACAGAGAUAAAUCUUGGUGAAACUAGAAGUAAUACAACUUGUGCUGUGGAGAUAAAAGAAAGGGCAGCGGCACUGGUGGCUGCAGAAAUUGAGGCAUGUAGAGACGAUAGAACCCCCAAGAUACCUCUUCAUGAGAAAGUCCAGAAAGAGUGGGCUUGUGCUGUAUGCCAGGUCACAACCCAAAGUGAAGCGACCUUCAAUUCCCACCUUCAAGGGAAGAGACAUCAGGCCACUUCUGAGCAGCUGAGAGCCAAAAACCAGGCAACCAAAACCAAUUGUUCCCCAUCUGCUUCAAUGGCCAAGAAAUCUGAUCAGUCCACCAAAGAGGAGCAACCGAAGUGUACUUCCAACAAUCUGAAUUCCAAAAACAAUGGAAUCUCAGCUGCUUCAACAGUGAAGAAACCUGAUGACACCAAAGAUGAUGAGCGACAAAAGUCUGCAUCUAGCAAUGAACCGAACCAGAAGAAUAACAAAAAGCAAGAGGUACAGACCAAUGAGCAAGGCCAUCAGAAGAACUUAAAGCAAACUGGCGAUGGAAUGAAAGAGUUGAGAUUAUGCUGCAAUAUCUGUAAUGUAAGCUGCACAAGUGAGCUUGACAUGGCCUCUCAUCUCAAUGGAUGGAGGCACUUUAAUAUGAUAAAGGAGGCGUCUGAAUUAUGGUGCAGUAACUGCAAUGUAAGGUGCAACAGUGAGGCUGUCAUGGCCUCUCACCGAAAUGGGAGGAGGCACUUGAAGCAGCUGAAGGAACGGUCGGGAUUAUAGUGCAGUAUCUGUAGCGUGAGAUUGUGUUAGGAAGAGGUGGAAUGGGUUCCAAUCAGGAAUUAAGACUCGGUUCCAAGACAUGGAAAGUGUCUUUAGAUUAUGUUAUCUCCAUUUUUUUUAUUGUGAGAGGGGAGUAUAAGGAAUGAAAAUAAAUAUAUAUAUAUUUUUUAAUAGAGAUGAAUUUGAUAAUUUUAAUUAUUGUGUUUUGAUGUAUUUAGGAAUGUAAAAUUAAAAUAAUUAUUUAUUUUCAUUUUAGUAUUUGACAAUAAUAAAAUUAUGAAUUAAAAAAUAAUGUGAUAAUAAUACAUUUAUAUUUAAUUUAAAAUAUUUUUUAUUUUAUUUUAGAAGAAUAUGGGUUAAAUUCUUUUUUUAAAUAAUAAGCUUAAGAAAAAUAAUUUUUACUCAAUAAAUAAAAUUAAUCAUAAAAAGUCAUAACAACCUAAUAAAAAUAUAGGGGUAAAAUAAUAAUUUUAAAAUAUUAUUUAAGUUAUCCAAACAAAUUUGACUCUUCAUUCUCUCUCUUGAACCAAAUACGGUCUUUUAAGCGUUUGUCAACUUAUUUUUUUUUGCAAAAUAUCAAUAUUUUACUAAUAUUUUUAUCGAUUAUUUGCCAAUAUUUAUCGCCACGUCACCAAUUCUUUGAGUUUGACUUUCAAAAUUUUGAAAUGAUAUUUGAAGUCCAGUUCAGCCCAAAUCACUACACCCAUGAUUUUUCCCUUUUCUUUUUCUCCUUAAUUUUCACAUCACCCAACAACACUACUCUUAAUUCACACAAAUUUGAAGGUUUGGAACGAGACUUCUUCCUAAUUAUAUUGUAAUUAUGUUAUAAUAACCAUGUCGUAUUUGGAUUUAUUUAUUCAGUCCAUCUAAAUCUUUUGUUUAUUCAUGUAAAAAGAAUAUAGUUAUAAUCGAAUCCAUUUGUGACAUAUUCAUCUUUUAUAAAUUUAUUAAUUUUAUAUAUUUAAAAACUAUAAAAAUUAAAUAUAUUUUUUCAAUUAUGAAUAUCAUAUUACUAAAAUAUUAAAUAACUAAUUAACUUGAAAUGUUUUAUAUUUCAUUCAUUAUUUUAUAAUUACAACAUUAAGUGAAAUAAUAAAUAGGUUAAAAUAUAUAUUUUAUUUUAGUUAAAAAUUAUAAAUUGUUAUUGAGACGUAUAACUAUUAAAAUUCUACCCAUUUGACCAUCAAACAAACAACUUAAGUUUUUAGUCAUAAUUUAAGCUUCUGAUAAACUCUAUUUCCAUAAAUUAGAAACCGAAAUCAAUUUCUUCUUAGACUCAAAAACAUAAAGACAAUCUUUUAAUUCUAGAAGACAUCUAUCAUUUAAGAUAAGGGUAACAUAUCCCAUUGCCUAAACAACAACUCUUGCUUCAAAAGCCAAUGUCAAGUACAUAUCCCUAUCAUUCAACCUUUCCCUUAGCUAAAACCCCUAUAAAGAAUUAUAAACAUAAUCAAUGGCUCCAAAAUUUAUCCACCAAGAGUUAGUGGAAUCCAACACUAAACAUAAUUCAACUAUAAGAGAAUGAUGCAUAGUUGACUAUCUCUUCAAGAACUAAGGACAUUCCUUCUUCUUCUAAUGGCAUUUUUUACCACAAAGGAAACACUUGUCAUGACCCUUACUCUUCUUCUUCUUCCCCUUAGCCUUAAACUUCCCCUUCUGCUUGAUGAACUCUAUAGUGUUCUUCUUAUUUUGGCUAGAAAAACCUAAAGAACCCUUAACUGCCAUAUAAAUACCUCUCUGGUCCUUGAGAAUUCCCUCAGUCAUUUUGUGUUCUCUCAUUAGUUCAAUUGUAGUUUAAGAAAAAUAAUGUUUUUUAUUUUAUUUUAUGUGAUUGAACUUGGAAUGAAUUUCCAAGUUGCAUACAUACUUGGGUUGAGAUCAAGUCAUAACGUAGUUUAAGAAAAAGAUUUUUUAUUUUUUAUGUGAUUGAACUUGGAAUGAAUCUCUAAGCUACCUACGUAUCCAAGAUGGGAUCAAGUUCUAACAUAGUCACAAUGCAGUUCAAGAUUUUUUUUUUUCUUUUUUUGUGCUCUAACUUUUGUCAAGACUAAAGAUCUUAAUCUUGCAAGCAUGUCCUAACUUUUGUCUAGGUCACCUUUCCAAGUUUUCAACUUAGCAAACAUUUUUUUUUUUUGUUCUCUAACGUUUGCCAAGACAAAAGAUUUUAAUCUUGCAAGCAUGUCAUAACUUUUACCUAAGUCAGAUUUUUAGGUUUUCAAUGUGGUGGAUUUUUUUGUUUUUUAUUUUUUAUUUUUUAUUUUUUGUGUCGUAGGCAAUUUAGCUCAUACGGCCCAGAAGCGAUGUGUAGUUUGUUGGGAUUCAACCCUUAAAAGCAAAACAUGAUGUAACAAAGUUAGACUUAACUAUCCCCUUGCUAUCAUUUUGGUGUAUUAACAUUGAUUUAAACAUUCAACUCAUAUUUUACAUUGUACAUGACUUAGGUGCAUUAGGAGUUGCUCAUAAGAUACAUGGAUUCCUUGUAAGUAGAUGAGUUAUCCAUAGUCAGUUCAUGGAUUUGGGCAAUCUAGUAGAGACUGUAAUGCACCACCUCUUAAUUGAAGAGAUGACUUGUCUUGACAGUUGGGAUAGGUUUCCUAUGGUGAGUGCACUAGUAUAUAUGAUGCACAUUGGAUAGGACCUACGGUAAAUCAUGAGCAAAGCUAUCAAUUGUCAUGAUUCACCAAGUUACGAUACUGCAUGGACUCUCAAUCUUGAGAGGACAUUGAACCUGUGCCAAAAUCAACAAAAAGCUUUCACCUAUAGAUGAGACCUUAAAGUGAUCAUAUAUCCCUAUGGAUUGAGUCACUAUUGAUGAAGGUUGGUGGUAAUAGGUAUUCUCAAUAGAGGCACCAUGAUAUCUCAUGAGAUUGAGACGGUGUGUCCCCUUGGGUGAUACAAAGGACAUGUGAUCAUAAAAUCUGUGACCAUAGUAAUUCUUUUAUUGAAAUUUGACAUAUACCCCUUCGAGCUAGAGUAUGUCAGUUGAUUACAUAAUAAGUGGCAUCUAUAACUUAAGGAUUUGAGAGGUAAUCUUGAUAGGUGAUAGCACUACCUUGUUAGAUUAUGGACACCAGUUCAUGGGGAAUCUACAUGCAGUGGAUGAUAUGUCACGAACGCGAGCUUCAUAUCGUUGUUAUUAACAUAGGAUACUGGAGUGCAAUUGAUUCUCUUUAGUAGAAUGUUGAAUCAACUUCAAAAUGGAUUAUGAGGGAGCCAAUACUCCUAUGGGUCUUAAUGGUCCCCACUCUGAGCUCAUAUACCAUGAUGACACAGUUUAUGAGGGUUUGAUUGGCUUUAUGUUCAUUUUUGUGCAUAAGGGCAUUUUGGUAAUUACACAAGGUUACAUAGGGGAUAGUCAAUAAGGUCUUUAGAUUGGGCCAAUUGAUUAAUUAGAUGACCUUAUGUGGUUAAUUAAUCAAUUAUGAUAUGUUUAGGCUAGAUUAAAUGACCCAAGCCUUGAUGAAUUUAAGUCACUUAAGCCUAGCAGAUAACCUUAUAAAUACCCUCUUAUGGGUUAGGGUUUCCUAAUGACUUUCAGUUAAUCAUCUUCCAUCCCUAGAAAGAGAAAGAGAGCCAAAUCUUUCUCCCUUCCAUUGCCCACACUUUGGUAUGCCAAGAUCAUGGUUCAAGUCACUGGGAGGAAGAUCUUGGGUGUACAAGACCUUCGGACUCUUUAAGUUUCUUCUUCGUUGGAUGAAUUUUUAUUUGGGACACAUCUAGAUCAUAAGUAUGUGUUAGAAAAUUUGGCUAAUUCAACUUAAGGUAAUCACUCUAGAGGAGGGGUGAAUAGGGUGAUGAUCUUUUUUUACAAAUUUAAAUUAUGUGAAUGCAAGAGACAAUUAUACUAUGCAAAUAUAUAGUAAAACCAUAUAAAAAUAAUUGCAUAUAAAGUACAAGGGUAGAAAAUAGAGAAUAUAAACACAAGAUUUUUAUAGUGGUUUGGUGCAACUCGGCCUACAUCCAUUCUCCUCUAGCUUCAAUCCCAAGUUUGAGGUUCCACUAAUUCAAGGCUUCCAACCUAACCCUUCAAGCAAUACAAUUGGAUUAUGGUUCCAAUCAAACCUUUUGGACUUUUGGCUCUAAGCACCUUUUACAAUCUUUGAUUCGUGCCUAACUGGUGUUUGCCCUGUUGAUUGGUGUUCAAUCAACUGAUGUGCUUUGAUUUCAGUCCUCAGACGAGAGUAAUCAACAAAAUUUAUAAACCUAUUUCACCAUAUACUAGGGUAGCAUUAGCUAGCAUAGCAUAGUGGCUCUAGGAUCGUCCACAGGGAUGGGUUUUCAAAUUACAAUUGAUAUUAGUUCAAAAACUGAAUUGGUGUUUUUUCUUUUCAAGGUUAGCUUUAAAAGAAAACAUAAGUAUGUGUGAAAAGGUUGGUUUUAAGUGAAACCAAAAAUAAAGUAACUGAAAUUACUUACAAAGAAAAGUGCUUCUUGGAGUUUUAGAUCACUAGGCUCAAGUUCCUUAUACAAAAAGAGAGAUUCCGAUCACUUGGAUCUUUUCCUAGCAUUGGGGAUUUAACAUAUAGUUAUUUCCCGAACCGGUGCGGUACAGAUGCUUCCCCUUAAUGGUUUCAAACACUAAAUCUCUAUCACUGAAUCAUCUUGUAAUGGUUCAUACCUCUCACCUGGUAUUGGUCAUUUAAGGUGAUCAUUAACCUUGGAUUACCCGUCAAAAGCUCGCAAAAGAUAACUAAUGAAUGUCUCCUAGGAGUCCAAAAGCUUACCAAGUGUUGGCUAUUCUAGAUAAUCCUACCUUUAAACCAUCUCCCAAAAGCUCGCAAGAGAUAAACUAGUGGAUCUCAAUGGACGGAGUCCACUUGCCUUACCAAGUGUUGGCCCAAGUGAUUUUAAGGGAUUUUAAGUUAACUAAAAAGAUAAAAACCAUUAACGGGUCACACUUUCUCUUCAUUAAAACCUGAAACAAUGAAACUUCCACUUUUGUAUACGAAACCUUACCUAGCUUCCUUCACUCCAAGAAACAAAAAGCCUAGCCACUCAUCCUCUAGGAAAACAUCCUCAGAGUUUGAUUUGGUAGAAAUAAAAAUAAAAGAGAAAACCAAAUGUGAAGGUAAGGCCGAGCAGAGCUCUGUGUAUUACUUUAUGAAAAACUAUACAAAAUUUGUCUCUAAGAGAAACUCCCCCGAGAUCUCUUUUAAAAGAAAAUUACAAUAGAUAUCAUAUAAAGAGGCUAUUCACCCCUCUUGCUAACUUCCCAACCAUGAAAACUUGUCAAUGGUGGGUUACAAGGAGAAAAUAGGGAUUUACACACAAAUAUUUGAAGAUAAACAUCAAACUGAGUCGGUGCGCAAAUAUCUCAGAUUACAAGUGGAUUUCGCAAGUUCAAACGCAACUUGCAAAAAUUUUGCAAGUUGAAAUUAUGGUUUCGCAAGUUGCGAAAUUGUCCUGCAACUAAUCAGCUCUCUGUCCUACAACAAUUCCUUUCCUCUUCCUAUUUCGCAAGUUGUGAGAAUUUCGCAAGUUGGAUUCCACAACUUGCAAAAUUGUUGGAUGGUUGAUUUCUUUUGUGAUUUUCUUCCUUGCAUCCUCAUUUGGCUUUGGCAAAGGGUUAUGAAGCUCCAAAGCUUAGUUUCUUCAUGAAUUUGAGCUUCAACUUGCUUUGCCAUGAACUAUACAAAGAUCUCCCUCAUUCUUGGAUUGCUUUGGUGAUAAAAAAGCUAUGAAAAACACCAAAACUUAACACAAUUUGAUUAGAAACGAUUGUAAGGGUCUUUAACAUGCCAAUUGAGUUAAAAGGUAAUAGCUACUACUCAAAAGUGUUUAAAAGAGUUAAUUACAAGCUAUAAAAUGACCCUUUUUGAAGUUCAACCCCUUAAGUGAUACCCCUUAAGUGAUACCCCUUAAUUCAAGAGAUGUCUUACUCUUAAACAACCCCUUAAGUGAUACCCCAUACUUGAGAUUCCCUAAGUGAUGCCUCACACUUAGAUUUUUCAUCUCAAAGAUUUACAAAUGAAGAUAGGAAAUAAUCUCACAAAAUCUUAAUACAAAACAUUAGGCUCAAAUGAUACAAGAUAAACUAUGAUUGAAUGGUGCACUAAUAAUAUGCAAGUUUUAAAACAAUGAGUACUAAAAAACACUCUCCUAAGGUUCAAAUAUAUUCAAGAAAGAUUUAAGAAGGUUAAACUCUUGAAACAAUAAAGAUUGAAACCUUUUUAUGGAGGAGAAAUGCCAAACUAGUUGUUGGGGGUUUGUCCAGUCGAGUUCUGGUUUGACCGGUUCACUAACCGUUAGCAUUUAAUGCAUGAUAGGUGAUCAUUGGGCCUUGACCAUCCCUCGACCAGUACUCAACCGGAUAAAGUUCAACCUUAAUCAAUCGAAUAAGCAUUCUAGAAUAGAGAGAAGGUUUUUGCACCUUUCAAUCAGUUGAGUUGAACAAAUAGACGGAUUCCUUAUCCAGUUCAACCGGUUGAGCCAUUUUUGGCUCAACAAUCAUCAUUUUCAACUUAAAACCUUUUAAACAAGUUUAGAAAGCAUUUGACACAAGGAUUUAGUUGAAAACAUUAAAUCAUCCUAUUUUUAAAAGAUUUAAAACAAAAUACCUCUUGAAUGAUUUUGGUGUAUAAGUAAAUAAUGUAAUGCAUGAAAAACCCAGUGCGCCAACAACCUUACAAAGAGAUCUUAUGAGGCUUAGGUAUUGAAAAACACUUCUCUUUAAGGCAGACAACAUCGUGUGAAUACCAAAGGGGAACUCUACGUUCCUAGGGAAAGAUGCCUCGUCAGUACGUCUUGAGGUUGUUCACUAACUUCGGGGUUACCGGCUUUGAGAGGAGCCCUUUGAUGACAUUUGGGCAUGCAACUCUUCAUUUUCUUCCUUGAUUCGCCUUGUUUGGUGGAUCAAAGAUUGCAUAUGCCAGUCAUUUUUGCACUAGGUUCUCUCCAUGCUUUCACGCCAGCCAAAGUAGCUUUCGUUACCCAUAGUUGAGGAUCGGCUUCUAAAGGGUACUAACAUCCUUAGUCAUUCCCACAGAUGACACCAAUGUUGGUUCUGAGUCGGCUGAAGUCAAAUUCAUCCAACUUAACGGAAGUUUGACAACCUUCCUCCAUUUUUUGUGCCUCUUAGAGAAUCCACCUAGCAGUAAUGAGAUUGGGCGAACUCCUUUCUUGCACAAAAGAAUGUUCAGAUGAGUACUUCGGGUACGCCCUUCGAAGCUUAAGUGAGGCAAAAAUAGCUCAAACUACUUAAUGAGAGAGAGUGGAUAGGUGAAUAUGUGCCUACCUUGUUCGUGCUUUUUGAGGGGUUUAUAUAAUGUUGAUGAGAAUGCCACUAUAGUGCUUACUAGACACUUUAACUUUCUUCUAUAAUGAUGAUUGUCUUGCAGGCGGUUGGGCAAUCAUCAAAAUUUUGGGUGGCUGAUAGGUGCCAUCAACUAACGUGCCAUGAUCUUAGACCAUGCAGUAACCUGUUCCCUCAGUCUGUUGAUGGCCUAAGGUUAUGUGCAACAAUUAAUUGACAUGGACUUGAGGGCUAGAAGAGGUCCCAUCGGCCGUUCACAUGUCAAGUGUGAAUGAUCACUCAUGCUAGUGGGUCUUGAAGAUUUGACUAGACAACCUUACCUAUUUGGGAGGUCCAACCUCCCAUUGCCGUUGUUUUGGCCUUAUAGGAGAAAAGGGCUUUCUCAUGUAUGGUGCUAGAGGGACUAGUCGUGAUCCAGAUGAGUUGCAUACCCAUGCUAGAUGGUCGAAGUGUCCGGGUUGGAAAUGGAGGGAAGCCUCCCACAAAUAUGAGGGAGCCUUAUGAAAACGGAUCCUUAGGGCUUAAGAAGGGGUUUUCAAUUUUAAGGUUUGCCUUUUCACCCAAGGAUGUGAAUGGGAAGAUGAGGCGAAGUUAAAAGAUUGGUGAAGCAAAGUGAGGGCAAGGUAGGGUUUGAAUAAAGGAAAGUAUACACUAUUAAUGAAGAUGAUAAUCUCUAGAAAGAAAAACUAAGGUAAACUAGGGCUUUAAUAAUAAUUUUCAAUCUACACUAGUGAAGAGGAUAUCUUCGAAAACCAAAGUUAGGGCUUCAAUAACGAAUUUCAAUCUACAAUGGUGAAGACAAUAAUCUUCGAAAACCAAAUCUAUAAUGAUGAAGAUGAUUGAAAACUAAAUCUAUACUAGUGAAGACGAUUGGAAAGCAAAUCUACACUGGUGAAGACAAUGAAACCAAAUGUAGGUCUUCUAAACUAAACGCUUUUAAGGAUUUUCCUUUUUUUUUUCCUUUGUUUUCAAGAAAGGCAAACUCUUUAGAAAACUAAAAAAACUAAUGCAUUCUUAGAUCCAGAUCACUAUUUCCAACAUGGUAUUUGGAUUGCCAGCUUGCAUUUUUUAUUUUUUUAUUUUUUUAAUAGUCAUUGGCAUUUUAGGGAUUAUUGAAGGAUAAUAUCAUUCAGCUCAAUUUCCCAAAUUAGUUAGGUCUUACACUCAAAUGUGAAACUUAUAUGGAUGUUAGGCCAAUUAUCAAACUCAUCUGCCCUAAAACAUAAUUUCCCUUUUUUAAAAUAGUUGUUAAACAUCUAUCCCAAACACGUUUAACCCUUUGAAUUGCUUGUAUGUUAACCUUGUUUCCUUUUCUUCAUGCAACAUGGCUUAUUGAUGGUUGCAUUGAAUCAUUAUCAUUCACCAAUUCCAUGCAACUAUGGACUACAUUUCAAAUCCCUCGAACAUAAAUGGUAAUUCCAAAACAACUCAAGUAUAAUCUUUUCAACCCUUUCAAAUGAUUUAAUUAAUUGAUUUUUGAAUAUAUUCAUAUAUUUUUUUGAGCAAUUUUUAGGCAUAUAACAUAAAUCUCUUUUUUAUAUAUAUAUAAAAGGUUUUAUAUUUUAUAUUACAAUUUCCUUUUGUUUUUUCAUCUAAAAAACAAAACAUAAAACCUUAAUAAACGAGUUUUGUCACAAUCCCUUAACAAGUAAUCUAUUUUUUAAAUUACUUUAACAUUUUUAGAUAUAUUGAUUCAAUCUAAUUUACUUUUAAUAUUUUUUAUAAAAUAUUUUUACUUUAUAUGACUAUAAAUUAAUUACUAUUGAUUGCAUAUUAUAGAAUAUAUAUUCUAAAAUAUAUCUUAUUGACAAUAUAAUCAUAAGAUGUUAUAUCCAUAUCCUAACAUAUUAUAUACUUUUAUUUUGUGCAAUUAGCAACAUGGUGGGAAGUGGCAAGCAGCUUAACGGAAAUGUCAUGUGCCAAUGUGCCAUGCGUGUCCCUUCCCUUAGUGAGUCUGAACUGCUCCAACAUUUCCGACAUGUUAUUUUUUACUUAGCUCUUAAGUAUUUUCGUCUCGUUUUCGUUAACCCCAUCACAUUUCGCCACAUGGAUCUAAGCCUCAUGGUCCUUUCGUUCGUACAAUGAAUGUUCCCCCAAUUCCUUAUCUACACUAAAACUCCAUACUCGCCAUCUACUCAACCACUUCUCUACUCUAGAGUUUGGGUCCUUUAUCUCUGCACGUGUCUAUGGCUUUUCACCCCAACAAGUAUGGCAUUACAAGGGCAAUAUCGUCAUUAAAGACCCAAAAGGGAAACCAAUGGCAUUAUCUUCCUUUUGGUCUAUUCUAUUUAUAUUGUAAGUUAUUCGUGAUGACUUCUCCCAUAAAAGCUAAAAACCACUCCAAUAGAGCACACUUCACUUCUUCAUUUUUUUUUUUCCAGAUAAGCUCAGAAAGCCCAGCUCAUCCCUCAACUCCCCGAUGGGUUUGAUGAAUGUUCUUAAAUUCUCAACUGCAUGCUUUGAUCUUCUUAUCUGGUAUAUUGUCCACGCAUUUUCUUGUCAUUGGAAAAUUUUGGAAAAUGAAAUGGAAUUCUAUGUUUGAUGACAAAACUGGGAUUUGCUUUGAUUUCUCCAUGUUGGUUUUAUCCCUUUUGUUUGAAUUGUCCACAUUCUUGUCAUUGGUUGUUAGUUAUUUGUUUGGAUUUCUACUUGUAGGCCUCUGUUUGCACUGGGUUAUCCUCUAUAAAUCUUGGUCUUACACACCAAGAUAUGAUGAUUCAUUUACUCUUUUCUUGUUCUAUGAAUUCUUAGUUCUGUUACAUUUAUUGGGUUGGAAAACUGAAAAAGGAAAGGAUUAUUCGUUAUUAUCAUAAUAAUCAUCAACGUCAUCUCAAUUAUUCACAGAUGUGCAUCAAUUCAGGUAAUUGAGACUAACUCGAUCUCAGACAUUCAGAAGUUGGUGGCAUAUUGGGUUCUAUUUUCCUUGAUUUCACUUUUUGAUCGUACUUUUUCCAAGCUCCUUGAAUGGUAAUUUUGUUCAACUUCAUUCCAUCAUAUGUGGCUCUAUUUGUUUCAUUUCUUUGCCCUUCAGGAAUUUGGAGUUGCCUUUUUUAGUUUUCUUCCCUGUGAAAAUAAUCGAGAUGUUUAAUGUUCCAAGCCUCCAUGUAUUUUAUUUUCCUUCAUUUCUCUGCUUUGAUAAAUCCCCAUGAUUUGAUCAGCAAAAAGGCUAUAACAUUUGACAAAGAAAUGCUUUAUUUUGGUUUUUUAAGUACAACAAUUUUCAUUUGGAGAAAUGGUCUAAAGGGUAUCGGUGUUUGGAUGAAUCAUGGAAUUUUCUCGCUAAUUUGGGAUUUAUUCUCAAUUUCAAUAUCAUUGUGGAUAUUUCAAAAAUUAAUGAAAUAUAUAUGAUGGAAUGUGAUUUUCUUGUUUAAGAAAAGUUUUUCUUUAAAAAUUUAGGUAACCCUGACCUACCUUAUUGUGCUACUCGAAACACAAAACAAAAGUACAAGUAAUUUAGUAACUAAAUUGCACACUUUUUGAUAGUUCAAGGAAGUGGUGUUAGCUUUGGAAAUAAGAUGGAUCUACUAGUUUUUAUUUCUCAUCUUUAUAGGGAACUUUCCAUAAUAUAGCUUAUAAAUACCAUAAUCACAGUGAUGAAUAAUUGUCUUGUUUGAAAGCAUGGUUGCACUUAUUUGCAUGGAAUUUGUCUGCGUUGAAAUUAAAUUAAGCUUUAUGCAUCAUUUGGAUGCUGAGAAACAAAUGAAAAUAGAAAAUUCAAAAUUUGACAAGUUUGUGUAGGGAAAUUGGAUCUAAUCUCUUAAUCGAAGCUUAAUUAGGGCAAAUGUUGAUCCUCUUUGGACCUAUUGAAAGCUCUAAUCUGUGCACAAUUCUAAUGUUUUUGUUUCCUUAAUUUCUUUUUCAACUUUUCAACAAAGCAUCAAUUUGCUAUAAUAAAUGAGAACCAACUUGACGAUGAGAAAAAUGACUGGUGAUGAUGUCAUAGAGAAUCGCAGAUGAGAACAACCAAAAAUACUAGGAUUGGUACCACUGAUGGUAAUGAAGAAAACACAAAAAUGGUGCAAAUGGUGAACAGGAAACUCAAAAUGGAAUGGGAAAAGAAACCUAAACAAUAGUCUCCUAUAUAAAGCACACAACAUGUACAUCGAGGCAUCUGAAAGGACACGCUGCCUGAGAAGUCACUCUAAUUGAUGUGACUCCUCAUGACGUGGGUGGUGGACAUAUGUCCCAUGGUGCCAAAAAUUUCAAACACUCAAGCAACCGAAUACUUUCACUUAGUCAUUUAAAGCCUAGCUAGACUCAAUUGCAAGAAUUAAGGGCAUUGUGGGAUGCUCACCACCGUCUAUCAUGGUCCUCAAACACUGUCUGGUGUGAGACAUAUUGGCACAAGAGCCAUGUAGCUUCUCUAUCCACCCCAAGAUACUCCUAGGGUAGCAAACGAACACAAUCCGACCAAACACUAUGCAUUCCUACCCUACAAGCAUUAAUUUCAAUGAGCAAUAAGUGUAUUAACACAUUAAUGAAUGCAACCGUUAUAACGCUAAAACGCCAUACUUUAAGGUUCAUCAAGACACAACAACCAUUAUGGGCCGACAAUUAUUGGCGUUAAAUAUGGUAAUGCGCAAUCAAAGGCUCAAUUAAGGCCCUUUAGAAGACGUUACUAUUGGGCAAAGAUAAAUAACCAUUUUUUACCACAAGAAAGUCUGAUGCCAUUUUUUUCACAAAAACUUUUGCUUAAGUCUUCCAUCUCUAACCUAAGCUUUGAAGGGGUGUACUUGGAAAACCUAUCCGAACAUUCCUUUAUGUAGGUGCAAUCAUCGUUUAUGUCACGCGAAGGCUAGUCAAAGACCUUUAUUGGUCGUGCACCAAUAAAUCUAUUUAGUAUAUCUCAUUUAUCCGUUCAAGUGAGAUGAAGGAGUGACCUAAAGAUAGAUUGGAAACAUCAUAGUUUCUUAUAUUGGUAAGGCAGCAACAACCUCGGCUAGUGCAUCAACCUGCUCGUUUUCCUCUAGGGGUACGCGUUUGAUAAACCAUUCAUUCAAUUUUUCUGUUCAAGUGUACCAAAGAGAGGUAAUGAGCCAUGCAUUCAUCUCAAGCUUCAUAUUUUAGUUAGAUUUGUUCACCCACUAGUUGUGAAUUGCUUUUGAUUUCUACUUUCAUGGUUGUGAGAGCUAAGGCUAGAUCGUCUCAUAAGAAUUGCUUCAUAUUUUGCCUCAAUAUUAGAUACUGGAAAGUUGAGACAGACGACUUGUUCAAUUUGCUCUCCUGUAAGGAAUUGUUGUGUUAGUCCUAUCCUAGCUUCUGAUGUUCUAGAGGCUUCGUCUACAUGGAGAACACGCCAUUGUUCUUCAUUGUUAGACCUUGUCCAUUUUUGGGGUGGUUCGACUAUGAAAUCAAUGAGAACUUGCUAUUUGAGAUACUAAUGAGGUUUGUACCGUAUGUAAUAUUCACUCAAUUUGAUUGCCCAAUUCACCAUUCGACUAGAUAGAUUUAGCUUGUGCAACGUGACCCACAACGGUUGAUUUGUCAAGACCGUUAUUUGGUGCGCCUGAAAAUAUGGACAAAGCUUCUUGGCAGCGAUCCGUAAGUUCAGAGCCAUUUGUUCCACUUAAGAAUAUCGUGUUUUUGUGUCAAUCAUAGCUUUUCUCACAUAGUAAAUAAGUCUUUGUUCAUUACUCUAAUUGUGUGGAAACAAUAUGACAUUGACAGCAAAGUUUGACACAACCAGGUACAUGUAUAACUCUUCUCUAGCUUCAAGACUACUUAAGAUUGGUGGCUUCGUAAGAUACUGUUUGAUGUCUUUAAAGGCAUGCUCACACUCAUCCAUCUAACUAGACAUCUUUGCUCCCUAGAGUUUGCUCAAGAAAGGUCUGAGCUUAUUUAUGAAGCGUGUUAUGAACCAACCUAAGGUGAUUAGACACCCAGUUAGACGUUGCACUUCCUUCUUGCUAGUAGGAGCAGGGAUUUCUAACACUACUUUCACUUGAGCCAGAUCGACUUCAAUACCCCCUUUGAGUCACCAUGAACACAAGAAACUUCCACUCACUUACUCUAAAUGCAUAUUUUAUUGGAUUAAGCUUCAUGUCAUACCUGCACAUUAAACUGAAUGCUUCUUCCAAAUGGAGGAGCUUCUUGGAACGAGUUAUUCUCUUAAUGACAAUGUCAUCGAUAUAGACUUCCAACGUUCGACCUAUCAAGGGCUUAAAAAUAUGGGUCAUCAACUGUUGGUACGUAGCUCCAAUGUUCAUUAACCCAAGCGACAUGAUCUUGUAAAAGUACAACUCCUUAUGUGUAAUAAAUGUCAUCUUCUCUUUGUCAUGUGGAAACAUUGGUAUCUGGUGGUAUCCAAAAGAAGCAUCAAGAAAAGACAACAUUCCAUGCCUGGUUGUGGCAUCGACUAUCUAAUCUAUCUAGAGCAAUGGGAAGCUAUCUUUCAAGCAGACUUCAUUCAUAUCCACGUAGUCUGCGCACACCUGCCAUUUUUCUCCUUUCUUGGUACCACUACCACAUUUGUUAACUAGUCCAAGUAGGUCACCUCCUUGAUAAAUCUUCCUUUUAAUAGCUUCUCAACUUCUAUCUAGAUAAUUUUUUGAUGAUCCAACUAGAAACGUCAGACUUUAUAUUGUAUGGGUCGUGCUGUAGGAAGAAGGUUCAACUUAUGAGAGCUCACCGCUAGGUCUAUUCCAAGCAUUUCCGAAUGAAUCCACACGAGGAUAUCCUUGUUUUUACAAAGCAUUUCACCAACAUUACCACAUUCAUCCCUAGUUAGCAAAAAAUUAGCGUAAGUCAUCUGCUUAUUAUUUUUCGACAAAGAUAGCUAUUGUAAUAGGCUGAUUGCCAAUGAGUCUCUAUCCUCUAGUUUUCCUUCGACCUAAUUCUAUAAUUGUUAUUAGCUCUCUCUUGAUGAUUUGAGUUCAUCUUUAGUUGGGCCUGAACUCCAUCGCCACUUAGUAACACUACUAGGUGGCUAAUUGGAUUCCAUGUGGAUCCACUUACCCAAAUUCUGUCAGGUAGCUCACCAUCUUAUGAUAGGUGGAUGGAAUAACUUUCAUCUUAUGUAGGUACGACAACCUUAUGAUGGUGUUGUACGACGGUAAAUCCUCUACUAUAGAAAAUCAUACGUUGAGAGUAGGCGGGUUGGCUUGGACAAGAAGUACCACGUCGCAUAGUGAUAUUGUGGCAACCCUAUUAAACCCAAACAAAAGUCGAACUAGAUUUUCUAAGGCAGAUGACGAACAUCCCAUUUUCCUGUAGGUUGACAUAUGCAAUAAAUUGGAAUGAUCAUUUUAGGAAGGAUCACUUGAUUAAUGUUAAUUGAAGGGAAAGUGAUUGGGUCAUUGACUGGUCGGGCACUUUCGACAGUAAAUGUGCACUGAACUGCACUUACUCUUUCCCUCCCUGUAGUCGCACAGAGCAUUCGUCUCCUUUGUUGUUUGGAGUGAUAUUUGUCAUCUACUAUUUCCCCAUGGAUAUAGUUAAUCACUACUCGAUGUGUUGUGGGAGAGUCAGGAACUCACUCUGACACUUCACGUGUCAUUUCUUUAUGUCCACCAGUUGCUCAGACAUACAACUUGAGAUGUCCGGUAAUGAUUAGUUUCUCCACCAAGUAGUGCAAAUUUUUGCACUCUUCUGUGGUGUGCCCAUGCUCCUUAUGAUAGAAUCAUCGCAAUCCUCGAUCAUGCUUGGACGAAUCAGUUUUGAUGGGCUCUAGCCACUUGAACUCGAGCAGCUCUCAAAUCAAGAGGAGAAUUCUAUCAUAAAAAAUGGUCAACGGGGUGAGCCUAGGCGAUUAUCAUUGUUGUUGUCUUUCUUGUCCUUGAUUAGUCUAUCUAGACUGGCUUGAGGGCUUUAAGCUCUUAGCCUUCUUUUUUAAUUGCUCGGUUUAUAACCAGGAUUUGUUGAGAGGUUACCUAAACAUCCUCCUCAAGCAUGACAUGUUUGCCCACUCGUCUAAAUAGGUCAUUCAUUGUAGUGGGCAACUUUUUGGCCAUGGACUUGAAGAAUUGAGUGCUUGGACUGAUGAUCCAUUUGAAGAUCUGCAGGAUAGCAUCCAUGUUGUAAGAUUCCAUCUAGAACACCGCUUGUCUGAAUCACUUCAUGAAGUCCCUUAGCGAUUCAUUCUCCUACAUCUGAAUGUUCUAUAAGGUGCUUAUAUUCUGCUUUUGGCGAGCAAAACAUAAAUAAUGGCCCACAAAGGCCUCUAAAACAUCUGUCAUCUGUUGUUGGAAGUGCAUCAGGUGAACAAAAGAGUCACCAUCCCAUAGUAAAUAGUAAAUUUGGGCACCGGAAACCCCUGGGCAGCUCAUAACUAAUGAUAUGUGGGUCAAACGACAUGAAGAGCAUGUCAUCCAAUCAUCUACUUAUGGAGUCAAGAGGGGCUUUUGUCAAUGGGUUAUUUGUCGAUUGUAGUUCUAGUAUUGAACAUUAAGGCAGACGGCUUGGUGAUGCCUCAUCGUUUGAUUGGCCUAAUUGUGCUUUCAAGGCCUCCAAUAUGCAUGGCGAUGCUAGUGUUCUUCUCUCCUGAUACCCAAGAUAGGCUUUCAGGGCAUCUGAGAGACGUAAGCCCCAUUCUUAACCCAUUUUCCAUUUUUCUCCAAUAGAGCUUGCAACCUCUUUCGCUUGAGUUCGAUCGACUACUGAAUGCACUAGUUCAAGUAAUGUUAGCGAACUGCUAGUAGACAAUCCCUCAUCCACUGUUUGUAGAGACGACUUAGUGUAUCAUUGAAGAACUUUCAUUGUUUGGCUUCAAACUACUCUUGAAGUCGUCUAUUGGUUGGAGGUACGAUGACUUUUUUAUCAGCACCCCAUAGCCACUUGUGCUCGUAGCUCUUGGUUCUCUUGCUGUAGUUGUUCUGCCUGUUGGACAGGGACUACAUAGGUUAUUCAUAUUCUUCUUGCUUUUUUUCUAUCUUUCCUUGCCAAGCUUGGAAUCGCUCGUCAACAUUUGCAGAAUGAGUUGCAGGAGGCGUGUUAACCAUCGUGUUUUUUAGGCAUUUGUGGUUGAUUCCCAUAGACAAUGCCAAUGUUGGUGCACGACCAGUAAAAAAAGGUGUUUGGCUAGUCUCCAUGUAACAUAGAUGACGAUUGCACCUGCACAAAGGAAUGUCUGAAUGGGUUUUUCAGGUACACCUUUCCAAAGCUUAGGUCAGAAAUGGAAGACUUAAGCAAGAGUUUUUGUGGAAAAAUUGGUAGCAUACUUUUCUUGUGGUUAAGAAUAACUAUUUAUCUUUGUCCAACUAUAAUAUCUUCUCAGAUGCCUUAAUUGAGCCUUUGAUUGUGCAUUAUCAUCUUUAAUGUCAAUGAUAGCCAACCCAUAAUGGUUGUUGUGUCUUGAUGAACCUUAAAGGUUGGCGUUUUAACCUCAUAAUGAUUGCAUCCAUCAAUGCGUUAAUGCACUAAUUGCCUAUUGCAAUUAAUGCUUGUUGGGCAAGAAUGCAUAGUGCCCGAUUAGAUUGUGUUUGUUUGGUACCCUAAGAGUACCCUGGGGUGGACAAAAAAGCCACAUGGCUCUUGUUCUAACAUGUCUCGACUAGACAGUGUUUGAGGAUCAUGUUAGAUGGUGAUGAGCAUCCCACAGUGAAGACGUAUGAUGAAAGCAAAGGUAGGGCUUCUAAACCAAACGCUUUUAGGGAUUUUUUUUUUUUUUUCAACAAAGUUGACCUCUUCAAGGAAAAAAAAAAAGGUUAAAAAAACUAUUGCUUUUUUGGAUCCAAAUCACCAUUUCCAAUGUGAUAUUUGGAUUUCCACCAUGUAUUUUUUUUUUUUUUAACAGUCAAGGACAUUUUAUGGAUUAUUGAAAGAUAAUAUCUUUCAACUUAAUUUCCUACAUUAAUUAAGUCUUAGGCUCAAAUGUGAAACUUAAGUGGUUGUUAGGCCAUCAAACCCAUCUGCCCUAAAGUAUAAUUUCCCAUUUUCAAAAUAUAUAGUUGUUAAACAUCUAUCCCAAACUAUUGUAACCCUUUGAAGUGCUUGGUAUGUUAACCUUGUUUCCUUUUCCUUAUGCAACAUGGCUAAUUGAUUGUUGCAUUGAAUCAUUAUCAUUCACCAAAUCCAUUCAACUAUGGACUUACCUUUCAAAUCCCUCUAACAAAAAUGGUAAUUCCAAAACAACUCAAGUCUAAUGUUCUCAACUCUUUCAAAUGAUUUAAUUAAUUGGUGUUUGAAUAUACCUCUUAUAUUUUUUUAGAGCAAUUUUUAGGCACAUAACAUAAAUUUCUAAUUUUUUUUUAGAAAAGGUUUUAUAUUUUAUAUUUUAUAUUACAACUUCCCCUUUUUUUUCCAUCUAAAAAACAAAACAUAAAACCUUAAUAACCGAGUUUUGUCACAAACCCUUAACAAAUAAUCUAUUUUCCAAAAAUUACUUUAACAUCUUUAAACAUAUUGAUUUAGUAUACUUUACUUUUAAUAUUUUUUGAAAAAUAUUUUUAUUUUAUAUGAUUAUUAAUUAAUUAAGAUUGAUUGGGUAUGGUAGAAUAUAUAUUCCAAAAUACAUCGUAUUGAGAACAAUAUCACAAGAUAUUAUAUCCAUAUCUUAACAUAUUAUAUACUUUUAUUUUGUGCAAUUAGCAAUUGGACGGAAGGUAGGGAGCCGGCUUAAUGGAAAUGUCGCAUCUCACGUGUGUCCCUUCCCUUACCAAGUCUCAACAAAGGAUGAAAAUAUCGGUAAUCACGGAUAUAUCGGUACUUCGAUUUUACGGAUAUAUUAGAUAUAUCAGAGAUAUAUUGACGGAUAUUUUGGAAAAAAAUAUCGAUAAGCCUAAAAUUGAUCAAAAUUUAUAAAAAUAUAAAAAAAACUUCAUAAAAAUGUAAUUAAAAGAAGGUCGUAUAAGUUACUCAUGUUGAUCAUGUGAUAUAUCACGAGAUAUAAUCGAUUUUUGGGAAUUUCUCACGAAAAUAUCGCGACAUUUCUUCCUUGUCUCGACUGCUCCAAGAUUUCCUAUACGCCCUUCUUCGCUUAGCUCUUAAGUCUUUUCUUCUCCUCUUCCUCAAACCCAUCACAUUUCGCCGCGUGGAGCUAAGUCUCAAGGUCCUUUUGUUCGUACGAUGUAUGUUCCCCCAAUUCCUCAUCUACCUUGAAACUCCAUACUCGCCAUCUACUCAACCACUUCUCUACUCUAGAGUCUGGAUGCUUUAUCUCCGCGAGUGUCGAUGGCUCUUCACCCCAGCGAGUAUGGAAUUACAAGGGCAAUAUCGUCAUUAAAGACACAACAGGCAAACCAAUGGCAUUGUCUUCCUUUUGGUCUAUUUUAUUUAUGCUGUAAGUAUUCGUGCUUGACUUCUCCCGCGUCUCUUAUAAAAACUAAAGAAAACCACUCCAACAGAGCACACUUCAAGAAUCUUCUUUUUUUUUUUCUUUCCUCUUUCUCUUUACAUAUAUACUGAGAAAGCCCAGCUCAUCCCUCAAUUCCCAGAUGGGUUUUAUGAAUGUUCUCAAGUUCUCAGCUGCAUGCUUUGAUAUUCUUGCCUGGUAUGUUGUCCACGCAUUUUCUCGCCAUUGGAAAUUUUUGGAAAAUGAAGUGGAAUUCUCUGUUUGAGGACAAACAUGGGAUUUUCUUUGAUUUCUCCCUGUUGGUUUUAUCUAUAUUCUUUGGAUUACCCACAUUCUUGUCAUUGAUUGUUAGUCAUUUGUUUGGAUUUCUACUUGCAGGCCUCUAUUUGCACUGGGUUAUCCUCUGUAAGUCUUGGUCUUACACCUCAAGAUAUGAUGAUUCAUUUACUCUUUUCUUGUUCUACGAAUAGUUCAGUUACAUUUAUUGUGUUGGGAAACUGAAAAGGGAAAGGAUUAUUCUUUAUUAUCGUAAUAAUCAUCAACAUCAUCUCGGUUCUUCACAGAUGUUCUUCAAUUCGGGCAAUUGAGACUAACUCAAUCUCAGACUUUCGGAAGUUGGUGGCGUAUUGGGUUCUAUUUUCCUUGAUUUCACUCUUUGAUCAUGCUUUUUCCAAGCUCCUUGAAUGGUAAUUUUGCUCAACUGCGUUCCACUAUAUGUGACUCUGUUUGUUUCAUUUCUUUGCCCUUAAGGAAUUUGGAGUUGCUUUUUUCAGUUUUCUUUCCUAUGAAAAUAAUCGAGAUGUUUAAUGUUCCAGGCCUCCAUGUAUUUUAUAUUCCUUCAUUUCUCUGCUUUGACAAAUGCUCACAAUCUGAUCAGCAGAAAGGUUAUAACAUUUGAAAAAGAAGUGGUUUAUUUUUGUUUUUUUUAAGUACAAUAAUUUUCGUUUGGAUAAAUGGUCUGAAGGGUGUUUGUGUUUGGCUGAGUUCAUGGAAUUUUCAAGCUAAUUUGGGAUUUAUUCUCAAUUUCAAGAUCAUUGUGGAUAUGUCAGAAAUUAAUGAAAUAUAAAUGGUGGAAUGUGAUUUUCUUGUUUAAGAAAAGUUUUUCUUUGAAAAUGCGGGUGCACCAGACCUACCUUAUUGNNNNNNNNNNNNNNNNNNNNNNNNNNNNNNNNNNNNNNNNNNNNNNNNNNNAUCAGAUUCAACUGUGAUAGCCCGGAAUUUAAUUCAGUAUUCGACUCUUCUGGGAACAUGUUGGUUAUGGUUUCUCUCUCACUGUCCUCUUCUUUACACAUGACUUUUCAGUUGAGGAGCACAAAGCCUAAUGUUGAAGUGAAAGAGAUCAAAGCACCUGCAGCACCGGAGAAAAAAGGGGAACAGGUAAGUACUCUAAUGUGGCUAUUUAAUUUCUAUGGAGGCAGAUCCCCAGAGAAAUGCUGUUCAUGUAAAUUACUGAUGCAUUUGAUUCAAUGGCCACGGUUUUAAAAGAAAAACCACUUUAUGUAUGUUUCUGUGAAUGAGAGAACAAGUUUAUGGAUUAAAUGAUAUUUUUUAUGGUGAAAUAAUCAAUAAUUUUCAAAAUAAUAAUACAUUCCUGCAUGUUUUUGCAAUUCAUGAAUUCCUUUUAUGAUUGAUUCUUCUCACCUUUUUUCUCACCUCAGUGGAAGUGUGAAGAGCCUAAUGUUGCUCAAAAAGAGAUCCAAGUAGUCAAAGUAACAGAGAUAAAAAAUGGGGGGGAUGGAGCAAAGAGGGUAAGUUUUGCUUUUUAUUUAUAAAGUAGGCUGUCUUCACACAAGGAUUAUUAUUAUUAUUAUUGUUAUUAUUUUAAGACAUGAAUGUUGAAUGAUUUUGGAAUUGUCCUUGAAUCAUGUGAAGUGUGAAUGGUCUAAUGCUGCUAAGGAGGAGGUCAAAGUGACAGAAGUAACACAGAGAACAUUUGGUGGUACAGCACAGUGGGUAAGGUUUCAUGUCAUAUUUAAAUGGCUCCUCAUAUUUCACUAGGAUUAAUUUUGCCCCUACAAACUAUUUGGCUACAAGUUAAGACAGAGUUCCAGAUGCUGAUAAAGCUGAGACAUAAGUAAUGAACGAAUUUAGACACAUGCACAACUCUUGUGUGAAACACAAUGAGAGUGGAAAAUAGCUAAGUUGAAAAAUGGCCAAAUACUAUUUUGUAGUUCCCCCUACCACUUAAGUAAUUUUUGUCAUCCUUUGUGAAUGGAAAAUGCAGUCCCUUCAGUAAUUCCAUUAUAUUCAUGACUUGGUGAAGCAUAUAACCAUUAGUGUCUUACCCUAAGUCGACCUUUAAUGAUGAUCCAUUGAGAUGGGUCUGACUUUUGUCAACCCUCUUAUUCCCUUGAUCAUAGAGGUGAAACUUAGGGGGCUUAACCCACUUUUCAAUCUUAUUGGAUAUAUGGCACGUGGUAUCCUCUUCAUCUUGAAAGAGUGAAGUGGUCAUACUCUUUCCUCUGAGUCCAUUGUGGCCAUGCACUUCAGGCUCAUUGGGCUGAGUGAAAGGAUUCCCUUCUGCUUCAAAUCAUAGAGAGAUAUGCCAUGGUCAGCCUCUUUAAUUCAAGGGAUUGAAGUACUCAAAUCCAUUUCUCUGUAUCCAUCUUAGUUCUGCAUUCAUGUCUCAUGGUUAACCAAGAAGAUCCAGCCUCCAUCCAUGAGAUCAGCAUCUGCAGGUUUAUGACACCACCCUUCCUUUGCAUAGGAAAGGGAUCAUUAAGCCAUGUGUCGGAUGACAGAAGUCAUCAUUCAGGUUAUCUUGAGAACUAAGGAAGUUGGAAUUCUAAUUAUUGCAUAUGGUUCUUGAUGUUUAGCCAAUAUACUAUAGGAUUUUAAGCAUCAUGCUCACGUGCAUUGUGGUUGCUUAUCAGCUAUAUGGUUUGCCAAAAUGAGGGACUGAUUAUGGUCAUAAGUACCUUUUUCCCAUUAAUUUCUUGCAUGUGCUCUGCUGAGAUUAUGUUUUUGACAGUCCAAAUCAGGGCAAACCAACAAACAGCUUUAUGUUAACUUUUACAAACUGCCAUAUUUUCAGGUUAAACAAACAGAGAUAAAUCUUGGUGAAACUAGAAGUAAUACAACCUGUGCUGUGGAGAUAAAAGAAAGGGCAGCAGCACUGGUGGCUGCAGAAAUUGAGGCAUGUAGAGACGAUAGAACCCCCAAGAUACCUCUUCAUGAGAAAGUCCAGAAAGAGUGGGCUUGUGCUGUGUGCCAGUUCACAACCCAAACUGAAGCGACCUUCAAUUCCCACCUUCAAGGGAAGAGACAUCAGGCCAUUUCUGAGCAGCUGAGAGCCAAAAAUCAGGCAACCAAAACCAAUUGUUCCCCAUCUGCUUCAAUGGCCAAGAAAUCUGAUCAGUCCACCAAAGAGGAGCAACCGAAGUGUACUUCCAAUCUGAAUUCCAAAAACAAUGGAAUCUCAGCUGCUUCAACAGUGAAGAAACUUGAUGAGACCAAAGAUGAUGAGCAACAAAAGUCUGCAUCUAGCAAUGGACCGAACCAGAAGAAUAACAAAAAGCAAGAGGUACAGACCAAUGAGCAAGGCCGUCAGAAGAACUUAAGGCAAACUGGUGAUGGAAUGAAAGAGUUGAGAUCAUGGUGCAAUAUCUGUAAUGUAAGCUGCACAAGGGAGCUUGACCUGGCCUCGCAUCUCAAUGGAAGGAGGCACUUUGAUAGGAUAAAGCAGCUGUCUGAAUUAUGGUGCAGUAACUGCAAUGUAAGGUGCAACAGUGAGGUUGAUAUGGCCUCUCACCGAAAUGGGAGGAGGCACUUGGAGCAGCUGAAGGAACGGUUAGGAUUAUGGUGCAGUAUCUGUAGUGUGAGUUGCAACAGCAAGGUGGACAUGGAUUCUCACCUAAAUGGGAAGAUUCACUUGGAUCAGAUCAAGGACCAGUUAAGAUUAUGGUGUGGGGCAUGUAAUACAACCUGCAAGAGUGAGCGCAACAUGGCCUUUCAUCUGAAUGGGAGGAAGCACUUAGAGAAGAAGGGGAAUACCUGAUUUGCAUGUUUCUUCAGAUUAUUGAUACUUACAAAUGGUUUUAGUUAGAAGCAUACAGGCCAGUGGGUGGUGGUCACAGAUGCCUCUAUUUUGUUGUAUGAAGUAAAAACAGUAUUUCCAUGUCCAGAAAUCAACCACUUGUUUAGUGCAUGCAUGGCUGGUUCAAAAUUAAACCUAAUUGUGAAUGACUAGGAGCAGGGAGGGAAAAAUUGAAGGGAAGAAUGUAAGAUUAUGGCUUCAUUUUUAUUUUUUCCUCUUCUGAAAAUUGUAAGAUUGUGUUAGGAGGAGCUGGAAUGGGUUCAAAUCAGGAAUUAAGACCCAGUUCCAAGACAUGGAAAGUGUCUUUAGAUUAUGUUAAGUUAUUUCCAUUUUUUUUUCUUUUCUAUUUUUUUUCUUUAUUUAUUGUAAGAGGGAGCAUAAAUGAAUUUUUAUUUUUUAUUUUUUUUUUCAGAAUAAAGAUGAAUUUGAUAAUUUCAAUUAUUGCGUUUGGAUGUAUUUCGGAACGUAAGAUUGAAAUAAUUAUUUGUUUUCAUUUUAGUGUUUGAUAAUAAUGAAAGUAUGAAUUAAAAAAUAAAUUGAUAAUAAUACUCUUACAUUUAAUUUAAAACAAUUUUUUAUUUUUAUUUUUAUUUUAGAAGAAUAUGGGUUAAUUUUAUUUAUUUAUUUUUUAAAUAAUAAGCUUAAGAAAAAUAAUUUUUACUCAAUAAAUAAAAUUAAUCAUACAAAGUCAUAAAAACCAAACCAAAAUAUAAGGGUAAAAUAGUAAUUUUAAAAUAUUCAUUUAAGUUAUCCAAAUGCAUUCCUACUCUUCAUUCUCUUGUACGAAAUACGGUCUUUAAGCGUUUGUCAAACUUAUUUCUUUUUUGGCAAUAUAUCAAUAUUUUAGUAAUAUUUUUAUCGAUUAGUUGCUGAUAUUUAUCGCCACGUCACCAAUUCUUUGAGUUUGACUUUCAAAAUUUUGAAAUGAUCAUUGAAGUCCAGUUCAGCCCAAAUCACUACACCCAUGAAAGGGAACGGCUGGGCCACCACACUAAUAUGGCCCAUACAUGGGACCUCGUAAAAGAAUACCCAUCUUCAAAAAUAGGGACCAUAUUAAAUUAUUAAUGUAGCUAUAGGAAGCAUUUGAGGACAAGGGUCAUGAUUUUUCCCUUUUCUUUUUCUCCUUAAUUUUCACAUCACCCAACAACACCACUCUUAAUUCACACAAAUUUGAAGGUUUGGAAUGAGACUUAUUCGUAUUUAUAUUGUAAUUAUGCUAUAAUAAUCGUGUCGUAUUUGGAUUUAUUUAUUAAAUCCAUCUAAAUCUUUUGUUUAUUCGUGUCAAAACAAUAUAUUUAUAAUCGAAUCCAUUUAUGACAUAUUCAUCUUUUAUAAAUUUAUUAAUUUUAUAUAUUUUAAAAUUAUAAAAAUUAAAUAUAUUUUUUCAAUUAUGAAAUCAUAUUACUAAAAUAUUAAAUAAUUCAUUAACUUGAAAUGUUUUACAUUUCAUUAAUUAUUUUAUAAUUACAACAUUAAGUGAAAUAAUAAAUAGGUAUAAAAUAUAUAUUUUAUUUUAGUUAAAAAUUAUAAAUUGUUAUUGAGACAUAUAACUAUUAAAAUUCUACCCAUUUGACUAUCAAACAAACAACUUAAGUUUUUAGUCAUGAUUUAAGCUUAUGAUAAACUCUAUUUACAAAAAUUAGAAACCAAAAUCAAAUUCUUCCUAGACUCAAAAACAUAAAGACAAUCUUUUAACUUUAGAAGACAACUAUCAUCUAAGAUAAGGGUAACUCAUCCCAUUGCAUGUACAACAAUUCUUGCUUCAAAAGCUAAUGUUAGGUACAUAUCCCUAUCAUUCAACCUUUCCCUUAGCUAAAACCCCUAUAAAGAAUUAUAAACAUGAUCAAUGGCUCCAAAAUUUAUCCACCAAGAGUUAGUGGAAUCUAACACUAAAAAUGAUUCAACUAAAAGAGAAUGAUGCAUACCUAACUGUCUCUUCAAGAACUAAGGGCAUUCCUUCUUCUAGUGGCUUUUUUUACCACAAAGGAAACACUUAUCAUGACCCUUACUCUUCUUCUUUUUCCCUUGCCCUUGAACUUUCCCUUCUGCUUGGUGAAUUCUACAAUGUUCUUCUUAUUUUGGUUAGAAGAACCUAAAGAACACUUAACUGCCAUAUAAAUACCUCUCUGGUCCUUGAGAAUUCCCUCAAUUGUUUUGUGUUCUCUCAUCAGUUCGGUUAUAGUUUAAGAAAAAAAAUGUUUUUUUUAUGUGACUAAACUUGGAAUGAAUGUCCAAGUUGCAUACAUACUCGGGCUAAGAUCAAGUCAUAACGUAGUUUAAGAAAAAAGAUUUUUUUUUUUUUUUUUUUUUUUUUUUUUUUGUGAUUGAACUUGGAAUGGAUUUCUAAGCUACUUACGUAUCCAGGAUGGGAUCAAGUUCUAACAUAGUCACAAUGCAGUUCAAGAAUUUUUUUUUUCUUUUUUUGUGCUCUAACUUUUGCCAAGACUAAAGAUCUUAAUUUUGCGAGCAUGUUCUAACUUUUGCCUAGGUCGCCUUUCCAAGUUUUCAAUUUAGCAAACAAGGUUUUUUUUUUCUUUUUUUUCUUUUUCUUUUUUUAGUUCUCUAACUUUUGCCAAGACUAAAGAUUUUAAUCUUGGAAGCAUGUCUUAACUUUUACCUUAAGUCGAAUUUUUAGGUUUUCAAUGUGGUGGAUUUUUUUUUUUUUUUUUUUUUUUUGUGUCGUAGGUAAUUUAAGCUCAUAUGGAUUGGAAGCAAUGUGUAGUUUGUUGGGAUUAAGCCCUUAAAAGCAAGACAUGAUGUAAUAAAGUUAAACUUAACUAUUUCCUUACUAUCUUUUUGGUGUAUCAACAUUGAUUUAAACAUUCAACCCAUAUCUCUUACAUUGUACAUGAUUUAGGAGCAUUAAGAGUUGCACAAAAGAUACAAGUUAUGGGUUCCUUGUAAGUAGAUGAGUUAUCCAUAGUCAUUUCAUGGAUUUGGGCAAUCUAGUAGUGACUAUAGUGCACCACCUCCUAAUUUAAGGGAUGACUUGUCUUGGCAGUUGGGAUGAGUUUCCUAUGGUGAGCGUACUAGUGUAAAUGAUGCACAUUGGACAGGACCUAUGGUGAAUCAUGACGCAAGGCUAUCAAUUGUCAUGAUUCACCAAGUUACUAUACUACAUGGACUCUCAACCUUGAGAGGACAUUGAACCCAUGUCAAAAUCAAUAGAAAGUUUUGACCUAUGGGCGAGACCCUAAAGUAGUCAUAUAUUCCUAUGGAUUAGGUCAUUGUUGAUGUAGGCUGGUUAUAAUAGGCAUUCUCAAUAGAGGCACCAUGAUAUGUCAUGGGAUUGAGAUGGUGUGUCCCUUUGGGUGAUCCAAAGAACAUGUGAUCAUGAAAUUUGUGGCCACAGUAAUUCCUUUAGUGAAAUUUGACAUAUGCUCCUUGGAGUUAGAGUAUGUCAAUUGAUCACAUAAUAAGUGAGAUCUAUAACUCAAGGAUUUGAGAGAUAAUAUUGAUAGGUGAUAACACUAACUUGUUAGAUUUAGACACCAGUUUCAUGAGGAAUAUGCAUGUAGUGGAUAGUAGGUCAUGAAUGCGAGCUUUGUCUCGUUGUUAUUUACAUAAGGUACCGGAGUGUAGUUGAUUCUCUUUAGUAGAGUGUUGAAUCAACUUCAAAAUUGGAUUAUGAGGUAGUCAGUACUCCUAUGGGUCUCAAUGGUCCCCACUCUGAGCUAAUAUACCAUGAUGACACAAUUUAUGAGGGUUGGAUUGACUUUAGGUUCAUUCUUAUGCAUAAGGGCAUUUUGAUAAUUACACAAGGUUGCAUAGGGGAUAAUAAAUAAGGUCUCUAGAUUGGACUAAUUGAUUAAUUAGAUGGCCUUAUGUGGUUAAUUAAUCAAUUAAGACAUGUUAGGGCUAGAUUAAGUGACCCAAGCCUUGAUGGGUUCAAGUCACUUAAGCCUAAUGGGUAACCGUAUAAAUACCUCCUUAUGGGUUAGGGUUUUCUAAUGACUUUUAGUUAGUCAUCUUCCACUUUUAGAAAAAUAGAGAGAGCCAAAGCUUCCUCCUUUCCACUGCCCACACUUUGGUAUGCCAAGAUCGGGAAUCGAGUCAUCGAACAAAAGAUCUUAGGUGUACGAGACCUUUGAACUCUUUAGGCUUCUUCUUCGUUGGAUGGAUUUUGAUCUGGGAACAUCUAGAUCACAUGUAUGUGUUAUAAUAUUUGGUUAAUUCAACCUAAGGUAAUCACCCUAGAGAAGGGGUGAAUAGGGUGAUGAUUUUUUUUUGCAAAUUUAAAUUAUGUGAAUGCAAGAGACAAUUAUAUGCAAAAUAUAUGGCAAAACCAUAUAAAAACAAUUGCAUAUAAAGUAAAAGGUUAAGGAAGAGAGAAUAUAAACACAAGAUUUUUAUAGCGGUUCAGUGCAACCCGACCUCCAUCCAUUCUCUUCUAGCUUCAAUACUAAACUUGAGGUUCCACUAAUUCAAGGCUUCCAAUCCAAGCCUUCAAGUAAUACAAUUGGAUUAUGGUUCCAAUCAAACCUCUUGAAAUUUUAGUUCUAAACACAUUUUACAAUCUUCAAGAGAUACCUCACUCUUGAACAACUCCUUAAGUGAUACCUCACACUUGAGAAUCCCUAAGUGAUACCUCACACUUAGAUUUUUCAUCUCAAAGAUUUAUCCGCUCUGCACCCACCUCCCGAGUAUAUGCUUCAACAGGAAUCACACAAGGGUAGAUUGAUACAAUAGAAACCUCUGGUAAAAUGCCCGCUCGUAACCCAGCAGAUAAAGUACAUUACAUAGUCCGUUUUAGGGAUUGGCUACUUACCCAUUCAGUGACUUUGGCACUGGACGUUCCCAAAAUGGGUACUAUCGGGUCGGGUGAAUUCAAUAAUAGACGCCUGUUGGCAUUCCAGCCUUCCUUCUCCUUUCAGGGCCUAUCCGAAAGAGAAUCCAGUACUUCUUGGUCAAAUGAAGAUAGGAAAUUAUUAGCCUAAGGACUCUCCUAAUCGGGUUUUGAUGAUAACAAACCAUGAUUAAAUGACUAAUUGGUUUAAUGGUUAAGAAUCUCAAGCAUAAACUCGAAAAUUCAUCAAAUGACCAAAUGGAUACAAGAUCGAGACAUUUGGAAGACUUGUGAUCAUAGGAAACUAAUGUAAGAUGAAUGCAUGAGUGCACUUAGGAUUUUCAUACCGUUUCAUACAAUUUAGAAAACUCAGUUUAUUCUUUAAAACUUCAAUUUCAUUAAAACCCGAGUUUUAACAAUUGUACCUCAGGCAAAAUGUUUUAAAAUUGGCAUAAUAAUUCACCUAAAAACCUUGCCUAAGUGUUAGGAAAGAAAGGAAUUGAAAAAGAUAGGUUUUCGGGGCCAAAAGGCUCAACCGGUCGAGGCUAUGGCCAACCAACUCAACCGGUUAGGGAAUCGGUCGACUGGUUACCCUUGUCCAGUUGAGGUCCGAUCGAAGGAUGCACAAAAUUUUCUCUCUCUCCCAGUAGCCUUCUCUUCCCGGUUGAGGUUAUUCUCUUCCCUGUCGAGGUCCGGUAUAGGCAACGGUAACCUGUCAAGCAUUAAAUGCUCCAACGGCUAGCGAACCGGUCAACCCCUAGCUCGACCGGUCAAGGUUACCUUUUGUUGUUUUUGACUCCCGAGCUUAGAAACCUAUAAAUUGAGAGCUCCACUUCAUUUAUUGACGAGAUAACACUUGCAAUCAAUUGUCUACCUAUUUGUUCUUGAUCAGAAAGCUCUCAUUUCUUUCUUAGUACAUUAAAUCAUCACUUGCAUAUCCUUUAGUGCACUCUUGUGUGUCAUCCUAGAUUUGUCUUGUAUUUGAGCUAUCUUUAAGCUAGGUUGAGGGAUUCAUUCUUGUAAAAACCGAGUGUUAAAGCCUUCAAGAAGUUUAAAUCUUGAAGAGAUUGUGUAAGAGUCCAUUGGAGCCAAAAUCCAAGUGUAAGAAGAUUGGAAGUUUGGUUGAAGUUUCAAGUUAGUGGAACCUUCACUCGGUUAGGAGAUUGAGGAGACUGAACGUAGGCAAAGAAGUGUCGAACUACUAUAAAACCCGAGUUUGAAUUCUCUAACUCUAGCUCUUUAUUUUGCUUAUAUUGUGCUUGAACUCGUUGUGAUUUAAAAGAAUUUAAAAAACCCCUAUUUGGGUGUUUUUCUUAAUUAAGCAUAGCCUUUAUUUUCUCAUAAAUAAUCUUACAAAAUCUUAGUACAAACUUUAGCCUUAAAUGAUACAAAAUAAACUAGGAUUGAAUGGUGCACUAAUGAUAUGUAAGUUUUAAAACAAUGUGUACAAAAAACACUCCCCUAAAGCUCAAAUAUAUUCGAGAAAGGUUUAAGAAGGUUAAACUCUUGAAACAAUAAAUAUUGAAACCUUUUUAUAGAAGAGAAAAACCAAACUACCUGUUGGGGAUUCGUUCGAUCAAGCUCUGGUUCGACCAGUUCACUAGCCUUUAGCAUUUAAUGUAUGAUAGGUGACCAUUGGACCUUGACUACCCCUUGAUUGGUACUCGACCGGAUGAAGUUCAACCUUGAUUGAUCGAAUAAGCAUUCUGGAAGAGAGAUAAGGUUUUUGCACCUUUCAACCGAGUAAGCUGAAUAGGUCGACUAAUUUCUCAUUCGAUUCAACCGAUUGAGUCAUUUUUUGCUCAACAACUAUUAUUUUCAACUUAAAACCUUUUAAACAAGUUUGGAAAGCAUUUGACAUAAGGUUUUAGUUGAAAACAUGAAAUCAUCCAAUUUUUAAAAGAUUUAAAACAAAAUAACUCUUGAAUGAUUUUGGUGUAUAAGUAAAGAAUGUAAUGCAUGAAAAACCCAAUGCACCAACAACCUUACAAAGAGAUCCUAUGAGUCUUAGGUCUUGAAAAACACUUAUCUUUAAGGUCUUCUUCUUCUUAUUGAUUUUAUCUUUGUGAUUGCCACUUUGGAAAUCAUCUUGCCUAGUCACACUUAAAAUAUAAUCAUUAGUUCUAAAUCUUGUUUUGUUAUCAUCAAAACUAAGAUUAACCAAACCUUGGUUUCACAAUAUGAAUAUUGUAUCUCUAGAUCUAUAGUUAAUAGUGGUUUUUAUAGUCAUUUGUUUCCAUUGCGAUAAAUUUAGAGAAGCUUAGGGAUAGAUGAAUGCACCCUAUGAGAUCUAGGGCAUAGGAAUGGAGUAAUCCGGGGUUCCUAACAUAGUUUAGGCUUGUGCUUCAUGGAGUGAUAACAAUUCUUCAAGCAUAGUUAUGCUUUAGAAAUUUGUUAUUGAUUGGUCCAAUUUUUAGACCAUCUUCAGCAACAAUCUUGUGUGCACCAUUGAUAUAAUCUUGUUAUACAAAAUAUGAUCUAUCACAUUUUUGGCAAGAACUUUCCACUGGUUUUGUGCAUGGUAAUGAUCAUGCAUGCAAACUUAACUAAGUUAUACACUAGAUGCCAAACUACUACAAUUCUUAUACACCUUCCCGUUUUGUGCAACUGAACAAUUCAACAUCAUAACACCAAAGUUCUUGCUUAGAUUUCCUACAGUGCUAAAAUUUUGAAAUGAUUAAUUUGUUUAUUUUUCUUUCAAUCCCAAGACCCACAUACAUCAUGUCAUGCCCUAAGACCCACUCUAAGGGCAUGACAAUCAUUUCACAUCUCAAGGUCGAAAGCUCAAAGUGUAAAUUGACCUUAACAUUCAUUUUGUAACUGGAAAAUUAUCAAUUACCAAAUUCAUAUUUAUAGUAGUAGAAUAAAAUUCUACAAGUUUCAAAUCUCAACUUUAAAGUUAACACAUCAACUAAAGUGUUAUUGUCCAAACAACUUCAAACUUAACAAUUCAAGCAAUCAUUAAAUUCUAACUUUCAAAAAAUAUUUUUUAAAAAUAAAGAUUUAACGAAAAGUCUUAGUAUUGCCAAAAUCUCAUCCUAACCUUCACUCCUAGCCUGAAUUAAGGUGCCUAAAAAAUUGUCAAUGAAAGGAAAUGAGAUCAACGCUCAAUAAGGAAUAUUAAUAAGGUUUCAUGGAUCAAACAUUUUUAAUUAUAAUUCCAAAUAGGAGAUAUAAUAUAUAAUCAUUUUCAUAAGAAAUUUUGAGUUUAAAUAUAAUAAUAUAUUGAAAACUUUUCAGCUAAACAUUUUCAUAUCUAUGUCAAAACAAUUUCAUAUCAAAUUCAAAUCAAAUAUAUACAAAAUAUUUUUACUUUGGUUAUCAAAUGUCACAUGGUGUCAAGUUAGGUGGGACUUUACAAAUUGGUGUCUAACCUCAAAUUUUUUCCUUUCAAGGUGGACGAAACCAAACACUACUAGUAUUAUUAACAUCUAACCAAAUCCCUAAAGGGUGAGAUCUAAAGCAAUUACAUUCUCCGCCAAGAAAUAUAAGGUCAACAAUUAUAACUCGUUGACUAGGGACAAAAAUAAACUAGAGUCAAACACCUUAUUUCAUUAAUUCAAACUUGCAAAACAAAAACAUCAUAUCUCCAUAAUUUUCAUUUUUUAUAAACAAAAGAAAUGUUCUAACAUAGUUUUUUCAUGAAAAAUAUAUAUUUGAUCCAUGCAUAAAAAUAAAAAUAAUUUUUUUAUUAUUCAAAAUAACAUAUAAAAAUAAAUAUGUUCUUUUGGCCAAAACAUGUAUUAAUUUUUCUUACCUCAAAGAAACACUCAAAGACCUUGAAGCAAUUAAUCCUAAAGAAUUUCACCCCAAAAAACAUAUUUCACACCUUACUAAAAAAAAAAAAACAAAACAAAAAAAUUACUAUUGAUUAUUUAUCUAAUAAUAGUUUUGUAUUUUAUAUCACCUAUAUUAUUUUUAACUUCCUAAUAAAUAACAAUUUAAUAAGCGAUUUUCCAAAUUUUUAAAAGUUAUGUUCUUUCCAAAAUUUAUUCAUAAUAUUCUAUUAUUAUUAUUAUUAAUUAAAUCUCUCAAAAAUAUGUUUUUUCUAUUUAUUGCAUUAAACUAUUAUUAUUAUUAUUCAAUUUCAAUUUGAUUAAUUGGUUUUUUCUUUUAAAUUCCUAAUUUAUAUAAGAUUCUUGUUUUGAAAAUCUUCCAUAUUUACUUAUUUGUUUAAAGUAAAUUUCUCCAAAACUUGUUCCUUUUGGUUAAACAAGUAUCUUUUCCUAUUAUUAUUAUUAUUAUUAUUAUCCCUAAUAUUAUAUUCAAAUAACUAAACAAUAAUAAUUUAAAUUAGUGAGUUUCCAAAUUUUUAUAAAACUCAUAUUCAUUCUAAAUCUUAUCAUAUAUAUCAAUUUCUUUUAUAUACUUAAAUUAAAUUAAAAAAUUUACUUAAAAAAUAUAUAUAUUAUAUUAUUACUUUCAACAUCCUUCUACCACCCAAACAAUUACUUCAAGUAAAAGUCAUAUAUCCUUAUUCUACUAACUAUCCUCUCUCUUGCAAUAGCACACUUAGGGAUGGCAAUGGGGUGGGUUCGGGAUGGAUCGCCCCUAUCCCAACUCCUCCCCAUUUAUUCAAAAUAAUUUUCAUCCUCGUCCCAUUUAAAAAAUUAAAUGAGGCAGGGCGAGUAUGAUAAAUUCUCAUAUUCGCCUCGCCCCGCCCCGUUUAACUCUUUUUUGAAUUUUUUUUUAAAAUUACUUUAAAAAUUUUUAAUUACAUUAAAAUAAAUAUAUUUUAUAAAUAAUUAAAUUAUUAUAUUUUUUAUAACUUAUUUUAUUAAAAAUAUUUUAUUAUUAUCUAUAUAUUAAAAAUAGUAAAAUAAAAAUUAAAUUAAAUUAAUUUUAUAUAUAAUUGGGGUGGGACGGGAUGAGGCAAUACCCAAACCUGCUCCGGGUUUUAAAAAAAAUUCUCAAACCUAUCCCAAACCCGUUUAUUAAAAUUAAAUCUCGUCUCAUUAGGGACGAGGCGAGUACCUGAAAAAACCUGCCUCAUUGCCAUCCCUAGGCAAACUUUCAUUUUUUUUUUUUUUUUUAUCUUUUUCCUCCUUAAGAUCAAUCCUAUUGUAAGCACCCUUUUUUUUUCUACCACAUCUUGUUGCAAGCAACCUUGUAAGUUUUUUUAAUUUAAAUUUUUUUUCCACUAUGGAGGCACGUACAACCAUAAAACCUCCUCUUUUUUUUAUUUUAUUUUUACAACUCUCAAAUCUCUCAACCUCCAUACUAUUAGGUUUUAUUCAUUUAUUUAUUAUUAUUAUUAUUAUUAUUAUUAUUCCAUAUCCAAAACUAUAAUUAAUUUUCUUUUAUAUUUUUUUAUUUUAGAUCUAUUAAUUUGAAUAUUCGAAAUUUUCUAAUCUUACUAAUAACUCUAAACGUUCAAAACUAAUUAAUGAAUAUAAAAUAUUAAUCUAAGGAUUAAAAUCUUAUAUAGAAAAUUGAUCUUUAAAUCCUAAACUCCCAAAUUUUCAACCUUACGUUGCCCUAUGUUGUCCAAUCUCUUAGAUCUCCAUGUAAAAGGGUUUUUUUUUUUAAUAGAGUAAAUAAGAAAAAUUUAAUUUAUACCUAAAAUUUUAAAAUGGAGAAAAAUCUUUCUACCCUUAUUAAUUUAAUUAAUUUUUUUAAAUUAUGUUUUUACCCUUGAAUUGGGUCUGGGCAUCACACAUCAUACUAAAAAGUUAUCAAUAACCAUCCUUUGAGGCACAUUAGCAUAAAUUUGCGACUUUAGUUGUGUUCUAGGUGCAAUUCUAUUAUGUUUAAUUGAAAAAUAACACCCAUAGCACAACCAAGCCUAAUUGACAGCAUUUGGGCAAAUAAAUGGUAAAUUUCUAAAAGUUCACCAAAAAAAAAAAAAAACAAAAAAGAUCAUAAAGGGCAUAUUUUUCAAGUCAACCUAGUUUUGGGAUAUUGCAAUCCAAUCUAAGAAUGCAAUAAUAGCUCUUUAAUUCAUAAUUUUAAAUUCACAAAAGAUAUCACCUAAAAUUACUAUAGGUUACCAAAACAUCAACAACAUAUAGAAAGCUUAGAAAUGCUUGGAACCUAUCGAAUUUUCACUUUUUAGGAAUAAAAAAAAAAUGAACUUUAAGGAUUUUAGGGUAAUACUUGCUUGAACCAUCUUUCAAUCCUUUUGUUGGCGGUGGGCCUUUUACCUAUAAGAACAGGAAUGAGAGGUGAAAAGGAGGGAGCCUUAUGAAAACGGAUCCCUAGGGCUUAAGAAGGGGUUUUCAAUUUUAGGGUUUGUCUGUUCACCAAGGAUGUGAAUGGGAAGAUGAGGUGAAGUUAAGAGAUUGGUGAAGCAAAGUGAGGGCAUGGUAGGGUUUGAAUAAGGGAAAGUCUACACUAUUAAUGAAGAUGAUAAUCUUUAGAAAGCAAAGCUAAGGUAAACUAGGGCUUUAACAACAAUUUUCGAUCUACACUAGUGAAGACGAUAUCUUCGAAAACCAAAGCUAAGGCAAGCUAGGGCUUUAAUAACGAAUUUCAAUCUACAAUGGUGAAGAUGAUAAUCUUCGAAAACCAAAUCUAUAAUGGUGAAGAUGAUUAAAAACUAAAUCUAUAUUGGUAAAGACGAUUGGAAAGCAAAUCUACACUAGUGAAGUCAACGAAACCAAAGGUAGGUAAAAAUAAUAAUAAUAAUAAUGCAUUCUUAGAUCCAAAUCACCAUUUCCAACAUGGUAUUUGGAUUUCCACCUUGUAUUUUUUGUUUUUAAUUUUUUCAAUAAUCAAGGACAUUUUAGGGAUUAUUAAGUGACAAUAUUCUUCAACUCAAUUUCCCACAUUAGUUAGGUGUAAGGCUCAAAUGUGAAACUCAUAUAGAUGUUAGGCCAAUCAUCAAACUCAUUUGCCUUGAAGCAUAAUUUCCCCUUUUUAAAAUAGUUGUUAAACAUCUAUCCCCAACACUUGUAACCCUUUGAAGUGCUUGUAUGUUAACCUUGUUUCCUUUUUCUCAUGAAACAUGGCUUAUUGAUUGUUGCAUUGAGUCAUUAUCAUUCACCAAAUCCAUGCAACUAUGAACUACCUUUCAAAUCCCUCGAACAUAAAUGGUAAUUCCAAAACAACUCAAGUAUAAUCUUUCCAAGCCCUUCAAAUGAUUUAAUUAAUUGAUGUUUGAAUAUACUUCAUAUAUUUUUUUAGAGCAAUUUUUUAGGCAUAUAACAUAAAUCUCUAAUUUCAUUUUAUUUUUUUUAUAAAAGGUUUUAUAUUUUAUAUUACAAUUUCCUCUCUUUUUUUUCAUCUAAAAAAAAAAACAUAAAACCUUCGUAAACGAGUUUUGUCACAAUCCCUUAACAGGUAAUCUAUUUUUAAAAAUUACUUUAACAUUUUUAGAUAUAUUGAUUCAGUCUAAUUUAAUUUUAAUAUUUUUUAUAAAAUAUUUUUAUUUUAUAUGAUUAUAAAUUAAUUACUAUUGAUUGCAUAUUAUAGAAUAUAUAUUCUAAAAUAUAUCCUAUUCACAAUAAUAUCAUAAGAUAUUAUAUCCAUAUCCUAACAUAUUAUAUACUUUUAUUUUGUGCAAUUAGCAACAGGGUGGAAGACGGCUUAGGCGGGAGACGGCUUAACGGAAAUGCCGUCUGCCAUGCGUGUCCCUUCCCUUAGUGAGUCUGAACAGCUCCAACAUUUCCGACACGCCCUUCUUCGCUUAGCUCUUAAGUAUUUUCGUCCCGUUUUCAUUAACCCCAUCACAUUUCGCCAUGUGGAUCUAAGCCUCAUGGUCCUUUCGUUCGUACGAUGAAUAUUCCCCCAAUUCCUUAUCUACACUAAACCUCCAUACUCGCCAUCUACUCAACCACUUCUCUACUCUAGAGUCUGGAUCCUUUAUCUCUGCACGUGUCUAUGGCUCUUCACCCCAGCAAGUAUGGCAUUACAAGGGCAAUAUCGUCAUUAAAGACCCAAAAGGCAAACGAAUGGCAUUAUCUCCCUUUUGGGUCUAUUCUAUUUAUAUUGUAAGUUUUUCGUGAUGACUUCUCUCAUAACAGCUAAAAACCACUCCAACAGAGCACACUUCACUUCUUCGUUUUUGUCUUUCCUCUUUUUUUUUUUUAGAGAAGCUGAGAAAGCCCAGCUCGCCCUCAACUCCCCGAUGGGUUUGAUGAAUGUUCUCAAAUUCUCAGCUGCAUGCUUUGAUCUUCUUGGUUGGUAUGUUGUCUACGCAUUUUCUCGUCAUUGGAAAAUUUUGGAAAAUGAAGUGGAAUUCUAUGUUUGAGGAGAAACUGGGAUUUGCUUUGAUUUCUCCAUGUUGGUUUUAUCCCUUUUGUUUGAAUUGUCCAGAUUCUUGUCAUUGAUUGUUAGUUAUUUGUUUGGAUUUCUACUUGCAGGCCUCUGUUUGCACUGGGUUAUCCUCUGUAAGUCUUGGUCUUACACCCCAAGAUAUGAUGGUUCAUUUACUCUUUUCUUGUUCUAUGAAUUCUUAGUUCAGUUACAUUUAUUGGGUUGGGAAACUGAAAAGGGAAAGGAUUAUUAGUUAUUAUCAUAAUAAUCAUCAAUAUCAUCUCGGUUCUUCACAGAUGUGCUUC